rnacentral:lncRNA from 1 species
CAUAUUUGGCCGCUACAUGAAGAAUGUUCUGCCCUUUCUUAUUGAGGAAUUCUUUUGGAUAUGGGAAUUUAUCAAGAAAUUCCUUCACUACAUCAACAGAGUGACUUUUGCAUGCUACAUGGAUAGGAUAGUCGCCUUCAAGGUUUGUUUCAUAAGCACCAUCGUGAAACUUCGUUAAUAGGAAUCGAACUCCUUCCAGAAAACCUAUGGAUGAUGCAUAAUGCAGUGAAUUUCCCAACUCUUCCUCGGUGAGACGUAAUAGCUCUGGCUUUUCCUUUCCAAUUUUCUCCAAAAUAUCUGAAAAUCAAAAGAAAAUGUUCCAAAUGAAUAUAAAGAUGAUAGCUUUGCAACAAUUGUUUGUAUGUAAUUCAUUUUCUAGUGAGUAAUGAAACUGUGAUCACCUCUGUUACGUUGCUUGAUGGCAGCAUGAACAGGGACUUUCCUUUGGUAGGGCAUCACCCUUUUUUUAUAGGGAACGAAGCUCCCAAAUCAAGAGAUCAUCAAGUAUCUCUUUCUUAUUGCCGUUCUCAACUGCCAGAUAUAAAGGAGACUUGCCAUUUAUUGUUGUUGUAAUAGGCCACUUCUGGAUCUCUGGAAACUAGGAGUUUGGCAACUUCUUUGUUAUCGGCGAUCACUGCAUCAUGCAAAGGAGUGUUUCCCUUUGUAUUUUUCUUCAUGAUCAAGUCGGAUUCGAUUCCACAAGAGAUUUAAUUGUAUACUGGCCUUUCCUUCUCUGGCAGCAAGAUGAAGGAUUGUGUCCUUCUGGCUGUUUUGAAUGGUGAUUAGAGAAGGAAACGUUCCAGCCAGAUAAGAUGUAAUAUUGUCACUUCCAUAGCUUACAGCUACGUGAAGUAGUGUAUUCCCGCAGGGUGUCACUAGCUUCUCCGCUGAACGUUGCUGGACAAGCCUUUAAACCUCAGUAUUGUCCUGCCUCACACACUCAUGCAACUGACUAUCUAUCAUUGCAUUUGCCAUGUGAUCUCUCGGAAUCGAGUUUUCAUCAAUGUUUAUUGCUACGCUAGACAUGGCAAAAGAAAAUAUGGUGUUGGUUGAAUCAGCUAUACAAAAAUUAUAGUCUAAUACCCAGACCCACCUGUACAGAUUCGGGUUGACGAAAAAAAUAUAUAGUUGACUAGUUAAAAUCCGAAUAUCAAAUAUUUUUUUUAAAUAAAAUAAUACUUAUUUAAUUUUUAUUUUCUAAAUCUUCUUUAGUAGCCUCGUUAUUUUGAUUUGCUUUCUAUUGGGUUAUCAUAAUCUCAGAAUACAAGUUGCAAAUUUGUCAUGUUAACCCAAGUUGACUUAAGUCAAUCCAAUAUGUUGUUAUCUUAAUAUUAAAAAAAAAUUAUCAUCUUUAAUUUUUUUAAUCAAACUAUAUUCUUACAUACAUGUCUUAUGGGUUGUUUUUAGAUCCACAAAGUCAUUCAAGUGCAUCGGGUCAACACUUACAUGGUUUUAAUUUUUUAUUUUACAAAUAUGUAAAAAUAAAAUUAUUUUGGUCAAACUUAAAAAAAAAUUCAAUGGUUUUCAGACCGGUUUUUAAAAAAAAAAAUAAAAAAGAAUUUAACAAAAAAAUUAGGUCGUACAAAUUUUAAAUAAAAAAUAAAUAUCAUGGUUAAUUAAGAACAUUGAAUAAUUUUUAAUAAAUACCCUUUUAUGAAAUAUCCUUAAAAGUCUAAUAUGUUUGGCAUUGCCUUUUAAACGGGGUUGGAUAAAUUUUAAUUUUUUUUAUUUAAAAUUAAUUUUUUUAUAUUUUCAAAUUAUUUUGAUGUAUUAAUAUAAAAAAUAAUUUUUAAAUAAAAAAAUUAUUAAUUUUAAUAUAUUUUCAAAUAAAAAACAUAUAUUUUUUUUUAUUCUAACCACCUACAUAGCAAAAUUGAAAACUUAUUACAACCUGGGAUAUGAAAAGGACAUCUGAAAUAAAAUAAAUACAGAAAGCUGUAAUCUGAUGGCAUUAAUUCCCAUAAUUUAUUACACCUGGCCAGUUGUCCUUUCUCGUAACUUUCUAAUUCACUCAUUAAGCUGAGACAGAAAAAAUGCACUGAUCAGAGUGAUUCUCUAGAGGAUGAAAGGGAAAUUAAUCUUAAUUUAAUUUCUUGCAGGCAUUUCACAUGCAUCUCAUUCAACAACUUCACAGGCUGUCUAUAUCCACAUCCCAUGAGCGGAAUCGAAAAGGCAUCAACCAAACCUAACCAUAACUAGGCAUGUGAAGAAGAUCGUUUCACUGCAUGGGUGCUUUGGGAGGUUUAGUUUGACAGAUUCUGUGAUAUGCAAGAGGUGUGUCUUCUUUAAGAAGAAACCAUGUGUUUGAAAUUAAUACUUUUUGGAACAGAUUUGGGAAUUGAUACAGAAAAAACCUGGAUUACUCGAUUAGUUUAAAUUAAUUAUUUAAAUUUAUUUUUAGAAUUGACCUAAUCAACUAGGUAGCCUAGUAAGGUAUAGUCGGGUUAGGUCAACUAGAUUACGAGUAAAUUAUAUUUCACUAGGUCAAUUUCUUUUUUGUUUUAAUUUAAAACCUCGGCCAAGCCACACUUCCGUUCCGGCGUUAACGUUCCAAGUCAACCCAUUAUACUAGGCUAGGUUUAACAAGAAUGUUUAAGACAUUUUAUUUAACAAUAAAAUAAGUAAUCCAAUAUUUCUAACAUCCGAUUCAACAGACUCAAUGUCUUUCCAAUAUGUUUGAAGGCUUAAACACCGAUGUCAAGGCAGUUUUUCCUAUCUACCAGCCUUCGGACCCCUGACCUAGUUGUGACAAGGCAUAAGAGCUGUGCAAAGAGCUUGCCAUGCUCUCUGCUUAAACCUCUUGAGAUUUUGAGAUAUUAGUCUGGAAAUUUCUUGAUUCCCUCAUAAACAAGAAGGAAAAUCCCAUGAGUUUUCAUCUUCCUGCCAUUUCAUGACCAUACUUUGUAUUCGUAGAAGUUAAACACUUUUACAUUUUCUUAAUUAAAAGAUUCAAAGAAAGUAAGUUUAAUAUAAAAAAAAAAAAAAACAUUGGUAGAAGACUGGAGCAUGCAGCUAGCCUAGACAGAAAAUUAAUUGAUGUACAAUCAUAGUCUUAAUUAAUACCCAGACCCACCUGUACAGAUUCGGGUUGACGAAAAAAUAUAUAGUUGACCUAGUUAAAAUCCGAAUAUCAAAUAUUUUUUAAAUAAAAUAAUAUUGUUUUAAUUUUUAUUUUCUAAAUCUUCUGUAGUAGCCUCGUUAUUUAAAUAUUUCCUAAAGUUUGACACCGGGUUGAUUUUUAAAACAUGUGUACAAUUGCUACCCCACUAUCAGGUCAUUAAAGGGUUCACCUAGAGUACUCCUGUUAUUUCACUUAUUUCUGAAAAAGAAUGCAUGCAUGCAUGCAUUCAUAUAUUUACAACUUUAAUUGUACAAGUUAGACCGUACGUAUUCAGUUAUUGGCAUCUCCUACUGCUCUCCACCUUCCAUGUCCUCUCCACUUGAUGAUGAGGCCUUGCUGUCCAUCCUCCUAUUAAAAGUUGCCCAUCCGUAAAUUUAUUACACACCCUGCACAAUUCCCUUUUUUUAUCUGUUUACUGUGUUAGAAAAUAGUAUGAAAUCAUUCUUGUGAUUUUACCUAAUAAUCAUGAUUUUAAAACUCACCUCACCACCUCCAAUUUAACUAAAAUAAAAUUAAAUAUAAAGUAAUGUUGAGUUUCUGCAGAUUUUGUUAUAUGAAACAAUGACAGAAUGGAUUAAUUGAAGAAGUCGGUGUUGACGCUGAAGAUGCAAGAAAAGCACUAUUAUGAGGCUUAAUCUGCAGUGGACAAGGACUCUCCUUUGUAACCGGCUUGAUGGUCCCCUGUAUUCCAUCUCUUCUUUGUGAACGCAGGUUUGGAAUCCAGAAAGUCAUCACCAGAAUUCCCCCGUUUUCCGUCAGUGCCUCACUUCUUAUAUAUCUCUUGAAGGACAACUGGUCAGGUGUAAUAAAUAGUUUACUAUUUUCUAACACAGUAAACUGCAGAAUUCCAAACCCAAAACCAUUAACUUAUUCCCUUUUUUUAUAUGGUGCAUACAAGAAAUAACAUUGAACAUCCAUCUCCCUUUGAGGACUCUGGCUCUCUACAAUUUCCUUCUUCCUUUUUCUAGAUGAACAACACUGCUCUCUACAAUUUCCCACUCCAGAUUUCUCAUAAAAAAGGUUAAAAAACAGAAUAAGCAACGUGUAAAAUUAGAGGUUAAAGCAUGUUGUUGUAAGUAGCUUCAACGCAUCCAAAACUUAUUUAAUUAACACCAUCUAAACUUAGAGCAAAGGAAAAAAAAAAAAAAGAGACCAUGCUGAAGUCAGAGGUGGGAUAUCCCAUCAAUACAUGCAUUUUGGUAAAAAAUUAGGAAAGAAGUGGAUUUAUGAUUUGUUAUGGGUAUGUAAAAUUUGACAAAAAGCUAAUGUAAUGACAACUGAGAAUAAUAGAAGACUUAACAUAUUAGUUAGUUAACUUGUCUAUUUAUUUAUAUAUAGUAUAAUAUACAAUAAUAAAAGUAAAGAUUACAAUCCUAAAGUAACUUUAAUAAUUUUCUAUAGACACACAUUCCAUAACAAGGACGUAGUUAAAGGUAAAUGACCCUACCAGCAUGCAUGAUUUAUGGCAGAGGUGGGAUAUACAAAGCGAUAAGAGUCAGAAAGCAACCCUUCAGGUAGGGCUCGGGUAGAGAAAGUCUCGAUACCUAAGGGAUCCACAUGGUGAGCAUUACGGAGGACAUCCCAUCAAUCAAUACUAAUAAUUACUUUCACAAUGUGUUUUGCCAUUCCAUUUCAGUAGUAACUUAUAUCUAAUUACAAUGAACACUGACAAAAGAAAAGGAACAUUUUAAACUUGAAGAAGAAGUAUAAAUGUAAUUGCAGGGAAGAAGUAAAAAGAAGUCCUACAAAAUAGCAACAUAAAUGUGAAUUACUGCAGCACUUGCAGCCUUCUCUCCAAAUCCCUCAUGCAGGGAGUAUCUAUAAUGCUUGCUUCAAUUUGUGAACACGGAUUCAGAGUUUCAGCUACAGUUCAUAAUCAAAAGAAAGGAAAAGGGUAAUUGAUUGUUGAUUGUCACACGUGUAUGGCAUUGUGACGAUUAUCUUUCUGGAUUGAGAAUGGUCUAGAAGAAAAGAUAACAAAUUAUUGUUUUUUAUCAGUAAAUAGAGGAAAUGGAAGUUGUCAUUUAGUAUUUUAGUUGUCAUGAAACCUAACUAGUCCCUAUUAUAGGAAAUAUUAUAAAAUUUUCCUCCAAUAUAGUUUUAUUCUGUGUAAUAGGUUACACCAUAACGUGUGUGUGUGUAUAUAAAUAUAUAUACACAAUGCCCUACCUACUUAUAUAAAUAGUAGAGGAACUACCCUGAUUAAGGCACUCACCAAAUUAUUACAUAUCUCUACUUUAACUUGGUAUCAGAGCCUCUCUACUUUAAAUAUGUAUUUUUUUCUUCUACUCUGUUGCAGAUUCUUCUCCCUACCAUGAUCCCUGCUCUUUUAUUUUCUACUACAGAUCUGUCUCUCUGUUGCCUGCUAUUCACCCUCUACUACAGCCUCGCUGUCAACAUCAUUUCUCCAUCUGGGUACUCUGCUUAGUCCCUGCCCGAUCUGGACUUAUGCGUGGAUCUCUCCACAUAUUCUCUUCCACAGCAAACCUCUAUUGAUCUUCCUUCUGCUCUGCCACCCAUUCGGCAGCAUCCCAUGGUGAUGCAUCAUAGACAGCAAAGAUUGCCAACAUCAGCUCUGCUUCUGCUCCCUUCACCAAUUUCAGCUCCACAGGUAAUGUUCCCCUCUGCUUUUGAGCAUCUAAGUUUUAAGGAAGCUGACUAGUACUUGUGUUGGCAUACUGCCAUGAAGGAUGAAAUUGCAGCCUUACAUGCCAAUGUCACUUGGUCACUGGUGCCAUUUGAUCCAUCUAUGAACAUUGUUGGUUGUCAAUAGGUGUAUAAAAUCAAGCGUCGAGUUGAUGGGGCCAUUGACUGUUACAAGGCUCGCUUGGUUGCACGAGGGUUCACUCAACAGGAAGGUAUAGAUUAUUCAGAAAUCUUCAGUCUUGUUGUUAAACCGACUACUGUUCGGCUAGUCCUCACGAUUGUAGUCUCAAAAUGAUGGCAGAUUCCGAAACUUGAUGUUCAUAAUGCUUUCCUCAAUGGUUCACUUCGCAAGGUUGUUUACAUGCAACAACCCUAAGAUUUUGUCGACUUAACUUUGCCCACUCAUGUCUGUCGCCUUCACAAAUCUCUCUAUGGCUUAAAACAAGCAUCGCGGGCCUGGUACAUGCAAGUGAGUGAUUUCCUCCUGACUAUUGGUUUUCGGGCUUCAAAGGUUGAUACCUCCUUGUUUAUUCUGAAUGUGAAUCAUGAUAUCUGUUACUUACUUGUCUAUGUGGAUGGCAUCUUACUUAUUGGUAAUAACUCUCAAUUGAUUCAUUGCCUCAUUACCUUCGUGAUUUGGGUCAUGCACAUUAUUUUUUGGGGAUUGAAGUUGAUCCCACCAGUGUGAGUCUUGCGCUUAGUCAACAGAAGUAUAUUCUUGUUAUUCUAAGCCAUGAAUGAAUGUGAUCGUGUAAACCUGUUGAUACACCAGCUUGUGUUUCCAAACUUGAUCUGUAGUCUACUGAGUUGUUUUUAGAUCCCACUCGCUUCCUCCAAAUUAUUGGUGUUCUUCAGUAUCUCAUAUUUACUUGACUAGACAUUUGAUAUGUUGUAAAUAAGGUAUAUUAGUUUAUGCAUGCUCCUACCGAAGGUCAUUGGGCCGCUGUUAAGCGUAUCGUGCGAUACUUGAAAGGUAAUCCACCUUUGGUCUCCACCUUUCUCAUGACUCAGCUUUGACUCUUCAUGGUUUUAUUGAUGCUGAUUAGGCCUACAGUAUUGGUGAUCAAAAAUCCACGGGCCGGUGGAUACAUUGUAUUUCUUGGCACCACUCCCAUUUCAUAGAAAUCUGGCAAGCAACGCAUUGUUGCUCGCUCCUCCACUAAAGCAAAGUAUAAGGCCUUAGCUGAUGGUACUGUUGAGGUUGUUUAGCUUCAUUAUAGUUUUUCAGAUUUAUGUUUCUCUCCUAGUUCUGCUACCACUAUCUAGUGUGAUAAUUUGGGUGCUACUUAUCUAUCGGUUAAUCCGAUCUUUUAUGCUCGUACGAAGGAUGUUGAGGUCAAUUAUUACUUUGUUCAUGAUCGAGAGGCUAAGAAGGAGAUUUAGAUUCACUUCAUCUCCUCCAAAGAUUAAUUAGUCGAUGUUCAUACAAAGUCACUUGCUUCCUCUGCUUUUGCUUCUCUACAUUCCAAGCUUCACGUAGAUAACUCACCUUCAACUUGGGGGGUGUAUUUUAGGAAAUAUUAUAAAAUUAGAAAUUUUAUGUUUCCUCUUGUAUAGUUUUAUCUUGUGUAAUAGGUUACACCAUAACUUAUUUAUAAUGCCCUACUUAUAUAAAUAGUAUAGGAGCUGCCCUGAUUAAGGCACUCACGGAUAAAGGGACUAAUUGCAAAAAUAAAAGGUAUUAGCACCUCUAAUAUAUCUUACCUAAGGCAAACCAUGUUGUUUAUUUGUCUGAUAUAAACUAAGGUAUUGUUGUGUUUUCUAAUCAUUGAUCUGUCUAAAAUUAAAGAAAAAUCAUUCUCAAUAAAGAGAUCUUCAUCUUAUUAGGUUAAAAACUUAACCAUUCUAAUGCUGAAACAUGAAAAAGAAAGAAAAUUGUCUUUUUAUUUAAUUUUAGAAAUAUAUCUUACGUAUAAUCUUAUAAUUCCAGAUAUUAAACAAAAUGUGGUUCUUCCUAUCACAAGUUUAUUUUCCAAGUGUUAAAGAAUAAUAUAAAUCAUAUCCUGGACCUCACCUAACAGCUUAAGCUAUUAGGUUGAGAUGGUUCUUUGAUUUGAGACACUUGGCCGUAUGCACAAAAACAUUUUUUUUCUCUUUUUUGUUUUUAAUUUUUUUGUAAUUUUGAAAGUUGUGACGAAAACCGGGUAUUUUAAUACUGGAUUUAUAUUUUUACGAUGUAAAACACUACCCGAUAUUAAUCAAAAUGACAUAAAAACUGCACGGAAAAAUUAUAAAAUGCUGAAGCAAAUAUUUUUUAUUUUUUUCUUUUUGAAUGGGCCGAGUCAGGCCCAAAUACAUGUGUGAAUAGUGCUGUAAAAUACCACCUGAUAUUAAUAAAAAAAAAUGUGCUGGAAAAAUUAUACAAUUUUGUAAAAAAUAAAAAAUAAAAAAAAUGAAACUGAAAUGGGCCGGACCCGGCCCAAAUGCAUGGGCUGGGCCAACGGCCCAGACCAGGCCCAAACGGGCUGGUUACUGUGCAUAAGCACAGUAACCAGCCCUUCGUUAUUUGCAGAACGUGAAUUAAUUCACGUUCUGCAUGAAGGUGCUGGCGACCAUAAGCAAAGGAAUACGAUGGCGGGGCAACAGGAUGGCGUACCUGUGGUGGCGUCGAGGUGAUGCUGCUGGCGGCGUUGGCACGGUGGCCGGUGGUUUUCCUUCUCUUUCUCUCUUCUGUUUUUUUCUCUUUUUCUUCUGUUUCUGUAUUGUUUCUCUUCUCUCUUCUCUUCUCUCUUCCCUCUCCCUUUUGCUGUGUUCUCUCUCUCUCUUCUGUUUUUUUCUCUUUUUCUUCUGUUUCUGUUUGUUUCUCUCUCUCUUCUCUUCUCUCUUCCCUCUCCUUUUGCUGUGUUCUCUCUCUCUCUCGUCCUCCCUCCUGUUUGGUCUGCUUCCCCUGUUUUAAUAGGCAAAAACAGGGGAAGGACGUCAUGGUGGGGCGGCCACUGUUGGCCGCCCCCUCCACUAUCGAUCAGUGGAGAAAAAGGAGGCAAGUGGGCGUCGAAUGGUGGGCGUCUUAUUGCGUAAAAAAGGAAAGAAAGUUCGGCGAAAAGUGGAGAAAAAAAUUAUUCUCCCCUGUUCUCUGCGUGCGCAGGGAAGAAGACGAUGGUGCCAUUUCAAAAUGGCAUGAAACAAUGCAUGAAACGGCGCCGUUUUGGUCCAAACGUGCCGUUUCAUUUAAAAGAAAAAGGCGCCAAGAUGCGUCAGAUAUCAAAGAAGUCCCUUAAUUGGCGCGCGUUUUGCAUUUUAGUCCUUGGUCUCGGAUUUCUUCAAUUAACCCCUAAUUGGCCAUUAAACUUCAAUAUUUAUGCAAUUAAGCCCUGAUUUGACCAAUUUAACUUCCAAAAAUUAUAAUUUGACCCCAGAAAAUUAAUUUCUUCUAAUUAAAGCCCAAAUUAACUCCAAAAUCAAUUUUUUUUUGCAAUUAAAACCUCUAUAAAUUCAAUUAAACCUUCAAUAAAAUUUAAUUGAGUCCAUAAACUUCUAAUUUUGCAUUUUUCUUCCUCAAAUUGAAUUUUCUUUAUCAUCGGGGCUCUCAUCAGUCAAUGAUAUACUGUCAAAAAUUAAUUUUUAUAUUUUUGAACAUCCUCAAUCAAUUUUUGAGCAUUUUUAGGGCGCUCUGACAUUUUUUUCACUGUUAUAUUUUUUUAUAAUGUAUUUUUUUUAUUUUUUUGUAUUUUAUUAUUUUUUAUGUGGGGACCUAAAAAUGGGUUACAACAGUUGGUAACAGAGGUGCUAUUACGAUUGGUUGGAGAAUAGCUUUAUGGAGAAAUUCAUAUGUAAGUAGUUUGCUAUGGAGAUCAGUGUAGGAGAUGGAUCAACCUUAGUAGACAAGUUGGUGACAAGAUCUUUAAACUCGCAGCGUAACCCUCGAAACACAUGCAGGUAGAAUUCUGCCAAGGAGAUUGGUCUGUCAGCCGCCACAAGUUCAUCAAACAAUGCAUUUGCCUUCUACAAGUAGGUGCUAACAAAAUCAUCAUGCUAGCGUAACUCUUGGAAGGAACCGUGAAGUUGCAUGAUCAUGGAAUUCGAAGGAGAAGCAAGAGUUGUUUCUAGCGUUCUCCAGAUAUCAUGGGAGGUGUUAUGUAGGUCAAAAAAAUUUAAUUUUAAUUGUCCUGCAUGUCCUACUUGGUCAUUAGUGCCCUGUCAUCCGUCUAUAAAUGUGAUUGGUAAUAGAUGGGUGUACAAGAUUAAACGCCACGCAGAUGGUCGAAUUGACCGAUAUAAAGCAUGGUUUGUUGCCCGCAACUUCUCUUAGCAAGAAGGGAUUGAUUAUUUGGAGAUGUUUAGCCUGGUCGUUAAACCUACAAUGGUUCACCUUGUGCUCACUAUUGUUGUCUUAUAUGGUUGGAAUAUUCACUAGUUGGAUGUUCAUAAUGCUUUCUUGAAUGACAUUCUUCAAGAGGAGGUAUACAUGGCAUAACCACCUGAGUUUGUUGAUUCUACUAUUUCAUCUCAUGUGUGUCGUCUUCACAAAUCUUUGUAUGGCUUGAAACAAGUACCUCGAGCUUGGUACAACCGGUUGAGCGGAUUUCUCCUUUCCAUUGGAUUUCAAGCAUCCAAGGUUCACACUUCCCUGUUUAUUCUCUCUCUUAAUGGUGCCAUGAUUUAUUUGCUUGUGUAUGUGGAUGAUAUUUUACUGAUCGGGAGUAACUCAGCUUUGCUUCAUAGAUUGAUUAUUUUACUACAAACAGAAUUUAAGCUUCGGAAUUUGGGUUCUGUUCAUUUCUUCUUGGGUAUUGAAAAAACCUACAGCUAUGGGUAUCUUAUUAAGUCAACACAAGUAUGCACUCGAUAUUAUCCAAUAGCAGGUAACUGGUUGAUACAGAUUGUUGGAGCACUGCAAUAUCUUACUUCCACUAGACCUAAUAUUUGCUAUGUAGUCAACAAAGUAUGUCAAUUUAUGCAUGCCCCUACUAAAGAUCAUUGGGUUGCCGUUAAAUGUAUCCUACAUUACCUGCAGGCUACAGCAACCUAUGGUCUGUACAUUACUCGAGACUUUCUCUUAACUCUUCAUGGUUUCACAAAUGCUGAUUGGGCAGGUAGUAUUGACGAUCGCAAAUCCAUAGGUGGGUAUCUUAUGUACCUUAGUUCUACCCCUAUUUCAUGGAAAUCCAGGAAACAACACAUUGUUGCUAGAUCUUCUAUGGAAGUAGAAUACAAAGCCUUGGCUAAUGGUACUGCUGAAAUUUUGUGGAUUCGUUCUUUAUUGGCAGAACUUUGGAUUUCCGCUUCAUCCAUGACUACGUUAUGGUGUGAUAACUUAGGGGCCACUUUCUUAUCUACCAAUUUGGUGUUCCACGCUCCUAAACAUGUUAAAGUUGAUUAUCACUUUGUUUGUGAUUGCGUUGCUAAGAGAGAAAUUCAGAUACAAUUCAUCUCUUUAAAGGAUCAACUUGUUGAUGUUCUUACCAAGCCUCUCCCAGUCUCGUUUGGUUAUGUUUGAUCCAAGCUUCAGGUGGAAUCUCCACCUUCAGCUUGACGGGGUGUAUUAAGAAAAGAGACCACAUAUAUGUAAAUACAUUAUAUAGGGAUAGUUAUCAUGUGUAGUACAUUCCACCAUUGUAUUGUAUACAACCCUAAAGGUAUAAAUACAAAGGGAUGGUUGUUUUCAAUCAUUGAUCACAAUUAUACAAAAGACUAUCUUUCUAAUCUUGACAUGGUAUUAGAGUCUUGAUGACCAAACGGUCACGAGUUCGAAUCUCACCAUCCUCAUUUAUUUGAUAAAAAUUAAGCACAAGGUAAUAUAGGUUUGUGCAAUUUUCAAGCCCAAAGGGUUUUUACUUGAAGGGGUGUGUAGAAAAUAAUGUAAAUCAUAUCAUGAGACCUCACCUAACAGCUUAAGCUAUUAGGUUGAGAUUAUUCUUUGAUACCAAGAUAAUUGGUCUAUCAAGACUAACAAGAGUUCUCUUAAGAUUGUCAGUUAUUUCUUCAUCAGUUCAACAUCCAAUCUGCUCAUUAUUGUUACUUACAAUUUUUCUAUAAGAAGAAAAAAGAAUACAGUGCUUAUAACUAGGAUGGGGUGCUACCAGAUCUUUAGUUUUCCUCAAUAGACUUUGUAAGAUUAUCUAAUUGCUUCAAGUACAACACUUAUAAUAGGAUUUUGAAGUCUAAGUAAGUUCUUAGUGAAAGCGGAUGCUGUAAAAACAAAACACUACAAAGACAUUAACCUAACCAACUUGUGUUAACUAGAAUCCCGCUUUUUGAUCAAUUAAUUUCCAAACUAGAUUUACUAACUAUAAUUUUGAGGAUAACAACAUAUUUAAGCUAAGGUAGUGGAAGACUUUAACCAAUGAGGCAGUUUCUGAAAAUUUCUUUUCUAAAUAAAAACUAAAUAUUUUUCAUUAAAAAAAUAUAAAAAUGGCUCCGUAAGUGAGGGAAGAUGAAGUCGUGUUGUGUGCAAGCAGCAUAAGAAGAAAGAUGAACUAGGUUUGACCAACCUUGACAAGCAUUCAGUUGAGCUACCAAUUAAUUUCUGUUGGCUAAAAGAUGCAAAUAAACAAUGAAUUGAACUAAAUACUCAACAAUAAACAAGGUCCCGUUGGAAAAAAUGCUCCUCGAAUUAUUAACAAAUACACUAAAAGAACUUGACUGCGCAAUAUUCAUAUAAUAACCUAAUUUAAAAUAGAGAGAUACUACUAAGAGUUAAGAGGAGAGAUGGGAGGAAAAGUUGAAUAGAAACAAAAGCAUUUCACACCUUUAAAGUUUGAAAGUUACUGAAGUUUGAAGGAGAUAAUUGAAGGGAGGAGAAUGAGUGCAGGCGGUGAGAAAAAAUAUAAUAGAAAGAAGGGAAAUGUUAUUUAUAUAAAAAAAUAUUUAAGAUUAUUUAUAUAUUUAGGAGGCUGCUUUUGCGUCAACUGGACAACAAGAGGAACUUUAGAAGCAUGGGCUUCUUUCACUCACGAGGAUUCACACCAAGAAAAGCUUGAAGCUUUGCAUUUUAAUGGAAGAAAUUGAGCCUAGAGGUGUAAGUAGCUUUUGGGACCCAAUUUCUUGGAAUCAUAUCUCUUGCAAACAUUGCUCUUCCUGUUGAUAGUGUUGUUAACUUCACAGAUAAUGGUCCUUUCUAUUGAUAAUUAUAGGUAUAUAAAGAAUUGAAUAUGAUGAUAAUCAGAAAAACAAAGAACAGAGAAUUUGAGCAAAGAACAAAGAGCAGAAUGUUUUUAUAAGUUACUGCCAUCCCUUAGCUUUUAUUUACAAAUGAAAUCAAUCACAACAAAAUUAAAAAACGCAACUAACAUAAACUCCUUCAUUUAAAGAGUUAUGUAACUUAUCCUAAAGAAGUUUCAAAUCGAAAAAAGUAAAAAUUGACUAAACAACAUCAAGAUAAUGAUGUUACUAAUAAAUAGAUAUUAAUGAAAGAUAACCUACAACUGAUACAUUAAUUUCAGCUUUGGUGCCAUAACUUCAACACUCCUCCUUGGUUCCAAAGCUGCAUAUCCAUAUCCUCUCCCUUAGAUCUUCAAAUCUAUCUUUAGCUAAAGGCUUGUUGAACAGGUCUGCUAAUUGCUCUUUUGAAAUGCAGUAUAUCAUCUUUAGUUCCCCUUCUUGCUGGAAUUACUUGAUAGCAUGGAACUUAAUCUUCAUAUGCUUGGUCUUGUCAUGAAAAUAGAAUUCUUUGAAAUAGCUAUUGCUGAUAUAUUGUCACAUAACAAUUUUAUGGGACUUCGUUGAUGAAAGUCUAGAUCAUUCAACAUUUUCCUUAGCCAUAUCAAUUGCUUUGUUGCCACAUAUGCUGCUACGUAUUCUACCUCUACAGUGGAAUGUGCAACCACUGAUUGCUUCUUUGAGUUCCAACAAAAAAUGCUUCCUCCAAUAGCAAAGCAAUAACUUGAGGUGCUCAUCAUUUUUUCAUUUCUUCCAGCCUAAUCACUAUUAGAAAAACCAAUUAGUUUAACAGAACUUGAUUUCACAAAAUGCAUGCCAAACUCUAAGGUCCCUUUUACAUAUCUCAGAACUCUCUUGGCUGCAACAAAAUAGAUUUGAUUUGGACUUUGCAAGAACCUAGAGAUGUAAUUGACAACAAAACAAUGUCUGGACGUGUAGCAGUUAAAUACAACAAGCUGCCAACUAAACUUCUAUAGGUUUUUCCAUCAGUUUUGGGAGAUUCAUCCUCCUUCAUUAGCUUUUGUUCCAGUACCAUAGUACCAUAGGUGUACUGACUGGUUUGUAAUUUUCAAUUGCAAAAUUUUUAGUAGCUUUAUUGUAAACCUCUUUUGACAUAGAAAAUAACUUUGCUCUAACUGAGUUACUUCCAUGCCUGAGAAUUAUGACAGCAAACCAAGUUCAUUAAUCUCAAACUAAUCAUCAAAUGACAACGUGGGACACAAUCUGCAUUAUAUAUUGUAUUCUCUUCUGUUGAUGGAGGGGUGGUGUUUGCUGUAUUUGUUAGAACAAAAUAUUUUUUUAAAUUGCUCGUCCUUUUACCUUGAAAAAAAUCCUGCAGCAGGGAUGGGAUGGAUGUUUGUUGAUUUUAUCGUAAUGCACCGUGUCAAUGAUUUUGGGACGGCCAUUUUAAUACUGUUCAGACCAACCAAGCUGUUGAUAUCUUUAAUUAACAUUCGUAUCUUAAUUUGAUUAUUAUUAUUAUUUUUUUUACUCAAUCAAACAACAACAACAGGAGUCUAGUAAAUACAUGCUUAAAAUAUAUAUAUAUAUAUAUAUAUAUAUAAGUAGAAGUGCGCAUACAUUCAAUUGGAAACUCAAGAGUUAUUACAAAGUUCAAAUUAUUACCACAAUCGCUAGCCAGACACAAUCCAAGAUGUGAUCGAUCCCAAAAUCCCGACCUCUGAUCUUACUAAAGAUUGUGCUUUAUCUUGUGAUCAGAGAGCUUUCUCUUGAGAUCAGAGGGUAUAUUACGCAGCCACCACCUACUGUAAAAACAAGAAAAUUAAGUAGUAGAUAUAAUGCAAGAGCACUAGUAGAAGAACCGGGUUGCCAAAUAGCAGGAUAAUCGAAGGAAAAACAAAGGCCACCCCUGCAAUGAUGAUUGUUAACAUCCAACCAUGGGAUCCUAUUAAUGCUAUUCUCACAGAAAAAAGGAAUGCCCCGAACAUCAUGAAAAUAGCCAAACAAACCAUGAUAAUUGAAAACCCAACUGUAGAGAUUUGAAAUCUGGGAAUAUUAAAGUUUGGCACAAGAAGGAAUAGAGCUGCCGCCAGAGAGGUAGAUAAAGCCCACAUCGAGAAACAAAUAACCAUACAGAAGAUUCUCAUAAGUGCUGUAAUCGGAGGCAGUAUAAGUGACGUUAAAUUCAUGACGAUGAUCACUUGAGUUAUUGUUAUCCCUUAAUUGUGGCAAUUGUAUAGCACCCGCAAAGGUUACUCCAGCAACAAGCACUGCCACCACUAGAAGAUUCCCUGUCAUGCUCUUUGUUUCCUCUUUUGCUUUUGACAUGGGUAGUGGGUAACAUGGAAAAACCUCUUUAGGGAAUUCUUAGGUCGGGCAUUGAAGAAUAAGAUCGAUAAUGUCAGCACCUGCAUAUAUAGCACGGGGAAAAAAAACUUAAUUGUUUAAUGAGUUCUUGGCACUUCCUCAAUUGCAUCUAAAAACGUUGACCUUCGAAUGCCUUUCCCAGAACAAGUAAUUUUCUGGAAUGGUUUAGAAUUUUUUAAUAUAAUGGUUUACGAGUUAAAUCGAUUGUUUUGUUAAAAGAUUAGGGAUGGCAAGGAAAAAAGAAGAAGCAAUAAUACCAAUGGGAGAUACAAAACCGUUAUUUCGUCCUUUGGUGAUGCCUCUUUUGUAUCCAUCUUAUUUGAAUCAAUUUCUUUGCCCUGUCAAAAUAAUAAUAAUAUUAUUAUUAUAUGUGAAAAUGCAGUGCUCUCCUGUGUGCUAUGGCUAGACAACAAUCGAAGCAAAUGAAACUGGUUCAUGUUUGAAAAAAAGUCAUUUGACAUUAAAUGGUUUUGAUUAAAAUAAUAUAUUUAUUGAAGAUUUUUUAUUUCGUGUUGCGAGAUACUUUUAAUUUUUUAUUUAAUUACAUGACAAUAAAAAUUAAUUUUAUUAAAUAAUUUAAAUUCUAUUAUUGAAAAAAAAAGGUAUCUAUAUUUUUUUUAAUCAAAACCAUUUUCCUUAUUAAUACGUUCCAUUUUUUUUACUAAUGUUUUUAUAAAAUUGUUUUUUUUAAUAACAACCUAUCAUAAUCUUAUAAAUAAUUUUUAAUUUAAAAAAUAAAAUAAUUAUGGAUUGAUGAUUUUCUUGAAAAAAAAAAUAUUAAAUCAGUAAUACUCCUAAAAUAUAUAGACUUUUGUAGCUCGAUAAAUGAUGAUCAAAUUAGUAGCUUUCCAUUUCAUCUGUUUUUAAGUAUUCCUCUUCAGAUCUUUUGGAAAAUUGUUCAGCCCACUCAUAUGGUGUCCAAUUUUCAUUGUUAACAAUGAAAUGUUCGACGCGAUUGUCACGCACAAGAAGAAAUGUAGCCGCGCAUCGGCCAUAACCUGCUGCCAAGUGCAAAGGUGUAUUUCCAUCCUCAUCUAUCGCAUUUAGCAGCGGUGCGACGAGCUUCUGGUCCAGCUUGAGUAUGUACCUAACCACACUGUCAUUUCCAUAUUUGGCCGCUACAUGAAGAAUGUUCUGCCCUUUUUUAUUUAUGAAUUCGUUUGGAUAGGGGAUAACUUUCAGGAAUUCCUUUAACAAAGCAACCGAGCCUCCCUUGCAUGCAAGAUGAAUAGGAUAGUUGCCCUCUUGGUCAGUUUCAUCAGCACCGGGAUGAUACUUUUGUAAUAGGAAUUGAACUCCUUCCACAUAGCCUGUAGAUGAUGCAUAAUGGAGUGGAUUUCCAAACUCUUUGUCAUGGAGACGUAAUAACUCUGGCUUUGCUUCUUCGAUUUUCUGCAAUAUACCUGAAAAUAAAAAUAAAUUGUUUUGAAUGAAUUUAAAGAUAGGUUUGCAAGAUUGGUUUGUAUGUAUAUCACUUUUCUGAUGAGAGGAGACAAUGUGAUCACCUAUGUUACGGUUCUUGAUGGCAGCAUGAACAGGGGACUUUCCUUGUGGUAGCAUGCCAAGUGAAUCUCCAUCUUCUCUUUCUCUAGGGAUCGAAGCUUCCUCAUUCAAGAGAUCAUCAAGAAUCCCCUUCAUAUUGCGAUUUUCAACAGCCAGAUAUAAAGGAGACCUGCCAGUCUUGUUUUUGUAAUAGGCCACUUCUGGAUCUCUGGACAUGAGGAAUUUGGCAACAUCUUUGUUACCAUUGAUCACUGCAACAUGCAAAGGAGUGUUUCCUUCUCUAUUUGUCGUCCUCAGCAAGAAAGCAUUCGAAUUGACAAGGUUUCGAAUUGCAUGACUAAUACUUCCCUCUCUGGCAGCAACAUGAAGGAUUGUGUCUUGCUGGUCGUUUCGGCUGGUGAUUAGAGAAGGGAUCUCUUUAGCCAGGUAAGCAGUAAUAUUAUUACUUUCAUACCUUAUGGCUACAUGAAGUAGCGAAUUCCCACAGGGAGUCACUAGCUUCUCCGCUAAAUGUUGCUGGACACGGCUUUUAAAUUCCUCAAUAUUGUCCUGCUUCACGUACUCAUAUAACUUACUAUCUAUCUUUUUAUUUGCCAUGUCAUCUCUCGGAAUCGAGCUUCCAACUAUGUUUAUUGCUACGCUAGACAUAGCGAAAGAAAAUAUUAUUUGACCUGAAUCAGCUAUACAUAUCAGACGGCAGGACUUCUAAUUUAAAUAGACCAGACUGCAUGUCAAUGGAAUCUGAAAUAAUGUGAAUCUUACUCUUUUUUUUUAUUUGCAAGGAUAUAUACUUUGAUUACUCAAAUACUUCACGCAUUUGUUCUGGAAUCCAGAACAUAGCAAGAGAGAGAGAGAGCAGUCUUGGCUAUGGUUAAAGCAGCAUCUUGAAAAGGAAAAGGGGAAAAUCUGUCCCCUAACUCAGAAAAGAUGAGUGUUCCUAGGGAAAUUCUUAGCUUAAAUUUGUAACUCAAAAAAGAUGAUUGUUGUUAGGAAAAUUCUUAACUUGAAUAUAUAACGCAAAGGAAAUUCUUAACUUGAAUAUAUAACUCAUAUACACUAUGCAGGUGGGAGAAUCCAUGGUUUAAUGAACAUGAUGAUGCACGAUGGCAUGAGAGUCCACAUCUUAUACCUUCCGGUGAUUUAACCAAUUAAUUCAACAGUUUUAAACUCUCAUGUUAAAAUCCAAGAAUACAGUUUUAUAAUUUUUAUUAUUUUAAUGGGAGAUCUCGUGUGCGUUGGACUGCAUUAUAUAUGUAUAUAUAAACGAAUUUUCAACUAUUGAUUUGGAGUGUCGAUUUAAAGUAUUGUAAUAGCUUAAGAUGUUUAUUGAAUAAGAUGAAUCUAGCUAAGUCUUGGCUUUACCCAGCAUGAACAUUUUCUUUUUAGUUACAUACCUAAUAUGAAUUUCAUUUUGUAGUAAAAGUAUGGAACUGAUGGUAAAAAAAAUAAUAACUAGUUUUUUUAAAAAAAAAAAAAAGCUUUGGAACGUUCUGUGCCUUGCCCAGACACUUGUUGGUCGCCCAUUGGACAGCAAGACCGAUUGGUUGCCCAACUUGCCUAGCAACCAACCAACUUAUCUCUCUCUCUCUUUCUUUUUCUUAUUUUUUUUCUCUUUUUAAUUUUCUCUCCUCUGUUUUUCAACAAAUAAAACUACAUGCCACGAACUCUAUAUAUUAUUUUUUUAUAAUAUAAUUUAAUUGUCUUAAUACAAGAGUUAAUAUAUUUUCAUAGUUUUGGAGCACUAAUUAGACAUAAAAAAAAAGAUACAAAUUACAUUAAAAAGCAGGUUCGGAAGGUUCAACAAAAGUAACCUGCUAUCAAGCUAUAAGCCUGAAAAGAAUAAUAAUGAGAGGGUGAGUUCAACAACUUAGUGAGUAAAUAAUAUUCAAUAUACACACACGAGGUAAUACAACAAUGAUAAUACAUAUACAAUUAUGGCUCUAGGUUCUUAUAGGAAGGUUUCUCAAAUAGAUCAUAGCAAGAAUAUCAUAUGGUAAAGCUCGUCAAAAAAUCAAAAUGCAAUAAGCAUGAGACUCUGUACUGUGGGAUGAUCAGUCUACACAGGUUGGUGACUCCCCCGACCAACUAGGGUUCAUAUACGAUAUGCAUAAAGACUAACAUUACCCUGUUAGCAUGUGUAUUCUGACUAACAUACUAUAGGUUCAUAAUCAUAAUCAAACAAACAUAUUCAUAUCUCAAAGCUCAACUCAUGACAUCAAUCAAAUGAGGAGCUAUCAAUUUAAAAGUCAAUUCAAAAUAUAUACUGGUUCAUAUCAAGAAUUCAGAUUCAAUAAUUGAUCAUGCUUUAUCAUAACAAGGAUAAUAAUAAUCAACAUAUAUAUUAUCAAGAAGCAUGAUCCAAUUCAUAUUAACAAAUCAAAUAUUUAUAAUAUUUCUCAUGCAUAUGAAAAAUUAUCCACUCACCUGACUCAAAAGCAAACGGCACUCAAAAGUUGAUACCGAAGGAAAUCCUACUAACGUCCCGCUAGUAAAAUAUCAGGAUUAUCUAAAAAAAAAUUUAGCCUAUUUAAUACACUUAACUAAAGGUGUAUUCCGUAACCCUAUAUGUUUUGAACUAACUAGUCAAUUUUCUCAAAAACCCAAAAUUUAAUGGUUUUCCCGAAAUCUAAUCCAUAAUAAAACAACUAAUAAAAUUGGUAAUAAUUCACUAAAUAAACCUUAAUUAUUCAACAAAAUAAUCUGCAAAAGCUAAUAUUACAACUAGGGACUAAUCUGAAAUUUAUCAUUUUUUAGGGCCAAAUUGUAAUUUUCAUCUAAUUGGAGGACCAAACUAAACAUAUCAUAAAUUCAUGACUAUAGUGGAAUUAUGUCCAUAAUUCAUCCGCAUUUCUGUCCAGAACCUCUAAUUAUGCUCCAGGGACCAUUCUGGGAUUUUUUUUCCCAAAUUUUAGGGUCAAAUUGUAAUUUUUGUCAAAUGGAGGACCAAACUAAAAUUGUCAUAAAUCCAUGACUAUAUUGAAAUUAUAACCAUACUUAAUCCUCAAUUAUGUCCAGAAUAUCUCAUUAUGCUCCAGGGACCAUUCUAGAAUUUUACCAAAUUUUUAGGGUCAAAUGGUAUUUUUUUUCAAAUUAGAGGACCAAAUUGAAAGUUUUAAAAUUUCAUAACUAUACAGUAAUUCUGCCCAGAAUUCAUAUGUUAUUCUUUUCAGAAUCUCGGAAUAUGCUCCAGGGACCAAUUUUUAAUUUUCCAAAGUUUGGGGACUAAACUGUAAUUUUCACAAAUUAAGGGACCAAAUUGAAUUUUCGUCAUCUUCAACCUCCAACCCAGAAUUUUAAUAUAAAACCCACUGUUCUCUCCAAAUUUCUAACACAAAUUAACCAUUCAAACAAAAUCAUAACUCAAAAUCAUCAUCUUUCAAUUCAAUCUCUCAAAAUCAACCAAAUAAUCAAAUAUCAACACAACAAUUAACCCUGGUUUUGUUAUGUUAUUUAUUACCUCGACACUCCUGCACUUGGGAUAAGACAUUAAUCUUUUAAUCAUGUUGAAAAUUUAGAUUCCUUUUAUUUCUUAUCAUGAUCAACGACUUGUAGAUGUUUUUAUUAAGUUAUUUUCUAUUGUUUUUCAAUUCAAAUUUCGGGUCGAUUCUUCACCAUAUAUAUAUAUAUAUAUAUAUAUCAAGGAAAUAUUAAUAUGUUUAAUCACUGUUAUAUAAGGUGUUGGUUAACUAAUAAGUUAAUAUAUAAUUCCAUUCACAACAUGACACUUUGACUAUUUGUUUUUUGUUUUUGUUUCUUUUAAUAUAAGAACUUAUAUAGCCUAUCAUUGAUAAAUAAAUAAAUUAAAUUUGCUUUAAUGGAGUCAUUUUAAUUUGCUUUAACUCAACUUAUUGACAAUUUUCUCUUAAAAUUUAUUCAUUUCUGAUAAUAUAUUGAUAGAACACACAUAUUCAAUUCAUUAUUUCAACUGGAAACUCAAAAGAUAUUACAAGUUCAAAUUAUUAUUACAACAUCUAGACACACAAUAUUCCAAGAUGCUUUUUCACCCCUAACCUUCUAAAAAAAGGCGAUCACACAAAAUCAUGACAUCUGUUGAUGAAGAUCAACCUGGAUAGUUACUUGGGCUUUGUCCAGAGAUCGCGAAGUUUAUGAAGACGUGGAAGACUAUACGACGUCAGGCACCUCCAAUUGUAGACAAGCAUGAAAAACGAGAUGUAGUAGACAUAAUGCGAGAGCUUUCCUUCAAUAAUUUGAUUGACGGAUGGCGGAAGAAUCCAUUGAAUAUAAAGCAAUGUUUGAGCAACGAAAAACGCGAUCCCCACCACUAUAAGGAUGAUUGCGAACACCCCAUAAUUGGAUCCACCUAAUGCUAUGCUCACGGCAAAAAAGAAGGACAAGCACAUCAUGUAAAUAGACCCACCCACCAUUAAUGAUGAAAACCAAACUGCAAAUGGUGCAAACUUGACAUCGUUCAAGUUUGUCCAAAGAAGGAUUAUAGCUGCCACCACAGAGGUAUUUAAAGCCCACACAUCAAGACACAAAUAACCAUCCAAAAGAGAUGAACCAGUAGGACUGUCAAAAGCAGUGCUGUUCCGGGAGGCAGCAGUAGUGCUCGAGUUAUUUUUAUCCCUUAGUUGUGGCAUCUGUAUAGCACCCGCGAAGGUUACACCGGCAACAAGCACCGCUACAACAAGAAGAUUCUCUAUCCUGCUCUUUGUUUCCUGUUUCCUUGGCGGCUUGCCUUGAGUACUAGUGAAACGCUCAUAUAGGGAUUUCUUAGGGCGGGCAUGGAAGUAUAAGAUAGAUAAUGUUGUCAUCUGCAUAGCAAGGGGAAACAAACUUCGUAAUAAUGAGUUUCUGGAACUUCCUCAAUCGCAUGCAAAAGCGUUUGCCUUGAAAUCCCUUUUUUUUUUUUUUAAGAACAAGCACGAUUCUGGAAUGAUUUCUGAAUUUUGAAAAUAACUGUAUAGAAUCUAAAUUAAUCGGCCUUCAAGUAGAUGUUCAAAAGAAUAGGGAUGACUAGAAAAAAUAUAGGAAAGAAGAUGUGUAAUAUUACCGUUCCAUAAUAAUCCAGCAGCUUGUAGUCCUUUGAAUCAACUGCUUUGUCCUGUAAAAAAACAUAAUUUUAAGUUAAUGAAUAGAGCGACCUCUUUUUUCUUUCUUCCCUUCUUUCCUUUUGUGCUAUGGCUAGCCAACAAUAUAAGCCACUGAAACUGAUAAUUAACCUCGAUUUUGUGUAGUCAAUGUAAACUUGUACCUUUCCUUGAGAACCAGUCGAAGCGGUCGCCUUUUCUGUUGUAGAAUUCUUCUUUCCAUCCUUCACAUCUUCUGAAUUAACUUCGAUCUGAGGAAUGAAGACAGAAAUCAUGAAGCAACGCAGAGCAGAUAAUUGUACAAAUUACAUGACAUGAGCUCUUCUGACAAAGGAUGAUUGAGUCUAUCAAAGAACCACUCAACUCAAAAGCUUGAACAGCUAAUUGAGGUUUAAGGAUACGAUUUUAUAUUAUAUCUUUAGUCCUGAAUUUCAGUCAGCUUUUAAGAGUGUUAAGUUAUAUACUCUGUUUCCAUUUUUUCAUGACAUCAUCCUUUAUUAUGUAAAAUAUGAUAUCCUUUAGUGAAAUGGAAUCCUUGUCUACUUAAAUUGUAACAACAUUGUUUUUCAACAGAACUCUCAUACCUGGAUCUCGUCCGCAGGAAUACUGUUCUUUGAAUCAAACUGCUCUCGUUCCUUAGCAAGCUGGCAACAAAGAGGAAACCCAGACACCAAAAUAUUAAAUAAAUAAUACUCUUAAAAUAUGUACUUUUGUAGCCUCGAUAAAUGAUGAUCAAAUAGCAUACCAUUUCAUCUGUUUUGUCAUAUUGGUCUACAGCCUUUUGAGAUUGUUGUUUCGCAACAUCAUAUGGUGUAAAAUUUUCAUUGUUAACAAUUGAUUUUUCAACGCGUUUGUCACGCACAAGAACAAAUGCAACCAUGGAUUGACCAUGUCGUGCUGCCAAAUGCAAAGGUGUAUUCCCAUCCUCAUCCAUCUCAUUUAGCAGUGGUUCUACGAUCUUCUGAUCGUUUUCGAGUAUGUACCUUACCACAUUACCCUGUCCAUUUUCUGCCGCUACAUGAAGAAUAUUCUGCCCCUUUUUAUUCAGGAAUUCUUUAGGAUAUGGGGUAAUCUUCAGAAAUUCCUUUACUACAUCAACAGAGUCAUUUUUGCAUGCAACAUGGAUAGGAUAGUUGCCAUCACUGUUUGUUUCAUAAGCACCAUUGAGAAACUUCUUCAAUAGGAAUUGAACUCCUUCCAGAAAACAUAUGGAUGAUGCAUAAUGCAGUGAAUUUCCCAACCUUCGGCAGUGAGACAUAAUAGCUCUGGCUUUGCUUUUGCAAUUUUCUCCAAUAGAUCUGAAAAUCAAAAGAAAAUGUUUCAAAUGAAUAUAAAGAUGAUAGGUUUGAAACAAUUGUUUGUAUGCAAAUCAUUUUCUAGUGAGUAUAGACAUUGUGAUCACCUAUAUUACGUUGCUCGAUGGCAGCAUGAACAGGGGAUUUUCGUUUUGGUAGGGCAUCACCAUCUUCUCUUGUUAUAGGAAUCGAAGCUCCCAAAUCCAAGAGAUCAUCAAGUAUCCCGUUCUUAUUGCCAUUCUCAACAGCCAGAUAUAAAGGAGACCUGCCAUUCUUGUUGCUGUAAUAGGCCACUUCUGGAUCUCUGGAAACUAGGAAUUUGGCAACUUCUUUGUUACACUUGAUGACUGCGUCGUGCAAAGGAGUGUUUCGCUUUCCAUUUGCCAUCCUCAUCAAGCUCGGAUUCAAUUCCACGAGAGAUUUAAUUGUACGAAUAGCCGUUCUUUCUUUGGCAGCAAGAUGAAGGACUGUGUCGUUCUGGCUGUUUCGCAUGGUGAUUAGAGAAGGAAACUCUUUAACCAGAUAAGCUAUAAUAUUGUCACUUCCAUAGCUUACAGCUACGUGAAGCAGUGUAUUCCCGCAGGGAGUCACUAGCUUCUCUGUUAAAUGUUGCUGAAAACGUCUUUUCAAGGCCUCAGUAUCGUCCUGCUUCACACACUCAUGUAACUGACUAUCUAUCAUUGCAUUUUCCAAGUGAUCUCUCGGAAUCGAGUUUUCAUCUAUGUUUAUCUCAACUGCACUAGACAUAGCAAAAGAAAAUAUUAGGUUACUUGAAUCAGCUAUACCUAUCACUUAUCAGACAGCAGGACUUCUAAUUCAAAUAGGCUAGACUGCAUGUCAAUGGAAUCUGAAGUAACGUGAAUCUUAAUUACUCUUUUUUUAUUUGCAAGGAUACUUUGAUUAUCAAAUACUUCACCCAUUUCGUUCUGGAAUCUUGGCUAUGGUUAAAGCAGCAUCUAAAAAAGGAAAAGGAAAAGGAAAAGAGGAAAAUUCUUAACUUGAAUUUAUAACUCAUAUACAGAGUGCAGUUGGGAGAAUCCAUGGUUUAAUGAACAUGAUACACGAUGGCAUGAGAUUCUUCAUCUUCUCGCGGUGAUUUAACUAUUCAAUUCAAAAGUUUCGAACUCUAACGUUAAGCUCGAGUGGUUAGCGCCUGAAGCAAGCCGAAGUCGCGGGUUUGAUCCCCCCUGGACGCACAAUUUUUAGUUUUCUAAAAAAUAAAACACAUACAAGUUCCCCCCCCCCCUCAAAAAAUAGGUUUCUAUUGAUUUUUUUCAUUUAGUAUUGAUUUCAAAGUAAAUUAAUUUUUUUAUUGUAUAAUAAAAACAAAAAACUCAAUGUAAUGUAAUUUUGAAUAGUAAAUGUAGCGGAUUAACUAUGGUGAACUUGACUUGAUUCUUUACUUCUUCUAGUUUUUUUUUUUUUUUGUUUUUUUGCAUUUAUACAGUCAAUAAGAUCAUGUCGAGAUAAUUUUUAUAAAAUUUAAUUUAAAACUAGAGUUGAGUAAAAUGUCGUGUCAAGUGUUUUUGACAUUUUAAUUUUUAUACCAAAUUUAAUAUAAAGCUGAAAAAUUGAUACAGUUUAGUUAUUAUUUUUAAUGUUUAAAAAGAAUUAGUGAUGAACUAUAUAUGGUAAUAUACAAUACAAGUUGCUUGUUCUGAAGGGAAAAAAAGAAGCACUAAAUCAUCUCCGAAUUUGAAUUCAAUGAUUUAAACUUAACGAACAAAAAGAUGAUAGAAGAAAACAUGCGAUGAUCUCAAUCCAAAAAUAAAGAAAUAAAGGUUCAAAUUUAUAAUUCUCUUAGAAAAAAGUUGAAUAAUUAAAGGUUUAUGAGCAAUUUCACUACAAGAUUUCACAGUUUUACCGAUGGCAAUAUUCUGUUGGUGUGUGAUAGAAUGUUCGUCGGUAAAUUAUUUACCGACUAUAUUACCGACGGAAUAUGUCCGUCGGAAUACCUUUUGUCGGUGAUUCCACAUUCCGUCGCUAUAUCGGUUGGAAAUACAAAAAAAAAAAGUUUUCCGCUUGGAAUAUACCGACGGAAAAUAUUCCGUCAGUGAUAUGUAAAUACCGACGGACUAAAUCCGUCGGUAAAAGUGUCGGUGAUAUUUCAUGCCGACCGAAUAUUUCCGUCUGUAAAUUCGUCGGUAAGUUUAUGCCGACGGAUUAUUUCCGUCGGUGAAUAUGUCGGUGAUGGGAUGGAAUACCGACUGAAUCUGUCCGUCUGAAUAUUCGUCGGUGAUGGUAGCAGACACUGUCCAAUGCUGACGGAGUUAUUCCGUCGGUAAAUCCCUAUGCAAAUUUUUUUUAAUUUUUUUUAAUUUUUAGAAAAAAUAAUAUAAAUUAAUGGUAAUACAAACCAAUUAUGCAAAUAAAAUUUAUAUUAAGCAACAAAAACUCAAAGUUAAAUAAUAUUCAUUACAAAAUGAAUGUGUUUCAAAAAAACAUUAAACGAAAUUUUAAAUGUAAAUAAUGUUUAUUAAAAAUUAAUAUAAAGGUGGAGGAGGAGGAGGAGGAGGAGGCUGGGGGUUAGGCGGCCAAAAAGGAUUAGGCGCACAUGUUCCACCUUGUGUCAUGUUCAUGACCAUUUGACGAAGCUCUUCAUAGGCCGCUCUUUGUUGUUCAGACUCUGCUCUGCGUUGUUCGUUCGCCACUCUAUGCUCUUUUUUUAGUUGUGUGUACGCCUCUGAUAGGUGGUCGCACCUUUGCUGCAAGGCCACGAACUCCUUAGAUUGGGAACUCGAUACUGAUUGGGAGCUCCCGGCGGUUGAAGCAGUACCGGUCGACCGCAAGUUGGCGGCGGUAGUGUUGGAGAGCCCGUAAACCCGAUUUUUAUCGGGUCUACCUGACGAUCCAGCCUCCAUCCACAAAUUCGGAUCGAAUUCCGGAUGGGUCAAAGGAUCGUCCCCGUAUCUCUCCCUCAACCGAUUAUUAUAGGUCUCCUGAAAAAAAAUCAUCAUAUUCAAUUCAAUAAACAUAAUAAUAACUUACAAAAUAAAAUGGUUGAACAAACAUACCACAAACUGUUGAGCACGGUUGUCAACGAACUGUUGCGUCCCCUUUUGGCGGUCAUGACUCCGCACGUGCGUCUCCACAAACAGCUCCAUAGGGCUCGGCUCACGUCCAAGAGACGUAGCCUAUAAUGAAAAAAAUUUAUUAACAACAAAUUAAUUGAACGAUAUAUUUCAUUUAAAUUAAUCUUACCAUCCGUUUCGCAUGUGCAGCAAACGGAACGGAGCCGCUGGUGUGCGUUGUCACCGAGCCAUGAAUUGGCCGAUUCCGGUUGCCAGCACCGAACUGUGAGCGUCGAGUGAACCGCUCAGACGUCACGUGCUGAAGAUAGUGCGGCCAUAUAUCUUUCGGGAUGUAUAUCGGUUUGAAAUCCCUCCAAACCGCAACAUCGUUCCAGCCUUCGAACCCCUUAUCCCUCGCUGUUUUUUUUUGCCUUUUUCUGGGUGUCAUACCAAAAAUCACGCAACCUAAUUCACGCACGAAAAAAUUACAUUUCAAAACAUAAAUAAUUAUGUAAAAAAAAAGUCGUAUUGUUUUCAAUGUUACCUAAUUGCUGCGUGAUUUUCCCACACCCUCCUCACAACAGUGUCAUGUUCAUCGUCCCAGCUGAAUCGAUGCUGUGUAUAAAAAAAUAAUUUUUUAAAAUGUUAAUAAUUUAUUUACAAUUAUAACUAGAAUUUAUUAGAAAUAAGCUGAAAAUUAUAUAUUAAACGAACCUCAAAUCUACGAAACCAUGCAUUGAUUUGAGGCAUCCAUUCAGGAUGCCUGGAUAUCUGACUCCAUUGAAACAAUGGAAUCUCCAUCGACGCUUUAAACGCCGAUGAUAUUACUCGGGCGGCCUCAAUGUUUGUGAACCUGAAAAGAAAUGAAAUUAAUGAAAUAGUGAUUACUUCAUAAAUUAUGUUUUAAAUUUUUUUUAUAUAUAUAAAAAAAACUAAAACCUUAACAAACUUACAUUGAAAGAUCGUCCUUCCACUGUGCCUCGUACUUGCGGGUAAAUUGAUUCCGCUGCGAAGGCACGCCGCUUCUGCGAUGUGAAACAUCGCUGGAAGAGGCAGCAUCGGUUGACGGUGCAGGUGGUGUAGGUGCCUCUUCUUGAGAGGCACCUAAGGAAACAUUAGCAUCGCUGCUAGACGAACUUGAUUCGACUGGACGUGAACGACUAGCUCUGGUUUUCAUUUGCGCAUCUAAACAAUUUUAUAUAAAUAAUUGUAUAAUAAAAUUCAAAAGUUAAAAAAAAAUCGGCAGCACCUCCCCUAUACUGGAUACUACCCAAAUCCACAAACCUGCAAAUAUUAACAAUAGCCACAACCAAUUAACCCAAUCUAUACUAAUUAUUCCAACAUAUUCAACUAUUAAUCCUAAGAUAAAUUCAACGUUAACAAUUACAAUUCACAAAUUAUUCAAUAAUUAUGUCAAUACAACAAAACUAUAAAUUCAAAAUAAAUAGAAACAAUUAAACACAAAUCAUCAAGUUAGAGUAAAAUUAAUAAUUCUUCCAACAUAUUCAAUUAUUAAAUCUAAGAUAAAUUCAACAUUAACAAUAUUAAUUCAACAAAUUAUUAAAUAAUUAUGGCAAUACAACAAUAAAAUAUAUUCAAUAAAAUAAAAAAGAAUUAUAGCCUAACAAUUAAAAUCAAUGGAAACAAUUAAACACAAAUCAUGCAAUAAUAUAAAAAAAAAUACUAAUUAUUCCAACAUAUCCAAUUAUUAAUUCUAAGGUAAAUUCAACAUUAACAAUUAUAAUUCAACAAAUUAAUCAAUAAUUAUAUAUGGCAAUACAACAAUAAAUUGUAUUCAAUAAAUUAAAAAAAAUAUAUAGACUAACAAUUAAAAUCAAUGAAAAUAAUUAAACACAAAUCAUGCAAUAAUAGAGUAAAAUUAAUAAUUAUUCUAACAUAUUCAAUUACUAAUUCUAAGUUAAAUUCAACUUUAACAACAAAUAUUCAACAAAUUAACUAAUAUGUUAUUAUAACAACAAAACAAUAAAAAAUAUUCAAAAAAUUCAAAAACAAAAACCUACAUCAAGAAAAGGAACGAAAUAUACAUACCUUAAUAAUGUGACAAAUUCAAAACGUUAUCUACAUUACAAAAAAAAAAACAACUAAAAUAAAUUAAAAGUAAAUAAAAUAAAUUGGAAAAAAGCACAUACCUUUUAAUAUGAGGAAGAUUCACACCACUAGGUGAAAUUCUUGAAGGAUUGAGGGCAAAAAAAUAAAAAAUCUAAGGUGCAAAAUGGAGGAGAAGAGAAGAGAAGCGGCGCGGGGAGAAGAAGAAAAAAUAAGGCAAAGCGACGGGGCUGGAACUUAUAGGGCAGUUUUACCGACAGACUCACCGACGGACUUAAUAUCCGUCGGUAAAAUGUCAAAAAUUUCGCACCGAAUUUUUAAAAGCCCUCCAUAUUUUUUGAUGUCCGUCGGUGAUUCCGUCGGUAAUAUGACAAGUUCAGAGGCGCAUUAAUUCACAUACUUUGGAAAUCGUGCGGUCCCUCGGUAUUUCUGUCGGUAAUAUGUGUGACCGACAAAUUACCGACGGAAAUAUUCCGUCGGUAUUAGCGUCGCAAAAUCGGUCGGUGAAUCCGUCGGUGAUUGUGGCAUUUUGUUGUAAAUAUUUUUGAACUCUCUGUGAGAUAUCGACGGUCGGUGAAUCCGUCGGUAUACCCGUCGAUGAUUGUGGCAUUUUGUUGUAAAUGUUUUCGAACUCUCUGUGAGAUGCCGAUGGAUUUAAUUUUGUCAGUAUGCCCGUACCUAGAUACAUCCACGAACGAUCAUCCAUGACUUCUAUCAAACCUCUAUAAAAAGGACCCAUUAAGCAAGCUCUUAAUUAUUUCAAAACAUAACAUGUAAUUCGGUAAUUCUACAAAUUAAGUUUUAACAAUUUACAAACAAAUACAAUCUUACAAAAUCUAAAACAAACCAUAACAAGUAUAAAAUUAUACAUUCAUAUACUACAAGUUUGUUUGAGAAAUAACAAUAAAACAUGUACAUCUAGUAAAAAAAAAUACAUAUACUAAAAAAACAAUAAAAUUGACAUUUAAAUGUUAAAAUUUUAAAAGAUAGAAUUACUUAUAAAAAAUGAUAAAAUCCGUUGGUAAAUCAGAACACGGAUGCUGUGACCACAAAACUUCAAGAAAUACAACUUGUUGUGCUGAGAUGAGGAAGAUUUUUGUUUUGGGGCGAGAGGGGGCUGAUUAUUUGCAGAUGGAGAGGGUUAGGAUUAGGAAGAACAAGGAGAAAUGGGGGAGGAGAGUGUCGGUAGAGUACUGGCCAUAUAUUCACUUUUGCCGACGGAGUUACCGAUGGUUUUAUUCCGUCGGUGAAUACGUCGACGAAACCGUCGGUAAUUCUGAUGGGCAAUCGACACGUCACCGCACGGACCUGCUCUUCAAAUCCCUCGGUGAUUCCGUCGGUAUUUUUAACGGUGCACCGGUCACGUCACUGGUACGGAUCUGGCAUUUCAAAUCCGUCGGUGAUUCCGUCGGUAUUAUUGACGGUGAACAGGUCUCAUCACGCGUACGGCUCCCUGGUUUUCAUUCCGUCGGUGAUUCCGUCGGAAAAAUCACCCGCCAAAACCUCCACGCCACCUACCCGCUCUUUUUUCAUUAAUUCGGAAUCUAUUCGUCGGUAAUUACCGAUCGAAUUACCGACGAACAUAGUCCGUCGGUGAUUUCGACCGAAAAAUACCGACAGAAAAAAUUCCAUCGGUGAGUCCGUUGGUAUUUAGCAAAUUUCUGGUAGUGUUUCAUAUUUAAAAGGGUGUUUUUGAAAGUAUAGAAUAUAAACUUAUUGAUCAAAGAAAAUUUUGAUUGAAAUCAUUGGUCUUUUACUUCCUAAAACUCAACCUAUUGAUAAUUUCCUCGUAAAAUUUAUUCAUUUCUGGGAACAUAUUGAUGGAACACAUCAAAUUCGUUAUUUCAACUGGAAAUCGAAAAGUUAUUACAAGUUCAAAUUAUUAUUACAGUAGUUACACAUGUUGGGUAUUUCCAGAACUCAAACACGCACAAAUUUACGUGGUUCGGCAACUUGCCUACUCCACGGAGCUACUGGUUUGUAUUAAUCAAGCUUACAAACAAUACAAACAACAAACCAAGGAGGAGGAGAAAAUUCUUCUCUACUCAACUCAACUCUCCCUAGCUCUCUCUCUCUAUUUCUCUCUGUAUUUCGUGUGUUCUACAGGCUCUCAUUAGCAGCCUCUUCUUAUAGCUAAAGUGGGAGACAAUUCUCUCCACUUUAGUCAAUUAUGACAACUACUUUUACACCACCAUUUGCAGCCAUCUUUCACUACUAAAAAAGGGGACUAUUAGCAUCUGAUUUUAGCAACGGAUAAUUUCGUUGCUAAAUUCAGUUGCGAUUGCAUAUUUAUUAUUUUUUUAAUAUUAGCAACGAAAAAUCCGUUGCUAAAGACUAUAAAAAUUUGCAACGGAUUAUCCGUUGCUGAUUGACAAAAUAAAUAUUUAAAUUUUAAUAUAAAGCUAAAAUUACACAGACCGUUGAUAAGGUAUUUUACUUUUACAAUCUCAACCGUUAAUUAGCAAUCCUAAACUCACACACUCUCUCCCUUUCAGAAACGUAAACAGAGCAAUAAACGAAGAACCCAGAAAAUGCUAAUUAACUUGCAGUGAAUCUCUUCAUCCCCUUCGUCCCCUGAUAAUAACAUCCAUAACAGUAGAAAAACAAUUAACUUAGCACUCUCUCUUCAUCGAUCUGAUCUUCCUUUGUCUAAACAUUUCUCUUGGAAAAGAGGGCGGCCCGCCCUCACCUUAGGCAGACAAGGGAGACAGAAGGGAGGAGAAAGAAGCCACUCUCUCGACGAUUAACGGCUUUCCUCAUCCCGGAUCUCAUCAAGCUAUGCUUUCGCCUUGUUCUUUCUCUUUUGGUGAGCCAACAAUAGAAGGUGCGGCUAGCUUCACAGAAAGAGUAAUCCUUUGGCAAUUCUUCUUUCUUGGUUUCCGUUCCCCUGCCACCUUCAAUCCGUCCUCUGGGAAUGCUAAAGCAAAGGUAAGAAAGCAAUUGGAUUGAAUAGUGUCAGGUUAUGAGCUCCUUCGUGAGCAGUAAGAGGGCAUUCUAACAAAGCAAAGAGAGACCCUAAAGUCAGUCAAGCAGUAACGGGGCGAAUGGUUUACCGUAGAUCGGCCUUUGCCUUUUUCGGGUAUCCAUCUUUUUUUAGACCUGAAGAGUUCUUAUUCUUCAAUAGCAGUCCCUUGCCCAGCUGGGUCGAGGUACCAUGCCUUCUCCUUGCCAGAUGGAGAGGUAAUUAAUUUUAGGAAUUAUUUGUUUCUCUGUUGCAAUUAAACUUACAGUUAAAUUUUAGCAAAUGUUCUGUACUGUUGGAUGUCCAUUUGCCCCAUUAUUGUAUGGACUCUGGUGAGAUAAACCAUAUCAUUGUGUUGAACUUACCUCUGGUUUUCUUUUGUUUGGUUCAAGGUGGACUCCUCUGAUGGUUCUCGUUCAUGGCACAGAAAUGAACUUGAGGUGAUUCUUACCACACAGCAAGAAAACCAGUCUCAAAUAUGUCCUUCUCCAUAUAAUAUCCAUUCCCUUUAUGAGCAUUGUCAAAAAUUGCCAGGUAAAUACAGGUUGUCAUAUUUUGUUGCAAACUUUACAGGAAUGCAUUGACAUAUGGGCUUGUUCCUUUGAAACCAUUUCUUAUUGAUAUCAUAUUUUUCGUAUUGAUCAUCACUUUGAAACCAUUUCUAAUAAACUGGUAGUUCCUGCUUACAGGCAGUAUAUAUACAAAGAAUUUUGUUCUUGCUUAUAGGCUUGUUCCUGCUUCCCUAAUAUAAUCCUCCUAUUGCCGGUCAUGCAUAGACAAACAGGUAUAAUGUUGAUUCGCAAGACAUGUUAUCCGUUAGUCCAUAGGGCAAUAUAGUGUUGGUGUUGAGUUAUGUUUGUGAUUUUUUCGAUCUAGCUUCUACUGAUUUUUUUGUCAAGGAAAUGAAUUCGAGCUGGGGAUCAUUGAUUGAACGGCUCUGAGAUAUAGAUAGAAUGCACAGAGGAGGUGAUCCCAUGGUGUCUUCUCUUAGCUUAGCGUGAUGCACAAGAAUUACGCAUAGCAAGUGAUCCAGUCUUAUUAGAAGUAGCAGUAGCCAAUGAACACUGGGUCAAUGAAAGCAGAAAGCACCAAACAAUGAGACCCUUGAAACUUCUGGAGAAUGGUUCACCCAAGGAGUUACAAGGUGCCACCAUCUUCUUAUUUUUUCAAUUCAUUAUAAAUUAUGGAUUUUAUUGUUAUUUUUUUUUAAAUUACUGAUUAGAUUUAUUAAAAUCAAAAUUUGAAUGACAUAGCAAGAAAUGCUAAUUGAAACACUUUUAUUAAAUCAGAAUUUAGAACCACUAAUUAAUUCAUAUUGUUUUUAUUUUUAUGCUUAGCUUAUAUCCAUGUUUGUUUCUUCAAUGAUAUAUAUGUACCUGUAUGAAGAACAAAGGAAACAAUUUUGCAUUCCUUCUUUAUCUUCUUGUUGAUAUUUCGGUACUCACUAAUGCAUUUCCAAGAAAGUGAUUUUUUUUACUUCAGCUUUGCUUAGUAAAAGUACAGAACAGCAAUGAGAAAUAGGAAAAAAGUUUUAAACUAUUAAUAGUGUGAUAUUUUGUUGAUCCUUGUAGAAUUUUAACAAUGAAACUGUCCUUGAAUUCUAUUGAGACAAAAUGUAACUUCUGAGGUUCAUGAUGCUAACAUCUCUAUGUAGGACUGGAUAUGUUGAACAAACCUACUAAGAAGCUAUUGACUUCUUGAUUCCAUAACAUGUAACUUCUGACUCCUUGGUCUGUUUUAGGUGUUUUGAUUUAACGGUUCUACUCUAAGAAUUUGAAGGGAUAAGUUUCUGCCAUAACAGAAUUACUGCUGUUAUUUUCACUUCCAUGUGCUUACUGGCUCUCUGUAAUCAAUGUUUUCCCACAAACAUAGUUUAGUAGAAAUCAGGGGACUAGGGUGGCAGGGGAUUAUACCUUGAUGCCUUCAAUUAUUGUGCCUUUUACACUAAACACUUCUUUGGUAUUUAGCAAUUAUUUUUACGAGAUUUUGUGGUUUGUAAGAGUACAUACUGUAUAUGGUGUCUAAUUUUGCCCUCUCAAUUGAAGGAUUGUGCUACUUAUACUGGGAGUUCCCCGAGUGUUAGGUGUAGGAGUCCUGGGAAUGAGAGAGAUGACCGAGGUAGGGACAGAAAAGGCCAUAAAGAUGAUGCUAGGGAUGAAAGCAGGAGGGGGAGAAAUGGGCACAACAGUGAUCGUGAAGAACGGUAUCGUGAAACGGCAGAUGGAUUCUUUUUAUUGUAUCUUUUGUUGUUUCUUUUUAUUGUAUUUUGAUUUAUUUGUAUUAAUGCAAGUUUAACUAAAUUUUUAUAAUAUGAAUAUUAUUUUUAUUCCAUUUUUUAUUAGUGAAUUAAUUUAUGUUGGUUAUAUUCUACAACUUUUAAACUAUCCAUAAAUAAUUAAUUAAACAAAUUAAAAUUCAUUUUAAUAAAUAAAAAAAAUUAAUUUAAUAAAAAUAAUAUAGUCAGCAACGGAUUUCCCGUUGCUGAUUGUAAAUAAUUAUUCAAUCAGCAACGGAAAUCCGUUGCUGAUUGAAUAAUUAUUUACAAUCAGCAACGGAAAAUCCGUUGCUAAAAUCCGUUGCAAAUCUGCAUCCGAUAUUUGCCGUUGCUGAUUCCGUUGCUAAAUUAUUUUAGCAAUGGAUUUUAGUUUUAUUUGCAACGGAAUGGUUAGUUGCUAAUUACUAUAUUUUUUAGUAGUGUUUGACGCCACCAUUGCAGCCAUCUUUGACGCCAUUAGGUCGGGAGUGGACCAUCAUCAAGACAGGAACGACCCACAGGUGGAGCAGGUAGGUGACUUGCACCUUCCUUUUUCUUAUGUUGAAUCUUGAAAUAUUUUAACUUGAGUACUAUCUUAUUGUUAGAACUGAUAUUAGAUUGUUGAACGCUUAAAUGUUGAUUAAAGAUUGAUUAGCUUCAGCUAAUGGCAUCCGAAUGGAUGGCCGGGACAAAAGAGUGAUUAGCUUCGGCUAAUGGCAUCCAAACGGAUGGCCGGGACAAAGAAUGAUUAGCUUCGGCUAAUGGCAUCCGAAUGGAUGGCGGGGACAAAGAAUGAUUAGCUUCGGCUAAUGGCGUCCGCAUGGAUGGCCGGGACAGAAUGAUUAGCUUCGGCUAAUGGCAUCCAAACGGAUGGCCGGGACAAAGAAUGAUUAGCUUUGGCUAAUGGCGUCCGAAUGGAUGGCCGGGAUGAAGGACUGAUUAGCUUCGGCUAAUGGCAUCCAAACGGAUGGAUGGCCGGGAUAAAAGAGUGACUUCGCUGCCGAUGCAGAAAUCGGCAGCGACGCAGUUUCCGCUGCCGAUUCUGGAUCGGCAGCGACACAGUAUUUGCUGCCGAUACAGAAAUCGACAGCGACCCAGUUUUCGCUGCCGAUACAGAAAUCGGCAGCGACACAGAUUCCGCUGCCGAUUCUGGAUCGGCAGCGACACAGAUUCCGCUGCCGAUUCUGGAUCGGCAGCGACGCAGAUUCCCCUGCCGAUACAGAAAUCGGCAGCGACGCAGAUUCCGCUGCCGAUACAGAAAUCGGCAGCGACGCAGAUUACAGUUUUCGCUGUCGAUUCCUUGAUCGGCAGCAAUGCAGUUUCUGCUGCCGAUUUUGGAUCGGUAGCGACGGAGCUUUCACCAUGGAAUCCGUGUUCAUACACAAAAACACACACAAUAUAUAUCCCAAGAUGUUUAUUCAUCCCGAAACGUUUUAAAAGAGGCCAAUUCCACAAAAUCCUGACAUCUCUUAUGAACAUCAACUUGGAUAGUUACUUCGGUUUCUCUUGAGAUCAGGAAGUUUAGGAAUCUUAAAGACCUACCUCCAACUGUAGAAAAGCAAGAAAAACGAGAUGAGGUAGACAUAAUGCGAGAGCAUGACUACAAGAAUUUGGUUGAGUAUAGAGGGUGGAAGAAUCCAUUGAAUAUAAAGCAAUGUUUGAAUAUUAUAUGUGUGUAUAUUUAAUUCUACUAUAUUGUACAAGUUUGGAACCUUAUUCUUACUUACAAAAUUAUCUCAAUUAAAAAAUUUAUGGAACUUUAAAUUCAAGAAUGAUUUUUUUUAUUCCAAUAUAUUUUUUAUAAAGUUUUUUGUGCCGAAAUCUUCUUGUCCAAGCAUUUAAAAGUUCAAUAUCACUCUUAUUCUUUUAAAUAUAGUUAUAUAAAUUUGAGUAAUAGAUUUGUGGAAUUUUCAAACUUGAAAAACUUUCAUUUAGUAUACUAUGGCAUAGAGUUAGCACAAAAUCAUUUUUAUGGCUACCUAAAAUUUAAAAUUUUGAUUGAUAUAGUAUUUGAUCGUCUUCACCAAUAUAGUGAAGCUGUUGCUAGUUUCUUUUGAAACAUUGAUGUUACUAUUCUGGCCUAAAUGCAAGUCAAAGAAUGAUGAACUAUAUAAAUGGUAGUUGUUGCUACCCAAUUUUUGACCCAUGUUUUGAUAUAUUUUCAAAAAAUCCAAAAAAAUUGAGAAAAACAAAGAAAAUCCAAAAUAAUGUUUUUUUAUAUAUUUUCGUCAUUUUAGCAUUUUCAACGUCGUCUAAAAAAGAACUUAAAUUGUUAAAAGAUUUUUCAAACGCGUUCGACUUUUCACGCGUCAUUUUUUAAAUCAUUGAUUUUUCGCAUUUGAGUCGACGUUGAUAUUGCUCGUUUUCAAAAAAUAUAAAAAAAUAAGAAAAAUCAAAAUUUACAAAAAGAAAGAAAUUGAGGGACCAAGUUGAAAAACCUAGCAACAUUUUUGCCUAUAAAUACUGGUCUUUAACUCACACAAAGGGGGGGGUUAAUUUUGGAAACACCAGAAAAAUACAAAAAAAGAAAAAACCCUAAACCUAUCUUCUCCCCCCAUUUUUCUCAAGGCAGCAGCACCCACCCUUGACAUUUUUUUUUUCUUUUGAAACCAGCCAAACAGCCCCUUCCCCCCCGAAACCGCCGCUCAUUUUCCUCCUUACAGAUCAGCCGCCGCCUCCUCCAGCUUGGAAUUUUUUUCUCUGCACCGUAGCCCUACCUUCUUCUCCCUCAGUCCCGCAGCCUUUGGGUGGGACUUUCCCGGGCAUCUCAUUUUCUCUUCCAGCCUCCACCCUCACUGCAACCUUAAGCAUCGAAACCUUCCCCCACACCAUUUCAGAUCUGCCCCUUUUCCCCCGUCGGCGGCUCGUUCAUCCCUUCAGCCCACAGACCAGCGGCUAGGCCAGCAUCACCGAACAGCCCCAUCUCCACCGAUCAGAGAACGGGCAAAGCCGUUCUCCAUUUUCGCAGACCCAUGGUCUCCGUCGGACAGCAGGUCGUUCCUUCAUCAGCCUCGUUUCCGCCGGCCAACAACAGUUUUUCUUUCUCCAGCAGCGCCGCCAGAUCUGGCACCCGAAGCUGAGGAGAAGAAGAUGAAACUCAGCCGCCACCAGCAGGGUUGAAGGCCAUCCUCACCAGAAAUCGAACAGACCCGAAACGGGCAGAAGAACAAAUUCAAAAUCAGAUCUAAAACAAGGACUAAAAUCAAUUGCUGCUAUGUGUUGGCUUUGUUUUGCAGGUGACGGACAGCAGGAUAUUGAAGAGGGGAGGAACAUGUUUUCAGCCACCCCCUUGCUGCUGUUUUUUUGACGGCGGCGCGUGAACCCACGCGCCGCCAGUGACGGUGGCGCGUGGGAAGACGCUCCGCCACUGUUUUCUGCCCCCGGAAGCCUUCCCAGUACUGUUCCCGUGCACUGUUCCUGCAUGUUCUAGAAGCUUUAACUUUUUUUAGGGUUUAUUUUGUAUUUUUUUGUAUUUUUAUUUGUUUGAUGUAAUAUUUAUUUAAUUUGAAUUUUUAUUUGUAUGUUGUAAAUGUGGAAAUACCAAAAGAAAAAGAAAAGAAAAGAAACAAAAAAUAGUAAAAGUGAAUGUGUGUGAUUGUAUUUGUUUUAUUUUUUAUAUAUUUUCUAUGAUGAAAUUGCAAGGACUAAAAAAGAAUUUAAUAUUUUGAUUGGAUCACGAUACAGAUUUAUUAACUUAUACGUAAGUUGUAUUUCUAACAUCCGAUGAAAAGACAAUUUUAAAACUUUUUUAACACGUCAAAAAUCACGAAGUAGCUUACCUCAGGUAGUGUGUGUUAGGGGUGCUAAUACCUUCCCUAACCACAACCAAUCCCUUACCCGCAAAUCUCUGACAAGACCAGUACAUCUGGUUUCCUAGUAGCCCGCAAUCAAUUACUAGGUGGCGACUCCAACGAACCAAAUUCAAGCAAACAACAAAUAAACUAGAUUUAAAUCGCCAGCCGAUGCCGCGCGCCGACUGAUUUUUUUGGGGUGCGACAGAAUGGCGACUCCACUAGGGAAGGUACUGUUUCUGACAUUAUUGGACUAAGCUUUGGGUAUUUGAUGUGUUUAAAUUUUUGCAUUUUUAUCUUGUUAAUAUUUUUUCCAUGCAUUUUUUAGAAUUGUCUCAUGCAUCACCUGUAUUUAUUUUUAAAAGCACACACAAGCUUCUAGGUUAGGUGGGGAACUAGCGAUCUGCCCUAAGACUAUUGGUCAGGGUUCAGAUGCGUGAAACACCCAACUCAUAUCUGAGUGCCUGCUUGGUAAUGGUGGGUAUACGUGCCUUAACUAUUCCUUGCAACGCCCCCACACUGUCUUUACGAAGAACGUCACUGGGCAGAUAUGAGACCCUUUUGAGACCAGAUAGAAAACCUACCCAUGUUCACAUAAUGAAUAGAACUUGUCCUUAGGUUGUAUGUGCUAUCGUUUUUUUUGCAUAAGGGCAAACCCUUCUUGAAGCAUCUUGACCUCAAGACUUGUGGGUGACACAUUGGCCGUUGCUCCGAAAAUUUUCAUUGUAGAGUUUGGGCAAAAAUCACGAUUCUUGUCCAUCAUACAAGAGUUACGACCAUAUUGUCACCUCUCGAAGGGUGAGUUCAUCAUAUAGAUUACAUGUUCAUACAUUUGUCAUGCAUGCACCAGAAUGAAAGGUAGGUCCCCCACACAAGCUGUGCUGCACGUGAUUGGAGAAAAAUGAUGGAGGUGAAGAAAGAUGUCAGAUAGAGGCUCAUUAUCAGAUUAAGGUUGAGAGCAUUAAAUGUGAAGUAGCUAGACUCAGAUCUGCUCGAACAAGUGUUGAGCAUCAAAUGGAAAGAGAAUAUCUGCACAGUCUUCUGUGGGAACAAAAGACUGUAUCUCUCCUUUUUCGUCAUGAACAAAAGCAACAACGCCUUCAGUCAUCAACUAAUGACAACUCUGGUUCUUAUCAAGUUGCAUUGUUAAAUGUUCAUCGCCUCCACAUCAUCUAAUGGAACCAAAAAACUACCGGUCUCCUGUACAUGACGCAUUAGUCUUCUUGGAAGCUGCCCUAAUUAUGAGCUUAAUUCCAUUUCAGCAGCACAAGAUGUUGGCUUGAUUAGACACUGAAUUUCUACAUGUGGCAUGAGCAAAACUUUGUAGUAGACAGAGAAGUCAAGCCUGGUCUGAAAAUAUGAGUAGUCGUCAAACUUCAACGUGGUAGAGCUCUCUCUACAAAAAUCUGUUGAUGAUGCUGCAAGGUGAGAGUGCAAGAGGGGAUUUACUAAUUGCAUAUGCUACAAAUAUUUCUCUCAUCGAUUUCAACGUGAAGAACUUGUAGCAGGUUGAAGAGCCAGACUUGGUUUGAAAAAACAUGAGCAGACAUCCAAAUUCAACGUAGCAGAGAUCUCUUGACAUGAAUCCGUUUGGGGAUAUGCAAAUGGGAAAUCCAAGAAGGGAUGCAUUGGUUUCAGAUUGUCCAUAAUUUUCUUUUUCCAGUAUCGGCAUUAAAACACAAAAGUGGUUGUUUGUUGCACCAUCAGUGAAGAAUCAAAGAGGAAAUAGAAGAUGUUGUAGAUUCAUCGGGUUCUCUUCCAAUUUUGACAAUGUGUGAUUCCACACGCUUUUGUUUUUGGGCGCUGCCAGAAUUACCUAGAUAUUAAGAGGGUUCCAACAAUCCUCAAACCACAACAACAUUGGAAGAUUGACAUGAUGUUGUGAGGAUUGUUGACGAAAUUGAACAAGUUAUGAAGAGAGGAAAGAUUGAAGGAUCUGCCAUGAAUUCUUAGAACAAUGAUGAGAGGUGAAUCAGGAGAUGACUUUGACGGUGUGAACCCUUAAUUAUGUGGUAUAGCCAGGUCUCACGGUAGCAUCAAUUGCCCAAAUAUCUUUGCCAAGAUGGGACAUUCCUCUGCCGUUUAAGUUUGUCGACCAGCAUCCGCAAGAUUCCAGAAUUUUGCUUGACUCCGACAAAUCCCAUGCAACCACCAAUUUCUCAGUGGUAUAAUCCAGAUAAGAGAUGUGAUGUCAUGGUGGGGUCCUCAACCAUUUCAAGUGAAAGUUUCAAGAAUUGCAAGAAUGGAGUCUGAAAGUUGGUGAGCAAGAGACAGUGGAGUCGUUGAAGAAGGGUGUCACUGGCUAUAUUGUUCCCCGAACAACUUCAGAAUCACAUGUGAUCGAAAAUGCUUUGCUAAACACAGAUAUUGCCAGAAAAACUGAUUCGAGAAUGGUGAUGAACAGUCAAUCAUAUUGUUAUGGAAUUCUGCAUUUUGUUUUGGGAUCACAUCUCAUCCUUCAACGAAACAUGCCUCGCUUUUGUCUCUUUGUUGUUUUGAAAUCAACAGAUGUUUAACAUUUUAUUUGACAAAAUAUUUUGAUCAAACUCCAACAUGCGAUAAAGGUUAAUCAAUCCUGAAGAUUAAAAGUGUUUUGAUUACAGAAAUGACUCUAUGCUUGAAAAUGACAUGAGGUGACCAAACAAUUUUGAACUCAUACCUUUUGAAACUGAACCACACAUCAUAUAGCUAAGUUUUAGCAGUAUGCAUAAUGACAUGUAGUGGAUUCGGUAGUUAUGGACUCGUGAAUCAUGAUUCUUACAAGUCUCAAUCAUUCAUUGGAUGAGGUCAAAAUUUAUCGGUUCUAACUGACUUUGCUUGAAAUGAGAAAAGGCCAUCUUUGAUAUCCCUUCACUUUCUAAAGAUUAUAUCCCUUGUAGUCCCAUUUUGAGCCUGGUGAAAUAUUUUCUUUCAAAAGGAAACCCUGACUAGGAUCACACCCCACACUGGGGGCAAAUGAGAAAUAUUUUGGAGACACUGAUAAAAUCAAUGGAUCAAAGAAAAGCUUAGAACAAAAGUCCAAUGUUUGAGAAAGGGCUAGAAGAAGAAAAUCCAUAGAUUGAGGGCCAUCCAAGAAAAACUUUGAGGAAGGCUAUGCAAAAAAAUGUGUAAAGAAAAUGGAAAGGAAAGAAAAUGCCUAUCAAUUCUAAGAGAGGCAAGACAGUUUUCAAUUGAGAAAAGACAAUAAAUGCCAAAAGUCAACACUAGAAAAAUCGAUGCUUCAUAUCUUUUGGUGUGUCUUGGAUAGAGCCUCUAAUGUCUUCAAAAUUAGAUUAGUUAUUCAUCAAAGAAAAAGUUGGAUUACAACCUAUGUUAAGAAAAUUCUGAUCUUUGAGGUUAACAAGGUUAUAUGUUGUUUCCUUUACAAAGACAACAAUAGAAAACAAGUUGAUGAAUAAUUGAUGUUGAUCCUAGGUCUUUGAAACCCUCAAACACCUUUUGAGCCUUUGAAAUUCCUUUCUUUCAUAGCCAUGAACCAUAGCCUGCAUUACGUGCUUUUAAAAGCCCUUUUUAAUCAAGCAAGCAAUCUGAACCAAUAAAUGGCGAUCUCAAAACUUGAAGAGUUUUUCUAUAAGAGUCGUGGCUUCAUUGAAUUAGGCUACUGGUUAUUAUGCAUGCUGAUAAAAAAAGUUAUAAGAAGAGAAACAACCUUUCUUGAUAAAGCCUGAGCAUCUUGUUUUUGAAAUUCAUAAAAAUGUCAUCUCAUCACAGACCAUCAAAAGAUAUACCCAAAAUCAGAGUUUAAAGUGGAUAGAAAGAACCAUGGGAAAAACCAUUUUAAUCUUACAACAGGUCGAUUUCUGUUUUCAAAAUACAAAACAAUCAAAGGACUGCGUAUUUCGAAUAACGUGUGUUGGGUCUUUGAUAAAAAAAAAGCUUGAUUUCCAAAAGAUUUUCAAAAAGGACAUCUCUGAUUUCAUUUCAACAAACUAGACUUUGAAUAUACAUGAUCGUUGAAAUGUUGAGAUUUGAUUCCAAAACAAGAAAGAUUUUCAAACAAGAACAUCAAUUGAGUUUGCAAAAUUCUUGACAAAAAUGACAUCAACAUUUCUCGACACUCCUGGAAACGUUGACCACCUGGGGGCAAUACAGUGGACCUUAAGGAGGAAAGCAAACAGUAUCCAGAUCAGCUGGGGGCAAAGAAAGAAUCCGAUGAUGAAUCGUCAAAGUUCAUCAAAGUUAUGUUUAGCAUCUGACAAUGACAAAGAAAAAACCUUCUUGAGUAUAAACCGUGAACGAACCUUCAGAUCAUACUGGGGCCAAUGUUGUUCAAAGACAAUCCAUGAUCUAGUGCACUUCAGCAGUAAUUGAUGAGCAACGCUGCACUAGAAAGAUAUUUUCGUAUCUUCAUCUUAGAUGACUUUGUAAAACAUGGAUAUGACUCCGGGCAGAUGUUAUCGGGUGGGUGCAUUUGGAUGAACAUCGAACAUAUGCAUAUCACCAAGAUCUACGACGGGACCAUCUAUUCUGAAGCUCAAAUGCGCACUUCACCGCAUGAAUAUGGGUGAUAACAUGAACAUCAUUGAUGAUGCCAAAGCAGAUAUUUUCACGAUCUGAUUUGACAAGCUAAGAGGAAUCCAUAGAGAAAUACAUCGCGCUUACAAUGAUGAGCUGUUUACUGCAAAGCAUGAGAUACAUGUCUGGAUGACUUGGCAGUUCCAUGAAGGCUGGUGACCAUACAUACGUGAAUGGUGUUUCAACCGAAGGCAAGUUCAUGACUGAUUAACAAACGUGAUGGGUGUUGGCAUGAUGCACACAAUCAAUUAGAGGAUAAUUUCUCAGAAGAAGCCAGGAGAGAAAAUCUCUCAUGAUGAAUCAAGCAGUACCACACUUGGGGGCAGGGUCAAGCUUGAUGAACGAUGCAAACAGUAAUUGUCGAAGACAACCCGGGAUGGGCACUGCAUUUACAGCUGAAUAAUGGCCAGUACAUGAAUGAGUCAAUGCAUUGGAAGAACAAAGAAAGCUUUGGGAUACAAACAAGGGCACCCUAUGACGAUGGAGCAUCAAAUAGGGGGGGACCUAUAUUUCAAAUCAGGUAAGGAUGCAUGCAUAUCAUCUAACCUAAAAAAAAAAAAAAAACAUUUGCACGUAUUUUUGAAUUGUUACAGGAAAAUCCCUAAUGGGGUCCAGCAAGACGGUGGAAAGAGAAAGAAGCAUUGUGGUGAUGAUAAUAAAGAAUCGGUUUUGAUCAUGGAAUAAAAGGACGAUGGGAUGAACCCUACCAUUAGGAAAAUCCCAAAGAAAUGAAAAUCAACCUUGCAACGGGAAGCCUCGAGUUUUCAACCCUUGCAGUCAGGAAACACCGAGUUUUCAAACCCCAUGAUCGGGAAUUAUCAGGAAGCACCAAGUUUUCCAGCCCUUUUUUCUGUCAUCCCUUCAGAACUUCGCCAGGUAAGUCCUAUUUUUCACACUUGUCAUAUCACAUUUUUUCCAUCUGGGUAGGUCGCCCAUCAUAAUAAGACCGUUUUUCACAUUUUGUCCAUCUGGGUAGGUCACCCAUUACAAUGAGACCACACUUCAUAUUUUUUCCAUCUGGGUAGGUCACCCAUUACAAUGAGACCACACUUCAUAUUUUUUCCCAUCUAGGUAGGUCACCCAUUACAAUGAGACCACACUUCAUAUUUUUUCCAUUUUUUGGGUAGGUCACCCAUUACAAUGAGACCGCACUUCAUAUUCUUUCUAUUUGGGUAGGUCGCCCAUCACAACGAGACCACUUUUUCAUAUUCUUUCUACGUGGGUAGGUCACCCAUUACAAUGAGACCGCACUUCACAUUUUUUCCAUCUGGGUUCGUCACCCAUACAAUGAGACCAUCAUUUUUCUGGGGUUCGUCACCCAUACAAUGAGACCAUCAUCCAUCUGGGUUCGUCACCCAUACAAUGAGACCAUCAUUUUUCGGGGGUUCGUCACCCAUACAAUGAGACCAUCAUAUUUCUGGGGUUCGUCACCCAUACAAUGAGACCAUCAUUUUUCUUGGGUUCGUCACCCAUACAAUGAGACCAUCAUAUUUCUGGGGUUCGUCACCCAUACAAUGAGACCAUCAUUUUUCUUGGGUUCGUCACCCAUACAAUGAGACCAUCAUUUUUCUGGGGUUCGUCACCCAUACAAUGAGACCAUCCUUUUUCUGGGGUUCGUCACCCAUACAAUGAGACCAUCGUUUUUUCUAGGGUUCGUCACCCAUACAAUGAGACCAUCAUUUUUUUUCUGGGGUUUGUCACCCAUACAAUGAGACCAUUUUUCACACAUUCUUGUGUUUUGGUUAAAUGAGGUCGCCAGAUGGGAUCUCGGGUAGCUUUGGUUAAAGGGAAUCGCCAGAUGGGAUUUCAGGUUAACCGAGUUACGCAUUUUUCGUUCCAAUUGAAUGAGGUCGCCAGAUGGGAUCUCAUGUAGCUUUGGUUAAAGGGAAUCGCUAGAUGAGAUUUCAGGUUAACCGAGUUACACAAUAUUUUCGUUCCAGUUGAGUGAGGUCGCCAGAUGGGAUCUCAGGUAAACCCAAUGUGUGGGCAGGUCGCCCGUGAAAAUAGACUAUUGGGAGAGUGUGGGUCGGUCGCCCGUGAAAAUAGACUAGAGUGAGUAUGUGUGGGCAGGUCGCCCGUGAAAAUAGAUCGGUGUGAGUGUGUGGGCAGGUCGCCCAAGAUAAUGAAAUCAUUUUUCUUUUGUUUUCUUUACAAAGCUUACUAUGCAAAAAUUUGAGGAUUUUCGCUUCGUAAGCAUUGUAAAGAGGGGGCAUCUGUUGCUACCUAAUUUUUGACCCAUGUUUUGAUAUAUUUUCAAAAAAUCCAAAAAAAUUGAGAAAAACAAAGAAAAUCCAAAAAAAUGUUUUUUUAUAUAUUUUCGUCAUUUUAGCAUUUUCAACGUCGUCUAAAAAAGAAUUUAAAUUGUUAAAAUAUUUUUCAAACGCGUUCGACUUUUCACGCGUCAUUUUUUAAAUCAUUGAUUUUCCGCAUUUGAGUCGACGUUGAUAUUGCUCGUUUUCAAAAAAUACAAAAAAAUAAGAAAAAUCAAAAUUUACAAAAAGAAAGAAAUUGAGGGACCAAGUUGAAAAACCUAGCAACAUUUUUGCCUAUAAAUACUGGUCUUUAACUCACACAAAGGGGGGGGUUAAUUUUGGAAACACCAGAAAAAUACAAAAAAAGAAAAAACCCUAAACCUAUCUUCUCCCCCCAUUUUUCUCAAGGCAGUAGCCCCCACCCUUGACAUUUUUUUUUUCUUUCGAAACCAGCCAAACAGCCCCUUCCCCCUCGAAACCGCCGCUCAUUUUCCUCCUUCUUACAGAUCAGCCGCCGCCUCCUCCAGCUUGGAAUUUUUUUCUCUGCACCGUAGCCCUACCUUCUUCUCCCUCAGUCCCGCAGCCUUUGGGUGGGACUUUCCCGGGCAUCUCAUUUUCUCUUCCAGCCUCCACCCUCACUACAACCUUAAGCACCGAAACCUUCCCCCACACCAUUUCAGAUCUGCCCCUUUUCCCCCGUCGGCGGCUCGUUCAUCCCUUCAGCCCACAGACCAGCGGCUAGGCCAGCAUCACCGAACAACCCCAUCUCCACCGAUCAGAGAACGGGCAGAGCCGUUCUCCAUUUUCGCAGACCCACGGUCUCCUUCGGACAGCAGGUCGUUCCUUCAUCAGCCUCGUUUCCGCCGGCCAACAACAGUUUUUCUUUCUCUAGCAGCGCCGCCAGAUCUGGCACCCGAAGCUGAGGAGAAGAAGAUGAAACCCAGCCGCCACCAGCAGGGUUGAAGGCCAUCCUCACCAGAAAUCGAACAGACCCGAAACAGGCAGAAGAACAAAUUCAAAAUCAGAUCUAAAACAAGGACUAAAAUCAACUGCUGCUGUGUGUUGGGUUUGUUUUGCAGGUGACGGACAGCAGGAUAUUGAAGAGGGGAGGAACACGUUUUCAGCCACCCCCUUGCUGCUGUUUUUUUGACGGCGGCGCGUGAACCCACGCGCCGCCAGUGACGGUGGCGCGUGGGAAGACGCUCCGCCACUGUUUUCUGCCCUCGGAAGCCUUCCCAGUACUGUUCCCAUGCACUGUUCCUGCAUGUUCUAGAAGCUUUAAUUUUUUUUAGGGUUUAUUUUGUAUUUUUUUUUUAUUUUUAUUUGUUUGAUGUAAUAUUUAUUUAAUUUGAAUUUUUAUUUGUAUGUUGUAAAUGUGGAAAUACCAAAAGAAAAAGAAAAGAAAAGAAACAAAAAAUAGUAAAAGUGAAUGUGUGUGAUUGUAUUUGUUUUAUUUUUUAUAUAUUUUCUAUGAUGAAAUUGCAAGGACUAAAAAAGAAUUUAAUAUUUUGAUUGGAUCACGGUACAGAUUUAUUAACUUAUACGUAAGUUGUAUUUCUAACAUCCGAUGAAAAGACAAAAUUUUAAAACUUUUUUAACACGUCAAAAAUCACGAAGCAGCUUACCUCAGGUAGGGUGUGUUAGGGGUGCUAAUACCUUCCCUAACCACAACCAGUCCCUUACCCGCAAAUCUCUGACAAGACCAGUACAUCCGGUUUCCUAGUAGCCCGCAAUCAAUUACUAGGUGGCGACUCCAACGAACCAAAUUCAAGCAAACAACAAAUAAACGAGAUUUAAAUCGCCAGCCGAUGCCGCGGGCCGACUGAUUUUUUUGGGGUGCGACAGUAGUAUACAAUACAAGUUGAAGAAUCUAAUUAAAGAAAGUGAUUUGGAUCCAUAGACUAGUCAUACACUAAAUCUCAAUAUUGAUUCUGAAUUCCAUGAUUUAUAUUAGUUUAGGAACAAAAAAUAAGUAAGAUUUAAAUUAUUGUUAUUUUUAUCGAGCACUACAUCAUGUCCAUUCCAUUAGAAUAUAAACUUAUUGAUCAAAGAAAAUGAACUCAACUUGACAUUUUUCUCUUAAAAUAUAUUUAUCUAUGAGAGAACAUAUUGAUAGAACACAUUCAAUUCAUUAUUUCAACCGGAAACUCAGAAGUUAUUACAAGUUCAAAUUAUUAUUUCAAUAGCUAGGCACACACAAUAUUCCAAGAUGUUUAUUCAUUCCCAAAAAUAACCUUUUAAAAGAGGGCAAUCCCUCAGAAUCCUGACUUCUCUUGAUGAAGAUCAACCUGGAUAGUUACUAGUUCUUUCUUUCUACAGAGAUCAGGAAGUUUAUCAGUCAGCCACCUCCAACUGUAGACAAGCACGAAAAACGAGAUGUAGUAGACAUAAUGCGAGACCAAUCCUUCCAUAAUUUGGUUGACGGAUGGUGGAAGAAUCCAUUGAAUAUAAAGCAAUGUUUGGUUUAAUGAACAUGAUGAUGCACGAUGGCAUGAGAGUCCACAUCUUAUACCUUCCGGUGAUUUAACCAAUUAAUUCAAGAGUUUCAAACUCUCAUGUUAAAAUCCAAGAAUACAGUUUUAUAAUUUUUUUUAUUUUAAUGGGAGAUCUCGUGUGCGUUGGACUGCAUUAUAUAUGUAUAUAUAAACGAAUUUUCAACUAUUGAUUUGGAGUGUCGAUUUAAAGUAUUGUAAUAGCUUAAGAUGUUUAUUGAAUAAGAUGAAUCUAGCUAAGUCUUGGCUUUACCCAGCAUGAACAUUUUCUUUUUAGUUACAUACCUAGUAUGAAUUUAAUUUAGUAGUAAAAGUACGGAACUGAUGGUAAAAAAAAUAAUAAACUAAUUUAAAAAAAAAAAAGCUUUGGAAUGUUCUAUGCCUUGCCCAGACAACCUUGUUGGUCGCCCAUUGGAUAGCAAGACCGAUUGGUUGGCCAACUCGCCUAGCAACCAGCCAACUUAUCUCUCUCUCUCUCUCUCUCUCUUAUUUUUUAUCUUUUUAAUUUUCUCUCCUUUUUUUUUCAACAAAUAAAACUACAUGCCACACACUCUAUAUACUAUUUUACUUGUAGCACAUACUUUUUUAAUCUACGCACACACAAGAUCAUUGCAGGACAAGCGUUGUAUUAUCAGCCACUUGAAGGUCAAUCAAAAUAAUUAAACCUGGUGGCUUCAUUUUGUGUAAUGCCUAUCAUUUCAAAGUUAUCUUCAAACUUCUUUUUAUUUAUUGUAUAUAAUUUUAUAGAAUUAACUCUUUCUAGAUCGAUCCUGAUUUUAUUAGGUUAUUUAUUACUUGAACAAUCCUGCAUUUAAAAUAAAACAUUAAUUUUUUAAUUAUAUUAGAAAUUUAGAUUUCAUUUAUCUCUUUUCAUGAUCAACUUGUAGAUGUUUUUGCUAUGUUAUUUUUUAUUACUUUUUCAUUCAAGUUUUGGAUUGAUUCUUCACCCUUAUUUUGAGAGGCAUAAUAUAUAUCAAGGAAACAUUAAUAUGUUUAAUCACUAUUAUACAAGGUUGGUUAACUAAUAAGUUAAUAUAUAAUUCCAUUCAAAACAUUACACUUUCACUAUUUGUUUUUUAUUUUUUUUCUUUUAAUAUAAGAACUUAUAUAGCCUAUCAUUGAUAAAUAAAUAAAUUAAAUUUGCUUUAAUGGAGUCAUUUUAAAUUUGCUUUAACUCAACUUAUUGACAAUUUUCUCUUAAAAUUUAUUCAUUUCUGAUAAUAUAUUGAUAGAACACACCUUUAAUUCAUUAUUUCAACUGGAAAGUACUUAAAAGAUACUACAAGUUCAAAUUAUUAUUACAACAUCUAGACACACAAUAUUCCAAGAUGCUUUUUCACUCCUAACCUUCUAAAAAAAGGCGAUCACAUAAAAUCAUGACAUCUGUUGAUGAAGAUCAACCUGGAUAGUUACUUGGGCUUUGUCCAGAGAUAACGAAGUUUAUGAAGACGAGGAAGACUAUACGACGUCAGGCACCUCCAAUUGUAGACAAGCAUGAAAAACGAGAUGUAGUAGACAUAAUGCGAGAGCUUUCCUUCAAUAAUUUGGUUGACGGAUGGCGGAAGAAUCCAUUGAAUAUAAAGCAAUGUUUGAGCAACGAAAAACGCGAUCCCCACCACUAUAAGGAUGAUUGCGAACACCCCAUAAUUGGAUCCACCUAAUGCUAUGCUCACGGCAAAAAAGAAUGACAAGCACAUCAUGUAAAUAGACCCACCCACCAUUAACGAUGAAAACCAAAGUGCAAAUGGUGCAAACUUGACAUCAUUCAAGUUUGUCCAAAGAAGGAUUAUAGCUGCCACCACAGAGGUAUUUAAAGCCCACACAUCAAGACAUAAAUAACCAUCCAAAAGAGAUGAACCAGUAGGACUGUCAAGCAGUGCUGUUCCGGGAGGCAGGCAGUGCUGUUAAGUUCAUGAAGAUGCUCACUCUUGUUAUUUUUAUCCCUUAGUUGUGGCAUCUGUAUAGCACCCGCGAAGGUUACACCAGCAACAAGCACCGCUACAACAAGAAGAUUCUCUAUCCUGCUCUUUGUUUCCUGUUUCCUUGGCGGCUUGCCUUGAGUACUAGUGAAACGCUCAUAUUGGGAUUUCUUAGGGCGGGCAUGGAAGUAUAAGAUAGAUAAUGUUGUCAUCUGCAUAGCAUGGGGAAACAAACUUCGUAAUAAUGAGUUUCUGGCACUUCCUCAAUCGCAUGCAAAAGCUUUUGCCUUGAAAUCCCUUAUUUUUUUUGAAGAACAAGCACGAUUCUGGAAUGAUUUCUGAAUUUUGAAAAUAACUGUGUAGAAUCUAAAUUAAUCGGCCUUCAAGUAGAUGUUCAAAAGAAUAGGGAUGACUAGAAAAAAUAUAGGAAAGAAGAUGUGUAAUAUUACCGUUCCAUAAUAAUCAAGCAGCUUGUAGUGCUUUGAAUCAACUGCUUUGUCCUGUAAAAAGACAUAUUUUUAAGUUAAUGAAUAGAGCUACCUCUUUUUUCUUUCUUCCCUUCAUUCCUUUUGUGCUAUGGCUAGCCAACAAUAUAAGCCACUGAAACUGAUGAUCAGCCCAUGUUUGGAAAGUAGUUCUUUGAGCUUAGAAGAGAUAAUUAACCUCGAUUUUGUGUAGUCAAUGUAAACUUGUACCUUUCCUUGAGAACCAGUCGAAGCGGUCGCCUUUUCUGUUGUAGAGUUCUUCUUUCCAUCCUUCACAUCUUCUGAAUUAACUUCGAUCUGAGGAAUGAAGACAGAAAUCAUGAAGCAACGCAGAGCAGAUAAUUGUACAAAUUACUUGACAUGAGCUCUUCUGACAAAGGAUGAUUGAGUAUAUCAAAGAACCACUCAACUCAAAAGCUUUAACAGCUAAUUGAGGUUUAAGGAUACGAUUUUAUAUUGUAUCUUUAGUCCUGAAUUUCAGUCAGCUUUUAAGAGUGUUAAGUUAUAUACUCUGUUUCCAUUCUUUCAUGACAUCAUCCUUUAUUAUGUAAAAUAUGAUAUCCUUUAGUGAAAUGGAAUCCUUGUCUACUUAAAUUGUAACAACAUUGUUUUUCAACAGAACUCUCAUACCUGGAUCUCGUCCGCAGGAAUACUGUUCUUUGAAUCAAACUGCUCUCGUUCCUUUGCAAGCUGGCAACAAAGAGGAAGCCCAGAAACCAAAAUAUUAAAUAAAUAAUACUCUUAAAAUAUGUACUUUUGUAGCCUCGAUAAAUGAUGAUCAAAUAGCAUACCAUUUCAUCUGUUUUGUCAUAUUGGUCUACAGCCUUUUGAGAUUGUUGUUUCGCAACAUCAUAUGGUGUAAAAUUUUCAUUGUUAGCAAUUGAAUUUUCAACGCGUUUGUCACGCACAAGAACAAAUGCAACCAUGGAUUGACCAUGUCGUGCUGCCAAAUGCAAAGGUGUAUUCCCAUCCUCAUCCAUCUCAUUUAGCAGUGGUUCUACGAUCUUCUGAUCGUUUUCGAGUAUGUACCUUACCACAUUACCCUGUCCAUUUUCUGCCGCUACAUGAAGAAUAUUCUGCCCCUUUUUAUUCAGGAAUUCUUUAGGAUAUGGGGUAAUCUUCAGAAAUUCCUUUACUACAUCAACAGAGUCAUUUUUGCAUGCAACAUGAUAGGAUAGUUGCCAUCACUGUUUGUUUCAUAAGCACCAUUGAGAAACUUCUUCAAUAGGAAUUGAACUCCUUCCAGAAAACAUAUGGAUGAUGCAUAAUGCAGUGAAUUUCCCAACCUUCGGCAGUGAGACAUAAUAGCUCUGGCUUUGCUUUUGCAAUUUUCUCCAAUAGAUCUGAAAAUCAAAAGAAAAUGUUUCAAAUGAAAAUAAAGAUGAUAGGUUUGAAACAAUUGUUUGUAUGCAAAUCCUUUUCUAGUGAGUAUAGACAUUGUGAUCACCUAUAUUACGUUGCUCGAUGGCAGCAUGAACAGGGGAUUUUCGUUUUGGUAGGGCAUCACCAUCUUCUCUUGUUAUAGGAAUCGAAGCUCCCAAAUCCAAGAGAUCAUCAAGUAUCCCGUUCUUAUUGCCAUUCUCAACAGCCAGAUAUAAAGGAGACCUGUCAUUCUUGUUGCUGUAAUAGGCCACUUCUGGAUCUCUGGAAACUAGGAAUUUGGCAACUUCUUCGUUACACUUGAUGACUGCGUCGUGCAAAGGAGUGUUUCGCUUUCCAUUUGCCAUCCUCAUCAAGCUCGGAUUCAAUUCCACGAGAGAUUUAAUUGUACGAAUAGCCGUUCUUUCUCUGGCAGCAAGAUGAAGGACUGUGUCGUUCUGGCUGUUUCGCAUGGUGAUUAGAGAAGGAAACUCUUUAACCAGAUAAGAUGUAAUAUUGUCACUUCCAUAGCUUACAGCAACGUGAAGCAGUGUAUUCCCGCAGGGAGUCACUAGCUUCUCUGUUAAAUGUUGCUGAAAACGUCUUUUCAAGGCCUCAGUAUCGUCCUGCUUCACACACUCAUGUAACUGACUAUCUAUCAUUGCAUUUUCCAAGUGAUCUCUCGGAAUCGAGUUUUCAUCUAUGUUUAUCUCAACGGCGCUAGACAUAGCAAAAUAAAAUAUUAGGUUACUUGAAUCAGCUAUACCUAUUACUUAUCAGACAGCAGGACUUCUAAUUCAAAUAGGCUAGACUGCAUGUCAAUGGAAUCUGAAGUAACGUGAAUCUUAAUUACUCUUUUUUUUAUUUGCAAGGAUACUUUGAUUAUCAAAUACUUCACCCAUUUCGUUCUGGAAUCUUGGCUAUGGUUAAAGCAGCAUCUAAAAAAGGAAAAGGAAAAGGAAAAGGAAAAGAGGAAAAUUCUUAACUUGAAUUUAUAACUCAUAUACAGAGUGCAGUUGGGAGAAUUCAUGGUUUAAUGAACAUGAUACACGAUGGCAUGAGAUUCUUCAUCUUCUCGCGGUGAUUUAACUAUUCAAUUCAAAAGUUUCAAACUCUAACGUUAAGCUCGAGUGGUUAGCGCCUGAAGCAAGCCGAAGUCGCGGGUUUGAUUCCCCCUGGACGCACAAUUUUUAGUUUUUAAAAAAUAAAACACAUACAAGUUUUUUUCCCCCUCCAAAAAUAGGUUUUUAUUGAUUUUUUUUAUUUAGUAUUGAUUUCAAAGUAAAUUAAUUUUUUUAUUGGAUAAUAAAAAAAAAAAACUCAACCUAAUAGAAUUCAUGACUUCAAGAAUUUGGUUGAGUACAGAUGGUGGAAGAAUCCAUUGAAUAUAAAGCAAUGUUUGAAUAUUAUAUGUGUGUAUAUUUAAUUCUACUAUAUUGUAUAAGUUUGGAACCUUAUUCUUACUUACAAAAUUGCCUCAAUAUUUUAAAAAUUUAUGGAACUCCAAAUUCAAGAAUGAUUUUUUUUAUUCCAAUACAUUUUUUAUAAAGUUUUUUGUGCCGAAAUCUUCUUGACCAAGCAUUUAAAAGUUCAAUAUCACUCUUAUUCUUUUAAAUAUAGUUAUAUAAAUUUGAGCAAUGAAUAUGUGGAAUUUUCAUUUUUAUAGCUACCUAAAAUUUAAAAUUUUAAUUGAUAUAGUAUUUGAUCGUUUUCACCAAUAUUGUGAUGUUGUCGCUAGUUUCUUUUGAAACAUUGAUGUUACUAUUCUGGCCUAAAUGCAAGUCAAAGAAUGAUGAACUAUAUAUGGUAGUAUACAAUACAAGUUGAAGAAUCUAAUUAAAAGAAAGUGAUUUCAAUCCACAGACUAGUCAUACACUAAAUCUCACUAUUGAUUCGGAAUGUAAUGAUUUAUAUUAGUUUAGGAACAAAAAAUAAUUAAGAUUUAAAUUAUUGUUAUUCUUAUCAAGCACUACAUCAUGUCCAUUCCAUUAGAAUUUCAAUCAUUUAAACUUAACGAAUGAAAUUAAAAUACAUGAGAUAUAGAAGAAAAAAAAAACAUGAGAUAAUCUCCAUCUAAAAAAAAAAAGAAUGAAGAAGUAAAGGUUUAAAUUUAUAAGUUCAAUUAAAAAAAAAGUUAAACAAUUAAAGGUAUGUGAACAAUUAAAAAAAACAUGAGAUAGUUACUAUUUCUUUCUACGAAGAUCGGGAAGUUUAUCAGUCAGCCACCUCCAACUGUAGACAAGCACGAAAAACGAGAUGUAGUACACAUAAUGCGAGACCAAUCCUUCAAUAAUUUGGUUGACGGAUGGUGGAAGAAUCCAUUGAAUAUAAAGCAAUGUUUGGGCAACGAAAAACGCGAUCCCCACCACUAUAAUGGUGAUCGCGAGCACCCCAUAAUUGGAUCCACCUAAUGCGAUGCUCACGGCAAAAAAGAAUGACAAGCACAUCAUGUAAAUAGACCCACCCACCAUUAACGAUGAAAACCAAAGUGCAAAUGGUGCAAACUUGACAUCAUUCAAGUUUGUCCAAAGAAGGAUUAUAGCUGCCACCACAGAGGUAUUUAAAGCCCACACAUCAAGACAUAAAUAACCAUCCAAAAGAGAUGAACCAGUAGGACUGUCAAAGGCAGUGCUGUUCCGGGAGGCAGGGGCAGUGCUGUUAAGUUCAUGAAGAUGCUCACUCUUGUUAUUUUUAUCCCUUAGUUGUGGCAUCUGUAUGGCACCCGCGAAGGUUACACCAGCAACAAGCACCGCUACAACAAGAAGAUUCUCUAUCCUGCUCUUUGUUUCCUGUUUCCUUGGCGGCUUGCCUUGAGUACUAGUGAAACGCUCAUACAGGAAUUUUUUAGGGCGGGCAUGGAAGUAUAAGAUAGAUAAUGUUAUCAUCUGCAUAGCAAGGGGAAAUCAACUUCAUUAUAAUGAGUUUCCGGCACUUCCUCAAUCGCAUGCAAAAGCAUUGGCCUUGAAAUCCCUUUUUCUUUUUCUUUUUUCAGAACAAGCAAGAUUCUGGAAUGAUUUCAGAAUUUUGAAUAUAAUUGUAUAGAAUCUAAAUUAAUCGGUCUUGAACUAGAUGUUUAAAAGAUUAGGGAUGGCAAGAAAACAAUAGGAAGGGAGAAAAGAAAUAAUACCGCUCCAUAAUAAUCAAGCAGUUUGAAGUCCUUUGGUGGUGACUUUUUUGUGUCAUGCUCCUUUGAAUCAACUGCAUUGUCCUGUAAAACAGAAACAAUUUUAUGUUAAUGAAUAUAAGCCACUGAAACUGGUGAUCAGCAAAUUUUUGGAAAAUAGUCCUUUGGGCAAAGAAAAUUUCAACACAACACUUAUACCUGGUUCUUGUCCGCAGGGGUACUGUUCUUUGAAACAAACUGCUUUCGAUACUCAGCAAGCUGGCAACAAAUAGGAAUCCCACAAUACCAAAAUAUUAAAUCAAUAAUACUCCUAAAAAUAUGCUUUUUUAGCUCAAUAAAUGAUGAUCAAAUAGCGUACCAUUUCAUCUGUUUUUUCAUAUUGCUCUACAGCUAUUUUGGAUUGUUUUUCAGCAAUAUCAUAUGGUGUCAAAUUUUCAUUGUUAACAAUCGAACUAUCAACGCGUUUGUCACGCACAAGAACAAAUGCAGCCACGGAAUGACCAUGAUUUGUUGCCAAAUGCAAAGGUGUAUUUCCAUCCUCAUCCAUCUCAUUUAGCAGCGGUUCUACGAGCGUCUUCUCUUGUCUGAGUAUGUACCUAACCACAUUGCCAUUUCCAUUUUCCGCAGCUACAUGAAGAAUGUUCUGCCCUUUUUUAUUGAGGAAUUCUUUUGGAAAUGGGGUAAUCGUCAGAAAUUCCUUGACUACAUCAACAGAGUCAUUUUUGCAUGCUAGAUGGAUAGGAUAGUUGCCUUCAUGGUUUCUUUUAUAAGCACCAUUGAGAAACUUUUGUAAAAGGAAUUGAACUCCCUCCUGAAAACCUCUGGAUGAUGCAUAAUGCAGUGAAUUUCCCAACUCUUUGUCAGUGAGACAUAAUAGAUCUGGCUUUGCUUUUUCUAUUUUCUCCAACAUAUCUGAAAAACAAAAGAAAUUGUUUCAAAUGAAUAUGAAGAUGAUAGGUUUGCAACAACUGUCUGUAUGUAAAUCAUUUUCUACUGAGUAUAGACAUUGUGAUCACCUCUGUUACGUUGCUCGAUGGCAGCAUGAACUGGUGACUUUCCUUUUGGUAGGGCAUCACCAUCUUCACUUUCUAUAGGGAACGAAGCUUCUGUUUUCAAGAGAUCAUCAAGUAUCCCGUUCUUAUUGCCGUUCUCAACUGCCAGAUAUAAAGGAGACCUGCCAUUCUUGUUGUUGUAAUAGGCCACUUCUGGAUCUUUGGAAACUAGGAGUUUGGCAAGUUCUUUGUUGCCCUUGAUCACAGCAUCAUGCAAAGGAGUGUUUCCCUUUGUAUUUGUCUUCCUCAUCAAGCUCGGAUUCGAUUCCGCAAGAGAUUUAAUUGUAUCACUGGCCUUUCCUUCUCUGGCAGCAAGAUGAAGGAUUGUGUCCUUCUGGCUGUUUUGGAUGGUGAUUAGAGAAGGAAACGUUUCAGCCAGAUAAGAUGUAAUAUUGUCACUUCCAUAGCUUACAGCUACAUGAAGCAGUGAAUUCCCAGCGGGAGUCUGUAGCUCCUUUGCUGAACGUUUUCGAACACAGCUCUUAAAUGGAACAACGCUGUCAAGCUUCACAAAUUCAUAUAAUGAAGGAUCCAUCAUUUCAUUUGGCUCAUGAGGCUCAUCGUCUAUUUUUAUGAGUAGAGUACCCAUAGCAGAAGAAAAAUAAUUAUGUUAGCACUUGAAUCAGCUACAAAUCGGGGCUGGACUUUUAUUUGAAUAGAACAGAGUGCAUUUACUUUGAUUUCACUUGCAUGAAUAUAAUUGGAGUACUCAAAUCCUUCUCCAAUUUGUUGUGCGCAGGCAGGACUCACCAACAUGAUAAUAAUUAAAUAGCAUCAAAGAAUAAUAUAAAUAAUAUUUUAAAAUUUAAAUUUUUUAUUUAAAUUUUUAAGUUAAGAUAAUUCUUUAAUAUAAUAUUAAAUUUUUAAUAAUUAAAAAAUUUCGAGUUUAAAUCUCAUCAUUUUUUUUUUGAUUUGUACUAAGAUGUAUUAGAUAAUAAUAUAAUUUAUAUUUUAAAAUUUUAUUUAAUAAUUUAAAUUUUAAAUUAAAUUAAAAUGAUUCUUUCUUGUAAUAGCAACCAAACCCAUAAAAGAAAAGGAUAAAAAUGUUCCAUAGUCUUUAUUCUUAACUUGAGAAUAUAACUCACUGUGCGAACACUCGAAGAUUAAAGGAACAGGAUCCACAAUGGCAUCAGAUUGUAACUUAGGUUUAGGUAAAAAGAUCCAAAAUUUUUAACUGUUUAUCAGGAAGUCCAAGGGAUGUUUUAUGUUAUUUUUUUAUAAAUAAAUAAAUGUUUUGAAUUAUUUUGAUGUGCUGAUCUUAAAAAUAUUUUUUAUAAAAUAAAAAAAAAUAUCAUUUUAAUACAUUUCAGUAUAAAAAAUACUUUGAAAAGCAACCGCAAUCACAUUAUCACACACCAAAACCUACUUAAUUUAAAAUCAUCACUUGUAGAAUGGUGAUCAAGUAGAACGUUGAUUGAAUAUACAAGACCAAUAUUUAAGUAUUUGCUUUUACACAGUACGAGUUUAAUUGCCUUUGUGUCACACGUUUGGAACCUCAUUCUUUCCAAAGUGAAGAUGUCGGUGGUUCUUUUUUUUUCUUUUUACAUGUGCUUGUCCCCGUUUAUAGAAAACAUAAUGACAUGGGAAACAAUAGAAUGUGUGAAAUUCUUCUUACAUAAUCAUCAAAAUCCAUAGGUUAUAAAUCUAUCCAUUUGUAGUACAGUCAUAACGUCUGUAUCCAAUAAACUGCAAUUAAUCAUUAGGGACUAAACUUCAAAUCUGAUUCAACUCUUAGGGACCCAAUUUAAAUCUGAUUAUCAAAAUUAAGGACCAAAUCAUGACUCCAAGGACCAGGCUAUAAUGAUUAUAAAUUUCCAUGGAUUAUAUUGUAUCUUUACCUUCUCCUUCUCGAGAGUUUCUGCCGAUUCUCCAUUACCGACAGUGGCUUAAUCCUUUCUGAAUCAUCUUCUUAUUUCUUUGGGACAUGCUAAUCUUGUGCGGUAAACGUAAAUGCACAUGCAAUUAUUUAACCAUUUCUAUCUUUUUUUUAUUUUAUUUUUAUCUUAAAGUUAAUUUUAGUUGCUAAGAAAUGAUUAUUAAUCUAUAAAUAUGUCAUAUAAAUUCAAUUUAUUUAUAUAAAUUAUAUAAAAAAACAUUUAAAGAUAAAUUACAAUAAUCUCUUUGAAGCAUUAUAAAAUAAAUAAAUAAAUAUUAAUUACUUUUAAAAAAAAUACUAAAAAAAAAAAAAAAAAAAAAAACAAGAUAGAGUAUUAAUUAAAAUUUAAAUAAAAAUUAAUGAAAUGUUUAUUAAUAAAAGUUAAGCGAUGCUGGGAAUACCAUACCAAGCCCACGCGCUUGCCCAAGGAUCAAAAAACAUAAGUGUUCUUGAUACUAGAAGCCCAAGCCAGCAUUCCCGGCUAAUUUUUUUCUUUCUUUCUUUCUUUUGAAGUUUUUUCUUGAAAUAGAUAAGAUGUUUAUUAUGCAAAAAUUAUUUGUUAUCCUCUCCAUCUUUUUACUCUUACCUCCUGUGUUUGAAAAAUAAAAGCUGAAGUUUUAAACUAUCACCUUAAUUAAACUUUCAUUACAAAAAUAAAUUCAUUAACACCAAUUUUAAUUUUUUUUAUGAUUGAAAUCUAUCCUUUAAAGCAUUUUUCUCUCUUUAAUAUUUUUUGCUAACUUUUUAUCUUCUCUCUCAAUAUCCAGACACUAAAUUAUUAUUAUUUUUAAAAAAAUAUUGGACUAAAAUAUGAAUUGCUAUAACAACAAGGAUCAAAUAAUAGAUAAGUUGAAACUUUAUAUAGCAAAUUAAAGUUUUCCAUACCAAUAUUCAAAUGGGGUUUUUUUUUAUUAAAUUUGGUCAAGUUCUUAAGUUUUGUUUUAACUAAACAUAAAAUUUUACUUUGCAAAAUCAAUUUUUAAUUCAUUGUUGUAAAAUUCGUUGACAUUUUGUAUAUGUAAGACAAUGAAAAUUAAAAAAACAAAUCUUAACAUGUAAAACUGUUUUAAUAUAAUUUUGAAAGAUUAUAUUUUAAUUAUAGUUUCAUGAUCAAAAUUUAAAAAAAAAAUAACAUUUGCAUGAAUAGUGCAAUAAAUAAUGAAUCUCGAUCGAGAAGAAGAGUAACAAUACACAAUAUUAAUAUUAAUAUUAAUAUUAAUUCCAUAAAGUAAUAACUCAUAAUCCAUUUUAAUUAUUCAAUUAAUCUAAACCUCAUAACAAUGCAUACAAUCCCUUUGAGAGUGCUUUUAUUUAUUUGCGAAAUUGCAAAUAAGUGAAUAACUACGAAAUGAGCAUUGUACCUCUAAAUCAACGUAAAGUAUAUUAAUAAAAAGAUAAAUCUUAAUUUUGUUUCUUAUAUUCUUAAAUAUAAUAAUGUUCAUUGUAUUAUUUGAACCUUUUAAUUAGAAUGGAAGUUUAAUUUCAUCACUUUCUUAUGAGGUUUUUUCUUCAGUGGAUAAUCUGAAAAAAUCUAAGUAAGAGAAGCUAGAUUCGUUUCAGAGGGUAAAUUUAUGCAUGGAUAUACAAAGGAGACCAACUUCCUCAAUGCAUAAGAAAUAAAGGUAUCGAAAAAAUGAAGUGAGGCUCACUUUCCUUCACCAGCAUAUACCAUGCGUUUACCUUUCCAAUAAUUAGAAGAAAGCGACUUGUAUGGAGAGAGCUCUCUGAAUUUCUUAUAUUGAAAUUUUAUAGGUGUCUUUACAUUUUGAUUCUCGUACCCGAAAAAAAUAUUCCAAUAUGCGGGUUCGACUGGCGAAAUUUUUUUUAUUAUUUGGUUUGAUUUGGGUCUUUGGAGUCGCCACCUAGUAUUUUGGUCACUAGGAACCCUAACUGGUCUCAGAGAUCGGGUACGGAGACUGGUUGCGUAAAGAGAAGGUAUUAGCACCCCAAAUACGCCCUGCCUAAGGUAAGCUGCAUUGUUUUAUUGUCUGAUAAAAAAAAACUAAGGUGUUAUUGUGUUUUUCUAGUUGUUGGUCUGUCUAUGGUUCAAGAAAAAUCCUCCUCGGUAAGGAGAUCUUUAUCUUAUUGGGUAAAAAUCCUAACCGUUCUAACGUCCAUACCAAAAUUUUAUUAAUAAUAUUUAGGAAUACGUUUUACGUAUAAAUUCGUAAUCCCAAAUACUAAAAGAAAACAAAAUUUUUUUUGAAAUAUUGGCCUAGUUCUCAUGGCUUUAAUAAACUGGUUAUUAAAGCCAAAGUGCAUGCUAAUACAUAUAUUGUUUUGAAAAUUUUCUUUGUUGUGUGAAAAUAUGAUGUUAUAAUAUUUAUAUAUAUAUAUUGGAGAGACUAGGCCAUAUUUUAAAACAAAAACAAUUUUUGGAAAAUAUUAUUUUUUUAUGCUUUGACGAAAAUCGGGUAUUUUAAUACUAAGCUUGUAUCCUUACGGUAUAAAAAUACAACCCAAUAUUAAUCCUCUUUGCUAAAAAUAUGCAGAAAAAUCAACAAUAUUUUUAGGGAUUUUUAGAAUUUUUUUUUGAAAGCAAAAACAUUUUUUAUUCUGAAAAAUCUUUGAUGUUUUGAUGAAAAUCGGGUAUUUUUAACACUGGUUUUGUAUCUUUAAAGUAUAAAAAUACAAACCAACAUUAAACCACUUUGACAAAAAAUAUGCAGAAAAAUCACAAUAUUUUUUUAAGAUUUUUCAAAAUAUUUUUUUUUUAUAUAAAUAUAUUUUAUAUAUAUAUAUAACAUAUAUACACACAUAUAUAUAUAUUAUAAUAAUAUAUAAUAUAUUAUAGGGCUGGGCCGGCCCAAAUAAAUGGGCCAGACUCAGCCCAAAAAAAAGGGGGUGGGCCGGUCUCGGCCCGCAAUGAUAUUGGGCCGGUCUCAGCCCGAAACUAAAGUGGGCCGGUCUCGGCCCCAAACUAAAGUGGGCCGGUCUCGGCCCCAAACUUCUACAGUCUGGGCCAAGACCGGCCCAGACUUGCAAGGCUGGGCCAGCAUUGGGCUGGCCCAGCAUCUUACGACCCGGGGGGGGAGAAUUAUUUUUCUCCCCCCGCCUCCUGCAUGCUACAUGCAGGAAGCAAAACGACUACGAUGCGGAAAAAAAAUGCAGGGGGGGGAAAUGUGCACCUGGCGCGGAGGCGAUCGCUGGUGGAGCUGUGGUGUCGCUGCGGUGUCGUGGCCUCGAGGACGACGGCGCUGUGACUGUUCCCUCUCUCUCGUUGGUUCUCUCUCUCUUCGGUCUCCUCUCUCUCUCCUCCCUUCGGUUUUUUUCUUUUUGUUUUUGGUUUCGUUUUUUUUUUUUGCUUUCGGUCUGUUUCUGUUCUCCCCUCUCCUUCGUGCGUUAUUUCUCUUCUCCCUCUAUCCUCGGGUCCCUCUCUCUUUCGGUCUCUCUCUAUUUAUAGAGAAAAAGGAACCGGCGUGCCUUUUGUUAGUGCGCCUUCAAUCACGCAACGGCUGGUCGGCCAUUGAUGCUUUCAGUGGUGGUGGUGGGGGCGAGGAGAGAGAGGGGGGAAGUUUUGAAAAAAAACAAAAAAUGAUUUUGUCUUUGUUUCUGUUUAUGCGGGGGAAAGGAGGAAGAUGAACAGUGUCGUUCAAAACGACACCGUUCUGGUCUUCCUUCUUCUUCUUUUUUUUUAUAUAUAUAUGAAACGGCGUCGUUUUGGAUAAAACGCGCCGUUUCAUUUAAAUGGGUCAAACUUCAAAUCAGUCCUCCAAAUUCGGUCCCUGCCCCUCUUGUUGGCCGCCUUUUUCACUUUGGUCCUUGGCAUCUGAUUUAUGCAAUUUAGCCCUCAAUUGAUUAAUAAACCUUUAAUUUCUUCAAUUAGGCCCUUGAACCGAAUAAUUGCAGCCCCUCCAUUUACGCGCCUCUUCCAAUUUGGUCCCUGGUUUCGGAUUUUCUUAAUUAAAUCCCUAAUUGGCCCUUAAACUUCAAUAUUUAUGCAAUUAAGCCCCUGAUUUGACCCAAUAAAUUCCUAAAAAAUAUAUUUUGGCCCCAGAACUUAAAUUUCUUCUAAUUAAAGCCCAAAUUGACUUAAAAAUUAAUUUUUCUUGCAAUCAAAUCUCCUAUAAAUUCAAAUUUAAAUCCAUAAAAAUCCAAUUAAGUCCAUAAACAUCCAAAUUUGAGUUUUUCUCCUCAAAAAUCAAAUUUUCCUUCUCAAUAGGGCUUUCAUCCUUCAAGAAUAUACUGUCAAAAAUUCAAUCCUUGUAUUUUUAAAUUCCUUGACCAAUUUUCUGACUGUUUUCCGAGCGCUUCUGACUCCUGUUAUUUUUCUAACCUCUUUUGGCUAUUUAUUUUAUUUUUUAUGGGGACCCAAAAAUGGGUUACAACAUUGAUUACAGUUUUUUUAUGCUUGCUUCAGUUAAAAGAAUUUUAAAUUUUAAAGUUAGAUAUUAAAUUUGAUGCUAACGAUCUACACUUCAGACAUUAUCCAUGUAAGUCUAAACUUGUAGUUCUAGGCUUAAAAUGAUGUUUCUCAAAUAUAAAUUUAAAACUUAGUGAUCUUUUUAUAUACAGAAAGCAAAUUAAAACUUGUGGAGUAGUCAAAUAACCUAAAUAUUUUGAAUACAAAAGAUAACAACUCAAGAUUAAAGAAUUUACAUUCAUUGGAUGAUUCUUCAACUUUGGCUAUCAAGGUUGUGCAAAAAGAUCAACUAGAUGUUGCUAAAGAUUUGAAAAUUAGAUAUACAAGGAAUAUUUGUGGUAUUACUGACAAUAACUUUAUAUUAUGGACCAUCAUAUCAAAAAGACCAUCAUGGACCAAAUAGAAAUUUCAGUUUAACCUUUAUAUUAUUAUGCAAAGCCAUACACAUAAAAGUUGAGCUAUCAACCACUGAAGGUUCAACAAUUAGAUAGCAAAAGGAAUCUAAGGCAACAUGUGGCUCACUUUAUAGAGGCUUGUAACAAUACUAUACUUGAUGGUGAUCUCAUGGUAAAACAAUUCAUUCAUUCUUUAAAAUGCAAUGCAUGACUUGGAGUCUUUUUUAACUUAUAAUUGGGAGAAAUUGAAAUAUAUGUUUCUUCAACACUCAUCACAUGGUUAACAUGAUUAAACUUAUCAAUGAACAUUAAUAAAUAGAGAAGCAUGUCAUUGACUACAUUCAUCAAUUGUAAAGAUCAACUCAUCAAAAGUUUUACUCUAAAUAUAUGCAUUGAAGGGAUGCAUAGGGGCUAUGCUGCAUUCUAUAAAGCAUUAAAACCCAAAUCUUUUAAAGAAUUAGCUACUAGACACACAACAUAGGACUUAAUAUUGCUACAACGAAACCUUAUCAUUACCUAUGUAAGAGCCUAAAAAAAAAUAAGUCUUAAAGUCAUAGAUUUGAAAAGAGCACUUCAAAGGUUCAAGGAAAACAAUCUUUGGUAAUUAACUUCGUUGUCAUAAAUGUACCUACUAGAGGUAAAAAGAAUGAUUGUGCAACCCUAAAUACUUUUUAAAAGGGUGAAAAGAAAAGUCAUCCUUUAAAGAAUGAUAAUAAAAAAAGUAUCAAUUCCCCAACUUGGAUAUAUCAAGUACACUAUAUGAUUUGCAAAGUAAAUUUCAUUAAGCUAUCAAAGUUGAAACAUCAUAAAAAAGCAAAUCAACAUCAUUGAGUUCACCUACGCACUAAGCCCAAGUAUAUAUGGGUAUGACAAGCUGUUAGAUCAAACACAUUGGAUUCACCUACAUGUUGAGCCCAAACAAACAUGGAUUUAUCAAGUUGUCAAACCCAAUAUCCUAGGGUUCAACUAUAUGUUGAACCCAAGUACAUAUAGAUCUAGCAAACUCAAUGAUAUUAGGUUCAACUAUACACUAAGCAAAAAAAAUGGGUUUACAAGUUGUUAGACCUAAAAUCUUGGGUUUAACUAUACACUGAGCUCAAGCAUAUAUGAGUCUGGCAAGCUACCAAAUCCAACAUCCUUGUUGCUAAGCCCAAAAAAAAUAAUUAUGUGGCAAGCUUUCAAACACAACAUCAUUGGAUCAGCUACGUGCUAAGACCAAGUACAUAUAGGUCUGUCAAACUACCAAACCUAAUGACCAUGGGUUCAACCACGUGUUGAGCUUAAACAAACAUAGGUUUAGUGAGUUAUCAAACCCAAUAUCCAUGAGUUUAACUAUAUGCUAAGCUUAAGUACAUAUAAGUUUGGUAAAUUAUCAUACCCAACAUCUUUGGGUUUAAUUACAUGUUAAGCCUAAACAAAUGUGGGUUUGGCCAUCUGCAAGACCCAUUGCUAAUGGACUUGACAUCAUGUGAAGCCUAAGUGGGUAUGGGUCUAAAGAUCAUUAUAAGCCUCGUAUUGGGCUAUAAGGCUUUCUUUGUUUAUUCUUAUGAUUUUUAAUAUUAAAUGUUAAUGUUAAGAAUACUCAUCUCUCUAUACUUAUAAAUAUAUAAAAGUCUUCUAAGAACCUACCAUAUUUUCAUCAGUAUUAAAUAUUAUGUAAUAGAUAUUUAUCCCUCAUUAAUGAUGUGUAAGGGAUAUGUAUCCAAUGUCCAAACACUCAAAAACCUCUUUCUUAAACAUAUUAGAUUUUUGAAAUAUCAUAAACUGAUGAAUAAGAAAUAGAUCUUUUUGCCAAGAGAAGAGUAGAGAGGAAGGAAAGGAUUAAAAAAUAAAAAAAGAAUCAGCUACAAAACAUGAACUGUAUGACAAAAGUUGAUGCUUUGCCAAGCCAUGUUCACCUAGCAGCCGCAUCCUUGCCUAUAACAGAAACCCUAUCCACUCAAUUAAUUAAGGAAAUAGAAGAGGUUUAGCAAACAUGCAUAGAGUAAAUUUUAUAAUUUACACUUUGGUCCCUAAAAUCAAUAAUUGCUUUAAAUUAGGCAUCAAACAUUGAUUCUAUAAUUUGAUUUGAUAAAAUUUAAUUGAAAUUUAUCCCUAAAUUUUUAAUUUUGACUAUUAUAUUUUAUUUUACAAUAAAAAUAUCUAUAUUAAUUUACUUUGAAAAUUUAAUACGAUCAAAUCAAGUUUUAGUUAAAAAAUGAUAUUCAAAGUUCAAAAAUCCUCUUAACCAUAUUUUUCAAGACAUGUCUACUUAUUUUAAGGCUAAGUGAACUUGUAUCAAAGGGGCAACAUUUGUAUAAACAAAAAUAUUGUACAAAUUCAGUUUUUUCAUGUCUUUAUUUAUUUAUCUUUUAUUUUGACCUAAAAAAUUAAAAUAAUUGACAUGGAAAAUAAAUGGGCCAUUAUGUAUUUCUUGGCCUAUAAAAAGUUGAAAAAUAGGAUGAGAUAUUUAAUUUAUUUUAUCAUUAAUGCAAGAUUUUAUAAUUGAAAAUCAACCAAUAACUGAUAAUAAACUUUAAGUAAAAUUGAACAUUAUUAUUUUUCUAAUGAUAUGGUGAAUUUAAAUAUCCAAUAAAAAUUUAUCUAUAAAUGUGUUCACAUAUUUACCCAUUUAAACAUACUUAUUCAACAUUAUUAAUUUUUAAUUAAAAUUAUUUAUGAGAAUUAUUUAAAAAUAAAAUAAAAAGUCUUAAUGUAUAUUUGAUUUAAAUUCUGAAUUAUACUCAAUUUUUGAAAAUAAUAAUGCAAAUUAUGUCAUUAUUUUUUGCUUCAAUCGAUGUAUCCAAUUAUCGAAUAAAACUUUAUUCAUGAAUGUGUUCGCACAUGUACCUAUUUUGUUUUUUAUGAAUAUGUUCAGUACUAAUGUACCUACAAAGCAUAUCUAUUCAACAUAGUUAAUUUUUUAUAGAAGAAUUUAUUGAUUAGUUUAAGAAAUCACAUCCUAUAAUAAAAUUAAAACUCUAGAUGCAUAUUCAAUUUAAAUUUAUAAUUAUGCUAAAUUUUUUAAAGUACUAAUUUAAACUAUAUCAUUGAUUUCGUUAGUUUGUUCUCAACAAAAGAGCUCAAUUGAAAAUUAAUAGAAUAAGAUGUAAUUUAAAUCUUUUAUUAUAAUAAUAUUUAAAGCAGCUUAAAUGAUAUGAUCAUUAUUUAUAUCAUUUUAUCUUCUUUUUUUUUUCUUUUUUUAUUAAAUUAUGAAUUAUUUAAUAUAAAUAAGGGAGGAGAUGAUUAAGUUAAAAGAAUUACACUGAGUUGUGAUUAGAAUGUAACAAGAAAAUCUACAAAAUUAAUUUUUAAAAAUUUUGAUAAUUAGGUCUGGUAAACUGUCAGACCCAAUAUCUUUGGGUUCAACUACAUGUCAAGUUUUAACGGAUGUAGGUUUGGCAAGUUGUAAGAUUUAUUGCUAAUGAACUUAACAUCGUGUCAAGCCCAAGUGGGUAUUGAUCUAAUGAUCAUUAUAAGCCUCAUGUUGGGCUAUAAGGCUUUCUUUGUUUAUUUUUAUGAUUUCUUAACAUGAAAUGUUAAUGUUAAGAAUUUUAAUCUCUCCACACCUAUAAGUAUAUAAAAGUCUUAUAAGAGUCUACUAUAUUUUCAUCAUUAAUGACGUGCAGUGUAAGAAAUAUUUAUCCAUUCUCUAAACACUUAAAAAAUUUAUUUGUAAGCAUAUUAAAUUUUAAAACAUCAUCAACUACUGAACAAGAUAUCAAUCUUUUUGCCAAGAGAAAAGUAAAGAAGAAGGAAAUUGUUAAAACAUUAAAAAUUAAAAAAAAUCAGUUGCAAAACAUGAACCCUAUGACAAAAGCUUAUGCUUUGCCGAGUCAUGUUCAGCUAGCCGCCACAUCCUUGCCUAUAACAGAAACCCUAUCCACACCAUUAAUUAAAGAAACAGAAGAGGUUUAGCAAACAUGCAUUGAGUAAAUUUUAUAAUUUACACUUUGGUCCCCAAAAUCCAUAAUUGCUUUAAAUUAGGCAUCAAACAUUGAUUCUAUCAUUUGAUUUGAUAAAUCUCAAUUGAAAUUAAUCCCUAAAUUUCUAAUUUUGAUAAUUAUAUUUUAUUUUUACAAUAAAAAUAUCUAUAUUAAUUUACUUUGAAAAUUUAAUACGAAGUUGGGAAAAAAAUUAUCAAAGUUCAAAAAUCCUCUUAACCAACAUGCCCACUUAUUUUAAGGUUAAGUGAACUUACAUUGAGGAGGCAUUUAUAUCAACAAAAAUAUCAUACGAAUCAAAAAAAUUUAUAUGUCUUUUAUUAUUAUUAUUAUUAUUUACUUAAAAAAAAUGAAAUAAUUGAGAUGAAAAAUAAGUGGAACAUUAUAUAUUUUUGAAGACAUGUCCACUUAUUUCAAAUAUUUUAUUAUUAUAAAAUUUAAAGCAGCUCAAAUGAUAUGAUCAUUAUUUAUAUUUUUUAUCUCUUUUUUUAACUUUUUAUUUGAUUAAAUUAUGGCAUAUUUAAUAUAAAUAAGGGAGGAAAUGGUUAGAUUAAAAGAAUUGCACUGAGUUGUGAUUAGAAUAUAACAAGAAAAUCUGCAAAAUUAAUAAUUAGAAAUCUUGAUAAUGAACAAAGGUUUUGGGACAAACAAGAUAAGGUAGACAAAUGAUCACAACGAGCCUGGUUUGGUUGGAUCGAGUAGAUAACGUGAUUGAGAAUGUUUAGAGCGAGCCACAAAUGAUAUGAGCUCUCACUUAUAUGAAGAUGUUACAAGGGAUGAAGUGAAAGAAGUCUUAGAUUAGAUGGAACCGGUACAAGUUCCAGAACCAAAUGAUAUCCUAGCUUUAAUAUUGUUGUCCUUCGUCCAUAAAUGAAACAAUUUAGGACAACAAUGUCUUUAAUUUGGAUCAUUAAAGAUAUCAACUUGGUUCGUCUUAACAGUAUUAAAAUGGCCGGCCUUAAAACAAGAAAAAAGGACAUGGCCAGGCAUUGACACGUUGGUGAAUUGUUGAAAUACCAACAGAAUAUACCGUCUGUAAAUUCGUCGGUAAGUUAUAAUACCGACAGAAUUAAUCCGUCGGUAAAUCUGUUGGUGAGUCAUGAAAACACCGACCGAAUUUAUCCGUCUGGAAAUUUGUCGGUGAUGGUCGCUGCUACUGUCUAAGGCCGACGGAUAUAUUCCGUCGGUAAAUCCGUUUGUAAUUUUUUUAUAUAUAUAAUUAUUUAGAAUACAUAAUAUAAAAUGAUAUAAAUUAAUGGUAAUAAAAACCAAUUAUGCAAAUAAAAAUUAUAUUAAGCGUCAAAAACAAAAAAAAUAAAAGAUAAAUAAUAUUCAUUACAAAAUGAAAUUGUUCAAAAAAACAUUAAAUGAAAUUUUAAAUAUAAAUAAUGUUUAUAAAAAAUUAAUAUAAAGGAGGUUGAGGAGGAUCAGGAGGAGGAGGAGGCUGACUGUUAUGCGGCCAACUUGGAUUGGGUGCACCUGUUCCACCUUGUGACAUGUUUAUGACCAUUUGACGAAGCUCUUCAUAGGCCGCUCUUUGUUCUGCAGAUUCUGCUGUGUAUUGUUCUUUGAGUUGUGUGUAUGUCUCUGAUAGGUGGUCGCACCUUUGCUGCAAGGCCACCAACUCCUUAGAUUGGGAGCUCAAUAUUGAUUGGGAGCUCCCGACGGUUGAAGCAGUACGGGUCGUCCUCAAGGUGUCGGCCCUAGUGUUGGAGAGCCCGUAAACCCGAUUCUUAUCGGGUCCAUCUGACGAUCUAGCCUCCAUCCACAAAUCCGGAUCGAAUUCCGGAUGGGUCGAAGGAUCGUCCCCGUAUGUCUCCCUCAACCGAUUAUUAUAGGUCUCCUGAAAAUAAAAAAAAGUAAUCAUCAUAUUCAAUUCAAUAAACAUAAUAAUUACUUACAAAAUAAAAUGGAUGAAUAAACAUACCACAAAAUGUUGAGCGUGACUGUCAACGAACUAUUGCACCCCCUUUUGGCGUUCUUGACUCCGCACGUGCGUCUCCACAAACAGCUCCAUUGGGCUUGGCUCACGUCCAAGAGACGUAGCCUAUAAUGAAAAAAAAUUAUUAACAACAAAUUAAUUGAACGAUAUAUUUCAUUUAAAUUAAUCUUACCAUCCGUUUCGCAUGAGCAGCAAACGGAAUGGAGCCGCCGGUGUGCGUUGUCACCGAGCCAUUAAUUGGCCGAUUUCGGUUGCCAGCACCGGACUGUGAGCGUCGUGUGAACCGCUCAGGCAUCACGUGCUCAAGAUAGUGCGGCCAUAUAUCCUCCGGGAUGUAUAUCGGUUUGAAAUCCCUCCAAACCACAACAUCGUUCCAGCCUUGUAACCCCCUAUCCCUCGCAGUUUUUUUUGCCUUUUUUUGGGCUUCGUACCAAAAAUCACGCAACCUACUUAACGCAAUCAAAAAUUACAUUUCGAAACAUAAAUUUUUUUGUAAAAAAAAGUUGUAUUGUUUUCGAUGUUACCUAGUUGCCGCAUGAUUUUCCCAGACCCUCCUCACAACAUUGUUAUGUUCCUCGUCCCAGCAGAAUCAACAUUGUUAUGCCGAUUCUACGAAGUGAAGCAUCGCUGGAAGAGGCAGCAUCAGCUGACGGCGCAAGUGGUGUAGGUGCCUCUUCUUGAGAGGCACCUACGGAAAUGUCUUCGUCGCUACUAGACGAACUAGAUGCGACCGUACGUGAAGCUCUGGUUUUCAUUAUGUGCAUCUAACCAAUUUUAUAUAAAUAAUUAUAUAAUUCAAUUGAAAUGUUAAAAAAUAUUCAGCAGCACCUCCCCUAUACUUGGAUACUACCCAAAUCCACAAACCUGCAAAUAUUAAUGUCGCACCCCAAAAAAAAUCCGGCGCGCCAUCGGCUGGCGAUUUUUUCUCGUUUUUGUGUUUGCUUUGAAUUUAUUCGUUGGAGUCGCCACCUAGUAAUUCAUUGAGGGCUACUAGGAAACCUGAUGUACUGGUCUUGUCAGAGAUCGCGGGUAAGGGACUGGUUGUGGUUAGGGAAGGUAUUAGCACCCCUAACACACCCUACCUGAGGUAAGCUGUUUUGUGCUCUGAUGUGAUUUGAAAAUUUAAAAUAUUAAUUAAAUUCUAAGGCUUGAUUAAAUCAGUUAUUAAAUCCCCGAAUAUAUGUAGAAACUUGUUCUUACAUUUUCAUGGAAAAUACAACUUGAUUUUAUUUGUCCUUGAGAUAUUUAACCAUAUUUAAAUUAACAAUUAAUUCUUUUUGUCCUUUUUGAUUUUUAAUUCAAUAAUAUAAAUAAAUAAAAUAAAAUAAAAACAAACAUACAAGCACACACAAACAUUUUUUUUUUUGUUAUUUAUCACUUUCUCUUUUCUUUUCUUUUCUUUCUUUUCCUUUUUCUUCCAUAUUUACAAAAUACAAAAAAAAACUCAAAACUAAAUAAAUAUUACAUUAAACAAUUUGGAAAUUACAAAAAUGACCCAAAACAAAUCCAGGAACAAUUCUGGGCUAGAUUCUAGGCUGCGUGAACACUGGCGGCGCGUGGAUCGCAGAAAAAAUGGGCAACCGGUGGAUCCGGCUCGUCUCUGUUUCCUCUUCCUUUCCUCGCCGGUGUUACCUGCAAAAACAAACCAAAACGCAACAAGCAGUCGAUUUUAUUAAGAGUUUUUUUUUAUUUCUUUUGUUUGCCCAAUCUGCCUCUCUUCUCCUUCAAAUCUGCUUCGGUUUUUUGCUUCUUCUUGUCCGAUCUGGCUUCUCCUUCCUAUUUCAGGCGGCGGUGGAGUUGUGGGUGUCACCGCUGCGGUCCAGGCGUUGAUGAAGGGGCUCGACCGGUGCUUGGUGAGGAAGAAGAACUGCUGCUGGCUGGGUCGGUCGAGAAAGGAGAAGGAUGGCGCUGAGAGGCAAGAGACCGGUUCUGCUUGUUCUGCUUUGGCUACAACCGAGAGAGAGAUGUGCGAAAAAAUGGAGGCCGGUUUAGGAGAUGAGUGAAGGAGCUGGGUCUGUUGAGAGAUGAGAGAGUGAGGUGGCCGGGGGGAGGAAGAAGAGAAAACGAAAUCAGAUCAGCAACCGGGGAGGCUGGCCGUGGGAUCGUUGUUGGGGAAAAGAGAAACGAAAAUGGUCGGGGGGGGGGGUCUGUGUGCGAUUGGCUAAAAAAAUGGGGAGAGUUGGCGAUUAAGAGGCGGAGGUGGGGCUGUCUUGUGGUUGAAAGAGGAGAGAACCGGCUGUGGUGGCUGCUCCGGUUUUGUUGGCUGCAAAAGGAGAAGAAAAUGGGGCUAGGACUGGAAGAGUGAGGGGGCCGGAGAUGGAGAGGGCUGUGUGGGGAAGAUGAGGUCGGCUGAGAAGGUCUGUGUGGGGGGAAAAAAAAAUCAACGUGGGGGCCGACAACUGGUUUUUCAUAGAAGAACACUAGGGAGAAAAAUUUAAAACCAGUGGGGGGAGUUGCCGCCGACCCCUUUUUUUUUAGUGGGGAGAAAGAGUUGGGUUUUAGGGUUUUUGUGUUUUUUUCUGAAUGUGUCAAAAAUGCCCCCCUUGUAAAUGUUGGAAACCAGUAUUUAUAGGCAAAAAAUAUUGCCAAGUUUUCAAAAUUGGUCCCUUAACUUUCUUUUUUUGUAAAAUUUGAUUUUUCUUGUUUAUUUGUAUUUUUUUGAAAACGAGCAAUAUCAACGUCAACUCGAUGAGGAAAAUCAAUGAUUUUAAAAACAACGCGUGAAAAGUCGAACGCGUUUGAAAAUCUUUUGAAAAAUUAAAUUCUUUUUAGACGACGCUGAAAAUGCUAAAAUGACGCGAAUAUAUUAAAAAAACAUAUUUUUUGGAUUUUCAUUGUUUUUCUCUAUUUUUUGGAUUUUUUGAAAAUAUAUCAAAAACAUGGGUCAAAAAUUGGGUAGCAACAAUUAACAAUAGCCACAACCAAUUGACCCAAUCUAUACUAAUUAUUCCAACAUAUUCAAUUACUAAUCCUAAGGUAAAUUCUACAUUAACAAUAUUAAUUCAACAAAUUAUUAAAUAUUCAUUAUGGCAAUACAACAAUAAAAUUAUUCUAAGGUAAAUUCAACAUUAACAAUAUUAAUUCAACAAAUUAAUCAAUAAUUAUAUAUGGCAAUACAACAAUAAAUUAUAUUCAAUAAAUUAAAAAAAAAUAUAGACUAACAAUUAAAAUCAAUGGAAAUAAUUAAAUACAAAUCAUGCAAUAAUAGAGUAAAAUUACUAAUUAUUCUAACAUAGUCAAUUACUAAUUCUAAGUUAGAUUCAACUUUAACAACAAACAUUCAAUAAAUUAACUAAUACCAAUUAUAACAACACAACAAUAAAAAAUAUUCAAAAAAUUCAAAAAAAAAACCUACAUCAAGAAAAGGAACGAAAUAUACAUACCUUAAUAAUAUGUUCAAUUCAAAACUUUAUCUACAUUAGAAAAAAAUACACCAAAACAACAAAAUAACAAAAAUAAAAACAACUACAACUAAAAUAAAAGAAAAUAAAAUAAAAUAGAAAAAACCACAUACCUUUAUUCAAAUCUUGCAAGAGAUUCAAGGUGAAAGCCUUGAAGGAUUGAGAGCAAAAAACUGAAAAUUACAGGGUAGCGGAGCAGAAGAAAAACGGAGGAGAAGACAAAAUGAGGGGAAGCGGCGGGCGCUGGAAGUUAUAGGUUAUAUGGCAGAUUUACCGACAGAUAUUAAAAAAAUAUUGAUUGAUAAAUUCCGUCGGUAUGGAUGUCGAUAAAGUUAUCGGUAUGGACGUCGAUGAUUGUGGCAUUUCGGUGUAAUUAUUUUCGAACUCUCUGUGAUAUGCCGGUGAUUGUGGCAUUUCGGUGUAAUUAUUUUCGAACUCUCUGUGAGAUGCCGACGGACGGCUGUCAGUCGGUAUGGACGUCGGUGAUUGUUCAAUGUAGAAGAGGUGUUGUGUUUGUAUUUUCUAUUUACCUUCUUGCAAAAAAUUCAAUGAUAAACUGUCCAUCGCACAAAACAAUAGCAACAAUGCUUAAACAAUAAAUAAAUAUUUCAUGUUUCAAAAUAUAUCAUCCAUAAUGUAAAUUACAUGAAGAAAAGGGUUUUACACAGGGCUUCGUUUUGAUAGUUAGUCAGAAUUAUCUUCUUCUUCGUCAUCAAUUGAAUAGUCUUCACCUUCAUCGCAAUCUUCAAUAUGGAUAUCAUCUUCUUCAUCGACAUUUGCUUGUCCGCUAGAGCUCAAAACAACGUUCAACUCCUCUCGUCAACAUCAACAAGACUAUCAUCGAAACACGAAAAUUUGAAUUUUCUUCCAAUUCAAUCGAAGGAGCAACUCGAUAUGGUUCAACCAACUCACUAACUUGAAAGACUUCAUUCGCACACUUGUGUCUUCGUUCUCAUCCUGAACAACCUCGACACGACCCCGUGGUUUCGUUUUUAAAACGGACAACCAAUCAACUCUUGAUCGAUCCUUUCUAAAUGAAGGGGUGUAUGUGUAAUAAACUUGUUGACAUUGCUUUGCGAAAACAAAGACAUCGUUUAUGUUGCGGAGUCUAGCUUUUGAGUUGAUUUCGACCAGACCAUGGUGCGGAUCAACUCUGAUUCCUCUGUCCGUCGUGUCAUACCAAUAGCAUUUGAAUAAAAACACUUUAUUCUGCUCGCUAUGAUAUUGCAGUUCGACGACCUCUUCUAAUCUACCAUAGUAGUCAACUUCUAACUCACUACUACUGUGGAUCCUUAACACAAACACCGCAGUUGUAUGUCUUUCUUCCUUGCCCGUAUUCUUCAGUAUGGAAAACAUAUCCAUUGACAAAAUACCCGUUGUAGCACUUAACUUUUCUUUCAGGCCGAGGCUUAGUGAAGACAAUGACUUAGACGCACUCCUUCCCAUUUGAUAAACCUUGUAUAUGUAAUGUACAUCAAUAAACGGUAAAUGAACGAGAAUCUCGUAAUGCAUGCAUACGUACAUAAUUUUGCAAGUUAGAAUGAGUUUGUGAUAGUGCUUACAUGUGUUCUGAACCAUGUGGCAAAUUGUUCAUCUUGUAAUUGAAAGAUCUGGGAUCGGUCAGCUGCGAGUUAUUGGAGAGCAAAUAUUGUCGAUGUUGCCUGCAAGUGAUAAUGAGUGUAUGAUAUUACAAUAUAUAAUUAACAAUAUUACUGACAAAGUUUAAUUAGUAUUACACAUAUAUAAACUUACUGAAUAAAUGGUCUCAGCUCAUCACAGUUAAAUAGAACAUAGUUGUGUGCUUGUUUGAAUUCUAUUUCCGACAAAUAUCUUCCUCUUACGCAUUUUUAGGUGUGGGUCGUCCAGUUUGGAGAAUAUUGACAAGUUCCCACUGGAAGGCACUUCACCGCCAUCGUCAUGCCGUGGAACGCGAUUGAUUCUUGUUCUCAGAUGAGGUUCGAAAUAGUACGAGAUAAAUGUUGAUAUCUCUUCAACAAUAUAGGCCUCACAUAUCGAAGCCUCAACAUGCGCCUUGUUCUUAACCUUUUUCUUGAGAUUAAACAAGUACCUGCAUUGAAUUACAAUUCAAGUAUUUCAAUUAAGAAAAACAUAGAAAAUACUUUAGAUAUGAAUUCCAUUGCAACUGUAAUAUCUCACCGUUCGAAUGGGUACAUCCAUCUAUACUGGACCGGUCCUCCAGCUUUUGCCUCGAACGGUAGAUGUAUAGGGAGAUGCUCCAUUGAGUCAAAAAAUGAAGGAGGGAAUAUCAUCUCAAGUUUGCAUAGUGUCUCGAUGAUAUUCGUUUGAAGCCUCUCAAUGUGCUCAACAUUCAACUUGCUGGAGCAUAUAUCUCUGAAGAAAUGACUGAUCUCCGUCAGUGCAUCCCAUAUUCCCUUUGGCAACAAAUCACGAAAAGCUAAUGGGAUGAGUGUUUGCAUAAACACGUGGCAGUCAUGACUCUUCAUUCCAUACAAUCUGCAGUCCUCUAUGUUAACAAGCCUUGAUAUGUUCGAUGCAUGUCCAUCCGGAAAACGCAGACUCUUAAGCCAUUUGUAGACUAGCAGUUGUGCGUUUUUCUCUAACACGAAGCUUGCCCUUGGUUUUGCGACCCGUGACUCCUCAUAAACCAACUCCAUAUUUUUACGGUUACAGUAUAAAGCUAUAUCCAAUCUAGCCUUGAUGUUGUCCUUUGUCUUCCCCUUCACAUCCAUGACGGUGUUGAAAAUAUUCUCAAACACGUUCUUUUCGAUGUGCAUGACGUCAAGGUUAUGGCGGAGAAGAUUGGUCUUCCAAUAAGGAAGCUCCCAAAAGAUACUUCGCUUUACCCAAUUAUGGGUCAAACCAAAACCAGGAAACUUUUGCUUACCUGAUUGAAGGCCAAACACAAUGUCACCGUACUCUGAUACAACAUGAUGCAAUUCUUCACCAGAAAGACGCGGGGAUGCAACAUCUUUUUCAACUCUGCCAACAAAGAAAUCUUUUGUUCUUUCUGAACCUGUGAUUAAGUGGCAAGAAGCGACGGUGACAGUCAAAAAAAGAAGCUUUACCUCCGUUUGCUAGCGUGAAUGCCUUGUUGUUUUCCAUGCAGUAUGGACAUGCGAGUUUCCCAUGCGUGCUCCAACCAGAAAGCAUUCCAUAAGCUGGAAAAUCAUUGAUAGUCCACAUCAAAGCCGCCCUCAUAAGGAAAUUUUGUUUCCUCGAUAUAUCAUAAGUCAGAGCUCCGGAGGACCACAACUGCGCCAACUCAUCAAUCAACGGUCGAAGACAAACAUCUAUAUUCCGCCCCGGGCUGCUUGGACCGGGUAUGACAGUAGAUAAAACAUGAACUCCGGCCUCAUACACAUUCCCGGUGGCAAGUUAUAAACUGUGAGUAUGACCGGCCAACAAGAAUAGGGAGCAGCAAAUGACCCAAAUGGGUUGAAUCCGUCUGUACACAACCCAAGACGACAUUCCUUGAUUCAGCUGAAAAGUCAGGAUGCACACACUGUUAAAGCGUUUCCACGCUUCGCCGUCAGAAGGAUGCACCAUCACACCAUCAACCGCAUCAUGUGUUUGGUGCCAUGUCAUGUGCUCAGCAGUCCUUGGUGACAUGAAUAACCUCUGCAGUCUAGGUGUGAUCGGGAAAUAUCUAAGUUUUUUAUACGCCACUAGAGUCUUUCCCCUGCCAGUUCUGGGUUUGUAACGGGAAUGCCCGCAUGUCAUGCACUCGGUCAUCUCAGCAUUUUCAAGGUAGUAUAACAUGCAGAAGUUAGGGCACAUGUCAAUUUUCUGGUAUCCUAAACCGAGGGGUUUCAUCAUGGACUUCGCAGCAUAGAAGUUCUCUUUCAGCCUGUUCCCUUCAGGUAAAAUGCUUCUUGCCCAAUCAAUAAUUUUGUCAUACCCGGCCUCACUCAGCCCGUGAUCUGACUUGAUGGUGAACACCUGUGCCACAGCCGAUAAUUUACUGUGGUUUGUGCAGCCAUCCCAUAAUGGUUCGUCAGAAUCUUUCAACAAAUCAAAAAACCUAGCUGCCUCUGCAUUAGGUUCUUCUUCUACGAUUGGACAUUGAUUGACAUUACCUUGAUUCAUUCUCAUUGCAUCCAUAACCAUGUUUCUGUAAGGAUUAGUGUUGUCAUUUGCCGCUUCAUGCACGUUGCUACCACUAGAAGUUGACCCAACCACCGUUUCUCCCAUUCUCCUAUUACUAACAAAUACCUCUCCAUGUGCAUACCAACACUGUAAUCCUCCACAAACCCUUUGUGUAGAAGAUGCAUCAUUACAACAUCUGGAUGCAGAUACUUUUUAUUUUGACACUUCCUGCAUGGACACCUAAUACCGCCUCCAGUAAAAUUUCUGGGAAUAGAUGUUGCGAAAUUAAUAAAACCCUGAACUUACAAUAAUCCAUCCUCCGCAAUCCUUGGGGUGAAUCUAGAUACAUCCAUGAACGAUCAUCCAUGACUUCUAUCGAACCUCUAUAAAAUUAUGACAUCAUGUAUAUAUUAAUUAACUAAGUUAGGUAAAUAAACUUGUAAUAUUUACUUUACCUCGAGAUUAUCCAACAAACCAAUCACAACUUCUCAUAAAUAUUAAAUAUUCAUUAUCAUUUAUCAACGUCCAUACAAAUUAAUAUAUAUAUAUAUAUAAAUUAACAGAAAUUACCACUCUGCAAUACCAUCGAUAAAACUUAAAAAGGACCCAUUAAGCAAGCUAUUAAUUAUUUCAAAACAUAACAUGUAAUUCGGUAAUUCCACAAAGUUUUAACAAUUUACAAACAAAUACAAUCUUACAAAAUCUAAAACAAACCAUAACAGGUAUAAAAUUAUACAUUCAUAAACUACAAGUUUGUUUGAGAAAUAACAAUAAAACAUGUACAUCUACUAAUAAAAAUACAUAUACUAAAAAAACAAUAAAAUUGACAUUUAAAUGUUAAAAUUUAAAAAGAUAGAAUUACUUACAAAAAUUGAUAAAAUCCGUCGGUAAAUCAGAACACGGAUGCUGUGACCACAAAACUUCAAGAAAUACAAUUGCUGAGAUGAGAAAGAUUUUUGUUUGGGGGCGAGGGGGGGCUGGUUAUUUGCAGAUGGGGAGACUUAGGAUUAGGAAGAAGAAGGAGAAAUGGGGGAGGAGAGUGUCGGCAGGGCGGCCAUAUAUUCACUUUUUUUGACGGACUCACCGACAGAAUAACACCGUCGGUGACUCCGUCGCUAAUUGUGACGGGGAAUCGACACGUCACCGCACUGACUGCUUUUUCAAAUCCCUCGGUGAUUCUGUCGGUAUUUUUUGACGGUGAACCUAUCAUGUCACACGUACGGAUCUGGCAAUCAAAUCCGUCGGUGAUUCCGUCGGUAUUUUUGACGGUGAACCGGUCACGUCACCCGUAUAGGUCCUAGGGUUUGAAUCCGUCGGUGAUUCUGUCGGAAAAAUCACCCGCCAAAACCUCCGCCUCAGGUACCCGCCGUUUUUUCAUUAAUUCUGAACUUUCCGUCCAUUAUUCGGUCGGUAAUUAUCGACGGUUAUAUUCCGUCGGUACUUACCGACGGAAUUACGGACGGAAAAAUUCCGUCAGUAAUUUCGACCGAAAAAUUCCGUCAGUAAUUUCGACCGAAAAAUUCCGUCAGUAAUUUCGACCGAAAAAUACCGACAGAAAUAUGCCGUCGGGGAAUCCGUUGGUACUUUUGCAUGCUACAUGGAUAGGAUAGUCGCCUUGAUGGUUUGUUUCAUAAGCACCAUCGUGAAACUUCUUUAAUAGGAAUCGAACUCCUUCCAGAAAUCCUAUGGAUGAUGCAUAAUGCAGUGAAUUUCCAAACUCUUCCUCGGUGAGACGUAAUAGCUCUGGCUUUUCCCUUUGAAUUUUCUCCAAACUAUCUGAAAAUCAAAAGAAAAUGUUUCAAAUGAAUAUAAAGAUGAUAGCUUUGCAACAAUUGUUUGUAUGUAAUUCAUUUUCUAGUGAGUAAUGAAAUUGUGAUCACCUCUGUUACGUUGCUUGAUGGCAACAUGAACAGGUGACUUUCCUUUUGGUAGGGCAUCACCUUCUUCACUUUUAUAGGGAACGAAGCUUUCGUUUUCAAGAGAUCAUCAAGUAUCUCUUUCUUAUUGCCGUUCUCAACAGCCAGAUAUAAAGGAGACUUGAAAUAAUUGAAAUAAUUGAGAUGAAAAAUAAGUGGAACAUUAUGUAUUUUUGAAGACAUGUCCACUUAUUUUAAAUCUUUUAUUAUUAUAAUAUUUAAAGCAGCUUAAAUGAUACGAUCAUUAUUUUGUAUCUUUUUAUCUCUCUCUUUUUUUUUAACUUUUUAUUUGAUUAAAUUAUGGAUUAUUUAAUAUAAAUAAGGGAGGAAAUGGUUAGAUUAAAAGAAUUACACUGAGUUGUGAUUAGAAUAUAACAAGAAAAUCUGCAAAAUUAAUAAUUACAAAUCUUGAUAAUGAACAACGGUUUUGGGACAAACAAGAUCAGAAAGGUGGACAAUAUGGUUGAAAUGAUCCCAAGGAGCCUGGUUUGAUAAGCACCGAAGACAAAUCCAGAGUUGUGUUUUAUUCUCAAGUAGCAGGAUCGAGUAGAUAAGUUGAUUGAGAAUGUUUAGAGCGAGCCACAAAUGAUAUCCUAGCUUUAAUAUUGUUGUCCUUCGUCCAUAAAUGAAACAAUUUAGGACAACAAUGUCUUUAAUUUGGAUAAUUAAAGAUAUCAACUUGGUUGGUCUUAACAGUAUUAAUAUGGCCGUCCUUAAAACAAGAAAAAAGGACAUGGCCAGGCAUUGACACGUUGCAAAGACGAUAAAGUCAACCAACAUCGUCCCACCCUUGCUCUAAUUUGAUGCAAUAAUGUUUAAGGGGGCGUUUAUUUCUGAAAAGUAAAUUUUAAAAAAAUUAUUUUUAAAAUUUUUUAUAUGUUUAUUUGUUAUUAAAAAAAUUGAUAAAUAAAAAUUAAUUUUUAGUCAACCGGGAAAAUAUUUUCCUAUUAAAGAAAAAUUUAACUUAAUUUUCAGAAAAAAUAUUUUUCUUUAUCUUGGAUGGAAAAUAAUUUUUAAAAGUAGACAAUCACUGUGUCAAUAGGAGUUUUUUUUUUUUAAUAGAGAGUUGUUUAAGUGUAUAGUAAUUUUUUUUAAAAAAAAAUAUAUUAAAAUAAUAUAUAUUUUUUAUUUUUAAAAAUUUAUUUUUAACAUCAAUAAUUAAAAUAAUUUAAAAAUAUAAAAAAUUAAUUUUAAUAAAAAAUUUUAAUUUUGAUAACAUACUGUUUAUAUCGCAAUUCUAAAAUGGAAUACCUAUAGACAACAAAAAAAACCUAUCAUCAAAUGACAACGUGGGACACAAUCUAUUGUGUUCUCUUCCGUUGAUGGAGGGGUGGUGUUGGCUGUAUUUGUUAGAACUUAGAACAAAACAUUUUUUUAAAUUGCUCGUCCUUUUACCUUGAAAAAAAUCCUGCAGCAGGGACGGGAUGGAUGUUUGUUGAUUAUCGUUAUGCACCGUGUCAAUGAUUUUGGGACGGCCAUUUUAAUACUGUUCAGACCAACCAAGCUGUUGAUAUCUUUAAUUAACAUUCAUAUCUUAAUUUGAUUAUUUGAUUUUAUAUUUUUUAACUCAAUCCAACAACAACAACAACAGGAGUCUAGUAAAUGCAUGCUUAAAAUAUAUAUAAAAGUAGAAGUGCGCAUACAUUCAAUUGGAAACUCAAGAGUUAUUACAUAGUUCAAAUUAUUACCACAAUCGCUAGCCAGACACAAUCCAAGAUGUUAUCGAUCCCAAAAUCCCGACCUCUGAUCCUACUAAAGAUUGUGCUUUUUCUUGAGAUCAGAGAGUUUAUGAGGCAGCCACCAGCUACUGUAGACAAACAAGAAAAAUAAGUAGUAGUAGAUAUAAUGCAAGAGCACUUUCAGAUGAACUGGGCUGACAGAUAGCGGAAUAAUCGAAGGAAAAACAACGGCCACCCCUGUAAUACUGAUUGUUAACAACGAACGAUGGGAUCCUAUUAAUGCUAUUCUCGCAGAAAAAAGCAAUGCCCCGAACAUCAUGUAAAUAGCCAAACGAACCAUGAUAACUGAAAACCAAACUGUAGCGAUUUGAAAUCUGGGAUACGUAACGCUUGGCAAAAGAAGGAGUAGAGCUGCCAGCAGAGAGGAAGAUAAAGCCCCCACGUCGAGAAACAAAUAACCAUACAGAAGAUUCUCAUAAGUGCUGUAAUCGGAGGCAGUAUAAGUAGUGCUGUUAAAUUCACGAUCACUUGAGUUAUUGUUAUCCCUUAAUUGCGGCAAUUGUAUAACACCCGCAAAGGUUACAGCAGCAACAAGCACUGCUACCACUAGAAGAUUCCCUAUCCUUGUUGUUGCUUCCUUUCUUAGUUUUGACAUGGGUAGUCCAGUAGCAGGGAAAAUCUCCUUUAGGGAUUUCUUAGGGCGGGCAUUGACGAAUAAGAUCGAUAAUGUCAUCACCUGCAUAUAUAGCACGGGGGAAAUUAAAAACUUAAUUGUUUAAUGAGUUCUUGGCACUUGCUCAAUUGCAUCCAAAAGCAUUGACCUAAUUCAAAUGCCUUUCCCAGAACAAGAAAUUUUCUGGAAUGGUUUAGAAUUUUUUAAUAUAAUGGUAUACAAGUUCAAUCAAUUGGGCUUGAACUAGAAGUUUAAAAGAUUAGGGAUGGCAAGGGGGAAAAAAAAAGGAAAGAAGAAAAGCAAUAAUACCAAGUCAAAAUACCAAACCACUAUUUCGUCCUUUGAUGAAGCCUCUUUUGUAUCCAUCUUAUUUGAAUCAACUUCUUUGCCCUGUAAAAAAAUAAUAAUAUUAUUAUAUGUUAAAAUGCAGUGCUCUCUCUGUGUGCAAUGGAUAUAUAUAUAUUGAAGAUAUUUGAUUUCCUGCUGCGAAAUACUUUUAAUCUUUUUAUUUAAUUAUAUAAUAAUAAAAUUAAUUUUUAUAAAUAAUUUAAAUUCCAUAGGAUAAAAAAAUAAUUUAAAUUGAUUUGAAAUAAAAAUAAAAAAGGUAUCUAUAUUUUUUUUAAACAAAACCAUUUUCCUUAUUAAUACGUUCCAUUUUUUUUUACUAAUGUUUUUAUAAAAUUGUUUUGUUUUUUUUUUAACAACAACCUAUCAUAAUCUAUAAAUAAGUUUUAAUUAAAAAAUAAAAUAAUAAUGGAUUGAUAAUUUUCUUGAAAAAAAAUAUUUUUAGCAAUGUUUUUAUUGCAUAAAAACUAAAAGCAAUUAAAAUAAAUAUGGACAAAAAAUUUCAUGAUUUUAUUGCAAUAUAGAUAAAAAAAAAAAAAGAUAUCUAUUUGAUAAAAAAAAAAAGCUUUUUUUUUUUAUUAAUCCAUCCUCUCUUUCUUUUUUGGGGUAGUAUUUUAUAAAAAAUAUUGUUUCUUAAAUAAAAAACUUAUCAUAAUCUUAACGUAAAUACCUUGAUCUCGUGCGCAGGGGUACUGUUCUUUGAAUCAAUCGGCUUUCGUUCCUUGGCAGGCUGGCAACAAAGUGGAAGCCCAGAUACCAAAAUAUCUCGAUAAAUGAUGAUCAAAUGAAUAACAUACCAUUUCAUCUGUUUUGAUGUAUGUCUCUUCAAUUCUUUUGGAAAAAUCUUCAGCCACCUCAUAUGGUGUCCAAUUUCUAUUGUUAACAAUGAAAUGUUCAACGCGAUUGUCACGCACAAGAAGAAAUGUAGCCGUGCAUCGGCCAUAACCUGCUGCCAAGUGCAAAGGUGUAUUUCCAUCCUCAUCUAUCGCAUUUAGCAGCGGUGCGACGAGCUUCUGAUCCUGCUUGAGUAUGUACCUAACCACACUGCUAUUUCCAUAUUUGACCGCUACAUGAAGAAUGUCCUGCCCUUUCUUAUUGAGGAAUUCUUUUGGAUAUGGGAAUAUAUCAAGAAAUUCCUUCACUACAUCAACAGAGUGACUUUUGCAUGCUACAUGGAUAGGAUAGUCGCCUUCAAGGUUUGUUUCAUAAGCACCAUCGUGAAACUUCGUUAAUAGGAAUCGAACUCCUUCCAGAAAACCUAUGGAUGAUGCAUAAUGCAGUGAAUUUCCAAACUCUUCCUCGGUGAGACGUAAUAGCUCUGGCUUUUCCUUUCCAAUUUUCUCCAAAAUAUCUGAAAAUCAAAAGAAAAUGUUGUAAAUGAACAUAAAGAUGAUAGCUUUGCAACAAUUGUUUGUAUGUAAUUCAUUUUCUAGGGAGUAAUGAAAUUGUGAUCACCUCUGUUACGUUGCUUGAUGGCAGCAUGAACAGGGGACUUUCCUUCUGGUAGGGCAUCACCAUCUUCACUUUUUAUAGGGAACGAAGCUCCCAAAUUCAAGAGAUCAUCAAGUAUCCCGUUCUUUUUGCCUUUCUCAACGGCCAGAUAUAAAGGAGACUUGCCAUUAUUGUUGUUGUAAUAGGCCACUUCUGGAUCUCUGGAAACUAGGAGUUUGGCCACUUCUUUGUUAUCGGUGAUCACUGCAUCAUGCAAAGGAGUGUUUCCCUUUGUAUUUGUCUUCCUCAUCAAGCUCGGAUUCGAUUCCGCAAGAGAUUUAAUUGUAUCACUGGCCUUUCCUUCUCUGGCAGCAAGAUGAAGGAUUGUGUCCUUCUGGCUGUUUUGGAUGGUGAUUAGAGAAGGAAACGUUCCAGCCAGAUAAGAUGUAAUAUUGUCACUUCCAUAGCUUACAGCUACAUGAAGCAGUGAAUUCCCACAGGCAGUCACUAGCUUCUCCGCUGAACGUUGCUGGACGCGGCUUUCAAAUUCCUCAAUAUUGUCCUGCUUCACAUACUCAUAUAACUUACUAUCUAUCUUUGUAUUUGCCAUGUUAUCUCUCGGGAUCGAGUUUUCAUCAAUGUUUAUUGCUUCGUAGCCUACGCUAGACAUGGCAAAAGAAAAUAUUGUGUUAGUUGAAUCAGCUAUUCAUAUCAGACAGCUGGACUUCUAAUUUAAAUAGACCACACUGCAUGUCAAUGGAAUCUGAAAUAAUGUGAAUCUUACUUUUUUUAUAUUUGCAAGGAUAUAUACUUUGAUUACUCAAUUACUUCACCCAUUCGUUCUGGAAUCCAGGACAUAGCAAGAACGAGAGAGCAGUCUUGGCUAUGGUUAAAGCAGCAUCUAGAAAAGGAAAAGGAAAAGAGGAAAAUAUGACCGCUAACUGAAAAAAAGAUGAUUGUCCCUGGGGAAAUUCUUGACUUGAAGUUAUAACUCAUAUACACUGUGGUGCAGAUGGGAGAAUUCAUAUUUUAAUAACAAUUUUUGUUAGUUUUCUAGGACAUCUAGAAAUUAUUUUGCAACCUGAAACAUCUACGUAUCACACAACAAGACCUCUAAUUCAAAUAGAACUUACUCUGGUUUUAUAUGCAUGGAUACUUUGAUUGCUCAAAUACUUCACCCAUUUGUUAUGAAAUCCAGGACAUAGCAAGACAUAGCAAGACCAGUCUUGGCUAUGGUUAAAGCAGCAUCUAGAAAAGGAAAAGGAAAAGGAAAAGAGGAAAAUAUCUCCCCUAGCUUAAAAAAAGGAAAAUUCUUAACUUGAAUUUAUAACUCAUAUACAGAGUGCAGUUGGGAGAAUCCAUGGUUGCAUGAACAUGAUACACGAUGGCAUGAGAUUCUAUGUGAAAUAAACAUUCAAUUCAAAAGGAAAAUUCUUAACUUGAAUUUAUAACUCAUAUACAGAGUGCAGUUGGGAAAAUCCAUGGUUUAAUGAACAUGAUACACGAUUGUCGAUACACGAUGUCGGGCGACGGCUCCACUUUUUGUUUAUUUAACAAAUAGUUUUUUUUUUAUUGGGGAAAAUGAAGAUUUUAUUGGAGUCGCCAUCUAGUAAUAUGAGGGAACUAGAAAUCCCAAAUUAUACAGUGGUCCCAGAGAUUCGGGUAUUGGGUUAGUUAUGUUUAAGGGAAGGUAGACAUCACCCUUAAAUCAUUCUUUCAAAAGAAAGGUUACCCUUACUUGUAUGCUUUUAUAUUUGAUUUAAAUGCUAUUACCUUUUGAGCUUAUUUGCAAUUUGUUUCUUUUAAAGAUGGUUAAAGUCGGUCCCUAAAAAUAAAGACACUUUAAAAAUGAUAUUAAUCCCUAAAAAUAGAAGACUCGUCUAAAAUAUCGAUGUUUAACCCUAAAAAGAAGAUUUACGUAUGAGUUACCAAAAGGAAAUAAUGGACAUAAUCCAUAUUUGGUAUAAAUACCCUUGACAUCGGUCCUUUUCUGUAAAAGGAGACGUGUCGAAAAACAACAUUCGUAGGAGAUGCGUUAAAAAAAUGGAUGACAUCAGUUCCUAAAAAUAGGUGACUCGUCUAAAAUAUUGACGUUUAACCCUAAAAAGGAGAAGUACGUCUGAGUUACCAAAAAAAUUAUGGAAAUAAUCCAUAUUUGGUAUUUAAACUUUUGACAUCUGUUAUUUUCUGUAAAAAGAGACCUGUCAACAAACAAUAUUCGUUUAUAAAACAAAAAUUAUUCUGAUAUCAUUGAGAAAUGGGUAUAACCAUAUUCGAGAAUUGGGCUUUGGACCCACAAACGAUAACAUUAUAAGAUGGGUGUUGGACCCGCGUCGUUAUUCCUUUUAUACUUGUUUUUUGGUUUUUUUUGUUUUACAACAUGCAAGAAAAUUUACAAAUACUUGUAUAUAAAAAUAAAAUAAAAACUGUUACGAAUCUCAAAAACUUACCUGAGUGCCACUGUAUAUGUAAAAGACUGAAAUACCCUUGAAUUUCUCUCGAAAAAUUACAAAAAUACCCCUUGUGGUGCAUGUGGCUCACGCACAGUUACUGUUGGAGGCGGCAAAAUUUUCCGGCAAGAUUUCCAACCAACGAAUGGUUGAUUCUGGUGGAUCUGAGGGAGAGGAUUAUGAUGAAGGAGGUUUCGACGGCCGUUAAUGGCUGACGAGGUAGAAUCGUCGUUUUGAAGCUUCGGGGUGGCCGACGAAAUCGUGGUCGUUUUCCGGCUAGAUGAGGUGGCGAAAACGUUGAAAACAACUGGGGUUUUGCUUUAUAGCAGGGUAGAAACCUUUCUGUGGUGGUUUGGUAGCUUCACACGGCCGGAAAUGGGAGAUCAAAUGAGAGAGAGAGAGAGAAUCGCCAGCGAGAGGAGAGACAGGCUCUGAGAUUGUGCUACGGUGUGAACACGAGCACAGUGUACCUAUACAGCUAAAGGUUGUGAGUCGUUCGAUCGCGGAUGUACCGAUCCUUCGGCUGUGAUUGGCUUGAUCUGCAAGUUGAUCGAAGGAUCCGGAUGAGCUGAUCUUUGAUCUGGUGUGGCGCGGUGGACCGAAAGCUCGGUACACAGGGUGACGUGGCACAACAGGAUCAAAGGGCAGAUUAUUUCAAAGGCUAAGAUGGAUUUGGGUUUUAAUCUAGUGUGGUAAGCCCUAUUGUAUCUUAUUAAUUCAAAGGUCCAGAACUAACACUAUUAGAUCUAACGGUUAGGAUAUUUUUAGUAUUUUUCAAAUUGUUUAAAAAAAAAACAAUAUCUUACUCGCAUGAAGAAAAACUAAAAAAAAUUCAUAUAAUAAUACUCUACUUUUCUUUUUUUCUUUUCUCCUUUCCCUUUCUCCUCCGGUGUUGUGGCUAUUUAUAGCCAAUAAGCAGGGACAACAUAUUUAUUUCAAAGAAAAAAAAUGCAUCCCCGCAACUAACCCACCUACUAUAAUAAAUUACUAUAUUAUUAAUUUUGUUUUAUUAUAUAUAAUAAUAAAUAUUUAUAUGGGUAAAACUAAAAAACUUAAAUCAGUAUUAUAAAAAAGCUCGUUUCAACCGCGAAAAAAAUAUUUUAAUUACCGAAAAUUGUAUUGGAACACAAAAAAAAAAAAAAAACAUUUGAUGGGUAUCAACCCGGUGAAUCGUGUUUUGAUCGAAAAAUAAUGAUUUUGACCCGAAACCUCAUUUUUUACCCUGGUCGACAUGGUUUGACCUGUAUUGAUCCGGUGGACUCAGUUUUGAUAAAAAAUGAUGGUUUUGACCGAAAAUGAUGGUUUUGACCCGAAACGUCAUGAAAACUUAUUUUUUACCCUGGUCGACAUGGUUUGACCCGUAUUGACCCAAUGGACUUUGUUUUGAUAAAAAAUGACGGUUUUGACCCGAAACCAAGGUUGUCAAUUCCGUUUCGGUAGGUAUUUCAUUUUUUCAAUUGGAAUGAAAUGUUUCAGUUUCUGAGUGUUUCGGCGUGCCGUUUCGGGGUUGUACUGUUUAUAUAUAUAUAUAUAUAUUAUAUAUAUAUAUAUAUAUCAACAAACAUAAUUCAAAUUCAAGAUAAAUUAAUUAUAAACUAUGCAAUACAAACACAAUACCAAACAAAUAUAAUUUCAAAUUUUAAAAUAUUUCUAAAUAGUUAAAAAUUAAAUAGAUCUUUAUCUUAAAGUAAUUCAACUUAAACAAAAUAUCAAAAUAUUAUGAAAGUAAAAUAUUUAAACAAAAAUAUUUAAAUAUAAAGUUAGGUCAAUGUUAUCGAGUGACUAAUGGAAUCUAAAACAUCCCUUGUUUUGUUCAAAUUCCUACAAAGUAUAAACAUGAAAAAAAACAACAUAAAUAUAAACCAUUUAUAUUAGUGAUAAAUCUAAUUUUAAAAAAUUAAUAUCAUUGCUAUUAAAAAUAGUAAUGAAAAAGAGUUUUUUAUAAUCGGGUGGUUUAAUUAAUGAAAUGGAGCAAGGUUCAAUUUGAUUCAUUGGCUUUUCAAGAGCGGAAUGGAACAUGUGGAAUGAAACAGGAACGUUUCGGGCGAAAUUUAACCGAAAAAUCCGGAACAGACCGAGAUUUAAAAUGAUAUCAAAUUUGUUCCGUUUUUUGAACUGGUAUGGAAUGUUUCGGCCAUUCCGGGUGGAAUGGAACGGAAUUGACAACCCUGCCCGAAACGUCAUGAAAACUCAUGUUUUACCCUGGUCGACAUAGUUUGACCCGUAUUGACCCGGUGGACUCGGUUUUGAUAAAAAAUGACGGUUUUGACUGAAAAUGACGGUUUUGACCCGAAACGUCAUGAAAACUCAUUUUUUACCCUGGUCGACAUGGUUUGACCCGUAUUGAUCCGGUGGACUCGGUUCUGAUAAAAAAUGACGGUUUUGACCGAAAAUGACAGUUUUGACCCGAAACAUCAUGAAAACUCAUUUUUUACCCUUGUCGACAUGGUUUGAUCCGUAUUGACCCGAUGGACUCGGUUUUGAUAAAAAAUGAUGGUUUUGACUUGAAACAUCAUGAAAACUCAUUUUUUACCCUGGUCGACAUGGUUUGACCCGUAUUGACCUAGUGAAAUCGGUUUUUAUGGAAAGAUGCGGUUAACUCGAGAAAAUAUUUUUUGAAUUUUAAACUUUUUUUCUUAAUUUUUUUGGAUUUUUAUGAAUAAUAAUAGAAAUAAAAUAACAUUCAAGAAAAUCUUAGUGAAUCAAAAAUUGGGUUAUAAUAGUUAUCCCCUCUUUACAAUGCUUACAGUGCAAAGACAUUGGAAAAUUCAUUUUCUUUUGACUUUGCAUAGUAAGUUUUGUAAACAAAAACGAUGGAGGUGUUGAAAAAUACACAAAUUGUUCAGUUGGUCAAUUCUUGUGGGCGACUUGUCCAAGUGAAAAACAUGAAAGUGUUUUCAAUAUUGAUUUUUGUGAAAUACAUGAAAGUGAUUUAAGCAUUGGUCUUAUUUUCCAGGUGACCAACCUGUUUGUGAAAUACAUGAAAGUGAUUUCAACAUUGAUUUUUUGUGAAAUACAUGAAAGUGAUUUCAACAUUGAUUUUUUAUGAAAUACAUGAAAGUGAUUUCAGUAUUGGUCUUAUUUUCCAGGUGGCCAACCUGUUUGUGAAAUACAUGAAAGUGAUUUCAACAUUGAUUUUUUUGUGAAAUGCAUGAAAGUGAUUUCAGCAUUGGUCUUAUUUUCCAGAGGACCAGCCUGUUUGUGAAAUACAUGAAAGUGAUUUCAACAUUGAUUUUUGUGAAAUUCAUGAAAGUGAUUUCAGCAUUGGUCUUAUUUUCCAGGUGACCAGCCUGUUUGUGAAAUACAUGAAAGUGAUUUCAACAUUGAUUUUUGUGAAAUUCAUGAAAGUUAUUUCAACAUCAGUUUCAGGGUUAAUGAAAACUUUUAAAGGAAGUCAUACUUGCAUGGUUGAGAUCUGAUUUGUAAAUCGAUCUCAAAGAUGAUGUAAGCUUCUCAAGAAAGUCUUAUAUGUACGGCUGAGAUCUAAUUCACAAAUCGAUCUCAAAGAUGAUGAAAGCUUCUCAAGAAAGUCUUAUAUGUACGACUGAGAUGUGAUUUGCAAAUCGAUCUCAAAGAUGAUGAAAGCUUCUCAAGAAAGUCUUAUAUGUACAACUAAGAUUUGAGCUUCUAUUCAAAAUGAUGGCCGGAGCAAAUUCCCUAUAAAUCACGCAAUAUUUGGCAAAAGACAUCAUCAACUUCUCGCAUGUUCAAUACUUUCAAAGUUCUCAACUUUUGACGUUUUAACCAUGUCUUCUUUUUCUUUCAAUGCUAAUCCAAACCUUGUUCCUGCGGUAGAGCCUGUAGUUUGGCGUACUACCUUUAAAGUGAAUGGUCGCCCAGUUACAAUAGAGGAUACUCUAAUGGACAAUGAAGAUCUUGAUGUAGUCGUGGUUAGAGACAUGACCUUUCAUCGUGAUGAAAUAAUGCUGGCAACCAGGACCGUUAUUUAAGUAGUGAAUUAGUCAUUUGCUCUUAGUAUCAGAGCUACUUCGUCUUUGGUGAACCUUGCGGAGCGUCUUCAUGCCAGAAGACUUAAGUUGAAUACUUAAAUUCUUGAUCUCCAUCAUCAAAUUGAGAAUUUAAGGAAUAGACUCCGUGAUGAGAGACGUCACAGAAAUGACUUGGAGAGGAGAAACCAAGAGCUCAACACGCGUGUUGACUUUUGGAGGGACUAUGUUAACACACGACACCUCGAGUUCGAGGAAGAGAUGGAGCGCAUGCAUAAGCAAUUUGAGGAAUUUUGAGUAAUGAUUGAUCAUCAAGAUGAAAAUAUCCCUAAUCAUCCCCGUAGUUUUAACGUUUGUACUUGUAAACCCUUUUCAUGAAUAAAAAUCCAUUUCUUGUCUACAUUCAUGAAUUUUGCUUUUGUGGAAUUGCCAUAUUUGAUGUGAUUUAGAAGAACUUCAUUUCAUCUGAAUCUCGUUGGAUCCCGUUAGGAAUUUUGUUUCGUGAAAUAUCUGCAAAACAAAUAUGCAAUGCUCGUGAAGUUAGAUGAUAUGCAAUGCAUCUUACCUGUUUUUGAAAUAUAGAUCCCCGUUAUCUUGUUUGAGGAUCUUGACUUUAGUGAGCUCUUUUGAUUUCACGCGUACUUCAAUCUACUCAAGCCGACCCAUGUUGUUCAUUUUCUAAGAUAAGCUUUGUUUGAGUUUCCCAACAGUCACUGCACUUUUCUCUAUUGGUAACUUCACUGAGAAAUUACUUCUCCCUGGCCCGACAUUGUUCUAUAGGCAACAUUCCCAUUAUUGAAGAUUCUUUAACCAAUUCAUAUGGUCAAUAUAUGAGGAUUAUCCCGCUUCACCUAGGAUUUCAUAUGCAUUCUCUUACUGAAGAUGUAUCAGUUAUCUUGUUGUCUAACUGAUCAUAUUGAGAGUCAACAAUCUCCUUUCAUAGAUACUGCAAAUCAUACUAUUUCAGUCCUCAUGCUGGAAGAAGUCCACAGUUUUAUCAUGUGUAUUUUCCACUAGGGAAGCAAAUUUCUUUGUGCCAUUAAGGAUCUAGUAACUGCUUCUCUCCCUGGGAGAAUUAACUGCCUCAUUCAUUUCCUCCUUUGCUCUUGUUGUCAUUAGAAUCUCUGAUUUUCUAACGGUGCCUCGUAGUGUGUCAUAUAUUCAUUUUUCUUACAAAGAAAAUCUUUUUUCAAAAGAUCUGUUUUGUUCUCGAAAACUGAAACUCUCAAUGUCUGUUUAUAACAAUGUUCAGGCAACUCUGGGCUUUAUGUCAAAUCUCUUAGUAAAAGUAAUCUAAGAUGAAGGUAAGUGAUGAGAUGACCUUCUGCUUUGGUUUUCAAAGUGUUCAAGCGAUUGCUUGAAGGUAUUUUGAGAGAAAAGAAACAAUUUGCCUUUUAUUUUUAGAAACACUCUUUUUAACAGCAUGAAUAAUAAUGAGUAAUUAUUUGCUACGCCAUGACUCUUUAUGGAAAAGUCUCUUAUAUUUUAAGAACGUUGUUUAUUGAUCCAGGUUGCUUACUUGAUUAGAAAGGACUUCAAAGACAUGUAAUGUAUUUUAUGGCUCAAGGUUAUAAAAGAAAGAGUAUUCCAUAAGCUCAAAAAAAUGUUUAAGGGCUUAUAAACUAUAGAUCACUAUUAUCUUGUCUUGGCAUUUUCUUUUUCUACCUUGACAACAAAAAUGAUGCUAAAUAUUUCAAAUGAAGAACUUCUGUUUUUUUUUUUGUUAUUCCCAUAUUUGUUAGGAAUUCUCUCAAUUGUUUGGAAUUUAUUGAAUUAUUUGUUGUCAGACUUUCUUUAUAAGCUCACAUGCCUUCAAGACUUUUUUUAUUUGGUUGUUGAGGAACAAAAUUGUUUUUAAGGAGAGAACUAUAAGCUUGUUUGAUUAUUUUUCCACCAUCCUUCAUCGGGUUGCUAUUUGUUUGCAUACUCUGGAUUCAAACUUCACUUAUACAAGAAAUGACCUCUUAAGAUCUUCUGAUGGCAUCAAAUUGUGAUGUAAUAAGAAAUCUUAGGUAGUCUCUUUGUUGUUUGCUAUAGUAGAUUAAUUUUUUUCCUUUUUUUUUUUCUAAGUUUGUUUUCUUUUUUUUUUCUUUUUUCAUAUCCUUAUAUUUCACUUUGGCUAUUAGCUUUAUGGACUUUUCAAUAUACUCUUGAUGAUUAUCCAAAAAAAAUAAAUUAGUUGGUAAUGGUUGCGGGCUUGACAAUUCUUGUCUUACUGUACAGUUUCCAAGAUUAUAUAUAUUACCUUUCGGAAGACAAAACCUCUUCAAUUGCUAAUAUGGGUGUGUGGGAUCGAUGGCUUGUCUUGGAUUUGGAAUUUCUAUGUUUGGUAUGUUGUCCAAAUUAACGUUGUCCAGCAAGGUUUUGGACAAAUUGAGUUAGAAGUCAAUCUCUAAUGGGAUGUCAUCUUUCAUUUCCUAGUCAGCCUAGUUCAUGCAUUUCCUUCAAUGGUGUAUGAAAAGGAUUGGUCCCUCCUAAAGUUGAAUUUUUUUGUUCGAUGGCUAUCCUUAAUAAAAUCAACACCAGAGGUAUUUUGGCUAGAAGAGGUAUUAUAUAUUGAGUCUGAUGAAGCAACAUGUUUUGUCUAUUUGUUGGCUGAGGAGAUUGUUGAUCGCCUUCUCCUACGUACAUCAACACCGGAGGUGUUUUGGCUUAAAAUGUUAAGAAAAACUAGGUAGGACAGUGCAGCAUAUCCCAUUCAUUCAGCAUAAAAAUGUAUAAGCACUGAAUUGAGAAUUUGAAUUUGAAUUAGUAAUGAUAAAAACGUAUAGUCUUGUGCUUAACAUUCAAUCAAAAUGCCCAUCCAAAUAAUUUGUCCAACCACUUACAUAAACAUUAACAUAUCAAACCUUAAAAGAUAUAACUCAACUAAUCAAAUUUAUAUUUGUAGAGAUCAUCAGUUUGAGUUCCACAAACCUUAAAAUCACUAAAAAUUUAUAUGAUUAUUAAUUUCAAAACUCGUGUGAUUAAUCGAGAUAUGCACAAAUUAACUUAAACAUCCAUUUUAAUAAAUAAAAAAAACAUAUCAUUUAAAUUUUAUCUAUUACACGUUAUCCUUCAUUAAUUAUAAUUAUAAGAAAAAGAUGAUUCUCUAUUACUUCUCUUUUAGCAGCAUAUUUAUUGGCACCGUGUGAAUUUGAACAGUGUCAAAAACAUUCAUUUUUCUUUUUUCGUAGAAUUUUUUUUAAUUUAAUCCUUUUAAUUCAAGGGAAAGAAAGAAAAACAAAAAACAAAAAAAAAAGGGAAAUUGGUUGUCAUAUUGGGAAAUAGCCGCCACACGCCGCCUAUAUUGAAUGGCCUUGCUUUAAGCACUUCCAGAAACACCAAGAAAGAUUAUUUUUUAAAGCAAAGGGGAUUUUGAACGCGCCAUCAUAAUGUGGCAGGUCCUCCACAUGCUGGUGUGUUCCCAAUAUUUGUCAUUUUCGUAAACUUUGGUCCCUAAUUAUAUAAAUAUUUUUCAGUUUAGUUUCAAAUUUCUUCCCACCUAAAUCCAAGUUUUUUUUUUCAAUUUAAUCUCUAAUUUUUUUUUAUAUAUAUAAAAAAACCCUAAUCAAUCUAAUAUACAGAAAAAUGAACAAAACCCCCCACCAAGAUUCCUAAAUUGACAACUCAAAUUUCCAAAUUAGCAAAAUUCAAAAAGAAAUAUUUAUGGAAAUGACAGUUACAAAGAAAAAGCUGAAAACACCUAAUAAUUCCAAUAAAACAAAGUUAUUUACAGGUGGAAAAAAAAAGCAAUAAAAAUGCUAACUUUCAACUUAAAAAGUCAAACUUUAAUAACCAAAGGCAGUUAGAUUAAAGAGAUGCAAUAAAUAAAAAGUUGGGUUGUGCUCUAAGCAGUUGCAGAUCUAAUUAAUAAUCACCACAAAAGUUGAUAGAAAGAGAUAAACAUAGAAAUAAAAAGGAAAUGCUUAGAGUGUAAGUUUUUAGAAACUUUAAACACAAGAGAACUACAGAAAGCUGGAGGAAAUAAAAGAAGAAAAACUUGCUAGUUCGAAAACUAAUUUGCAAAGAACACCUACACUUAUAUACAGUGAUGCGAGAAGCUUGAAAACAUAAGCAUCAAAAACUUUAGCGAGGCAAGGCCGGCAUGCUUUCACCUACAUUACUUACUCGUAUCCAAAACCAUUAUAUGUAAUUGGAAUAUAUAUUAUACAUAGAGAAGAUCCGUAAGGUUGUAGUAUUAGCAAAUUUUAUUCUUUACAUAUAAUUUAUUAAAUAAUAAUAUAAAUCAUAUCUUAAAACUUCACCUAACAUCUUAAUCUAAAUGAAUAUUGAUGAACCAUGGUAGUAUACAAUACAAAUUGAAGAAUCUAAUUAAAAGAAAGUGAUUUGGAUCCAUAGACUAGUCCUACACUAAAUCUCAAUAUUGAUUCUGAAUUCAAUGAUUUAUAUUAGUUUAGGAACAAAAAAUAAUUAAAAUUUGAAUUAUUGUUAUUUUUAUCAAGCACUACAUCAUUUCCAUUCCAUUAGAAUAUAAAUUUAUUGAUCAAAGAAAAUGAACUAAACUUGACAUUUUUCUCUUAAAAUAUAUUUAUCUAUGAGAGAACAUAUUGAUAGAACACAUUCAAUUCAUUAUUUCAACCGGAAACUCAGAAGUUAUUACAAGUUCAAAUUAUUAUUUCAAUAGCUAGGCACACACAAUAUUCCAAGAUGUUUAUUCAUUCCCAAAAAUAACCUUUUAAAAGAGGGCAAUCCCUCAGAAUCCUGACUUCUCUUGAUGAAGAUAAACCUGGAUAGUUACUAGUUCUUUCUUUCUAUCAAAGGCAGUGCUGUUAAGUUCAUGAAGAUGCUCACUCUUGUUAUUUUUAUCCCUUAGUUGUGGCAUCUGUAUGGCACCCGCGAAGGUUACACCAGCAACAAGCACCGCUACAACAAGAAGAUUCUCUAUCCUGCUCUUUGUUUCCUGUUUCCUUGGCGGCUUGCCUUGAGUACUAGUGAAACGCUCAUAUAGGGAUUUCUUAGGGCGGGCAUGGAAGUAUAAGAUAGAUAAUGUUAUCAUCUGCAUAGCAAGGGGAAAUCAACUUCAUUAUAAUGAGUUUCCGGCACAUCCUUAAUCGCAUGCAAAAGCAUUGGCCUUGAAAUCCCUUUUUUUUUUUUUCAGAACAAGCGAGAUUCUGGAAUGAUUUCAGAAUUUUUAAUAUAAUUGUAUAGAAUCUAAAUUAAUCGGCCUUGAACUAGAUGUUUAAAAUAUUAGGGAUGGCAAGAAAAAAAUAGGAAGGAAAAAAAGAAAUAAUACCGCUCCAUAAUAAUCAAGCAGUUUGAAGUCCUUUGGUGGUGACUUUUUUGUGUCAUGCUCCUUUGAAUCAACUGCAUUGUCCUAUAAAACAGAAACAAUUUUAUGUUAAUGAAUAUAAGCCACUGAAACUGGUGAUCAGCAAAUUUUUGGAAAAUAUUCCUUUGGGCAAAGAAAAUUUCAACACAACACUUAUACCUGGUUCUUGUCCGCAGGGGUACUGUUCUUUGAAUCAAACUGCUUUCGAUACUCAGCAAGCUGGCAACAAAUAGGAAUCCCACAUACCAAAAUAUUAAAUCAAUAAUACUCCUAAAAAAUAUGCCUUUUAAGCUCAAUAAAUGAUGAUCAAAUAGCGUACCAUUUCAUCUGUUUUUUCAUAUUGCUCUACAGCUAUUUUGGAUUGUUUUUCAGCAAUAUCAUAUGGUGUCAAAUUUUCAUUGUUAACAAUCGAACUAUCAACGCGUUUGUCACGCACAAGAACAAAUGCAGCCACGGAAUGACCAUGAUUUGUUGCCAAAUGCAAAGGUGUAUUUCCAUCCUCAUCCAUCUCAUUUAGCAGCGGUUCUACGAGCGUCUUCUCUUGUCUGAGUAUGUACCUAACCACAUUGCCAUUUCCAUUUUCCGCCGCUACAUGAAGAAUGUUCUGCCCUUUUUUAUUGAGGAAUUCUUUUGGAAAUGGGGUAAUCGUCAGAAAUUCCUUGACUACAUCAACAGAGUCAUUUUUGCAUGCUAGAUGGAUAGGAUAGUUGCCUUCAUGGUUUCUUUUAUAAGCACCAUUGAGAAACUUUUGUAAAAGGAAUUGAACUCCCUCCUGAAAACCUCUGGAUGAUGCAUAAUGCAGUGAAUUUCCCAACUCUUUGUCAGUGAGACAUAAUAGAUCUGGCUUUGCUUUUUCAAUUUUCUCCAACAUAUCUGAAAAACAAAAGAAAUUGUUUCAAAUGAAUAUGAAGAUGAUAGGUUUGCAACAACUGUCUGUAUGUAAAUCAUUUUCUACUGAGUAUAGACAUUGUGAUCACCUCUGUUACGUUGCUCGAUGGCAGCAUGAACUGGUGACUUUCCUUUCGGUAGGGCAUCACCAUCUUCACUUUCUAUAGGGAACGAAGCUUCUGUUUUCAAGAGAUCAUCAAGUAUCCCGUUCUUAUUGCCGUUCUCAACAGCCAGAUAUAAAGGAGACCUGCCAUUCUUGUUGUUGUAAUAGGCCACUUCUGGAUCUCUGGAAACUAGGAGUUUGGCAAGUUCUUUGUUGCCCUUGAUCACUGCAUCAUGCAAAGGAGUGUUUCCCUUUGUAUUUGUCUUCCUCAUCAAGCUCGGAUUCGAUUCCGCAAGAGAUUUAAUUGUAUCACUGGCCUUUCCUUCUCUGGCAGCAAGAUGAAGGAUUGUGUCCUUCUGGCUGUUUUGGAUGGUGAUUAGAGAAGGAAACGUUUCAGCCAGAUAAGAUGUAAUAUUGUCACUUCCAUAGCUUACAGCUACAUGAAGCAGUGAAUUCCCAGCGGGAGUCUGUAGCUCCUUUGCUGAACGUUUUCGAACACAGCUCUUAAAUGGAACAACGCUGUCAAGCUUCUCAAAUUCAUAUAAUGAAGGAUCCAUCAUUUCAUUUGGCUCAUGAGGCUCAUCGUCUAUUUUUAUGAGUAGAGUACCCAUAGCAGAAGAAAAAUAAUUAUGUUAGCACUUGAAUCAGCUACAAAUCGGGGCUGGACUUUUAUUUGAAUAGAACAGAGUGCAUUUACUUUGAUUUCACUUGCAUGAAUAUACUUGGACUACUCAAAUCCUUCUCCAAUUUGUGGUGCGCAGGCACGACUCACCAACAUGAUGAUGAUUAAAUAGCAUCAAAGAAUAAUAUAAAUAAUAUUUUAAAAUUUAAAUUUUUUAUUUAAAUUUUUAAAUUAAGAUAAUUCUUUGAUAUAAUAUUAAAAUUUUAAUAAUUAAAAAAUUUCAAGUUUAAAUCUCAUUAUUUUAUUUUUGAUUUGUACUUAAGAAGAUGCAUUAGAUAAUAAUGUAAUUUAUAUUUUAAAAUUUUAUUUAAUAAUUUAAAUUUUUAAAUUAAAUUAAAAUGAUUCUUUCUUGUAAUAGCAACCAAACCCAUAAAAAAAAAGGAUAAAAAUAUUCCAUAGUCUUUAUUCUUAACUUGAGAAUAUAACUCACUGUGCGAACACUCGAAGAUUAAAGGAACAGGAUCCACAAUGGCAUCAGAUUGUAACUUAAGUUUAGGUAAAAAGAUCCAAAAAUUUUAACUGUUUAUCAGGAAGUCCAAGGGAUGUUUUAUGUUAUUUUCUUAUAAAUAAAUAAAUUUUUUGAAUUUUUUAAUGUGCUGAUCUCAAAAAUAAUUUUUAUAAAAUAAAAAAAACAUCAUUUUAAUACAUUUUAGCAUAAAAAAUACUUUGAAAAACAACCGCAAUCACAUUAUCAAACAGGCACACCAAAACCUACUUAAUUUAAAAUCAUCGCUUGUAGAAUGGUGAUCAAGUAGAACGUUGAUUGAAUAUACAAGACCAAUAUUUAAGUAUUUGCUUUUACACAGUACGAGUUUAAUUGCCUUUGUGUCACACGUUUGGAACCUCAUUCUUUCCAAAGUGAAGAUGUAGGUGGUUCUUUUUUUUUCUUUUUUUUAAUGUUCUAUGUGCUUGUCCCCGUUUAUAGAAAACAUAAUGACAUGGGAAACAAUAGAAUGUGUGAAAUUCUUCUUACAUAAGCAUCAAAAUCCAUAGGUUAUAAAUCUAUCCAUUCGUAGUACAGUCAUAACGUCUGUAUCCAAUAAACUGCAAUUAAUCAUUAGGGACUAAACUUCAAAUCUGAUUCAACUCUUAGGGACCCAAUUUAAAUCUGAUUUUCAAAAUUAAGGACCAAAUCAUAACAAUUCAAACUCCAAGGACUAGGCUAUAUUGAUUAUAAAUUUCCAUGGAUUAUAUUGUAUCUUUACCUUCUCCUUCUCGAGAGUUUCUGCCGAUUCUCCUUUACCGACAGUGGCUUAAUCCUUUCUGAAUCAUCUUCUUAUUUCUUUGGGACAUGCUAAUCUUGUGCGGUAAACGUAAAUGCACAUGCAAUUAUUUAACCAUUUCUAUUUUUUUAUUAUUUUUUAUCUUAAAGUUAAUUUUAGUUGCUAAGAAAUGAUUAUUAAUCUAUAAAUAUGUCAUAUAAAUUCAAUUUAUUUAUAUAAAUUAUAUAAAAAAACAUUUAAAGAUAAAUUACAAUAAUCUCUGUGAAGCAUUAUAAAAUAAAUAAAUAAAAAUUAAUUACUUUUAAAAAAAAUACUAAAAAAUUAAAAAAAAAAAACAAGAUAGAGUAUUAAUUAAAAUUUAAAUAAAAAUUAAUGAAAUGUUUAUUAAUAAAAGUUAAGCGAUGCUGGGAAUACCAUACCAAGCCCACGCGCUUGGCCAAGGAUCAAAAAACAUAAGUGUGCUUGAUACUAGAAGCCCAAGCCAGCAUUCCCGGCUAAUUUUCUUUCUUUCUUUCUUUUGAAGUUUUUUCUUGAAAUAGACAAGUUGUUUAUUAUGCAAAACUUAUUUGUUAUCCUCUCCUUCUUUUUACUCUUACCUCCUGUGUUUGAAAAAUAAAAGCUGAAGUUUUAAACAAUCACCUUCAUUAAACUUUCAUUAAAAAGAUAAAUUCAUUAAAAAGAUAAGUUGUUUAUCAUCACCUUCAUUUGUACUUCAUGUCCAUCUUCCUUAUGCCAAAAGGUGUGUGUCGCUUACUUACUUCCAUCCAACGCAAAUUCUUAUGGUCGGGAACUGUCAAAAUGAGAAAAAUUUGCAAAGUCCAAUGGAGCGUGGUUGUUAGAGAUAAGGAUAGGGGUGGCCUCGGGAUUGGGUCAUUGAUAGCCAAGAAUAAAGCAAUGCUUUUCAAGUGGAUUUGGAGGCUCUCUCUUCCUGGUAAUGAGCUGUGGAAGAAGAUGAUAUUCAACAAAUUCAAGCCGGUGUUUGAAAAUGGUUUCCCUAUUUUUAGUAGAAGAUUGUCUUGUAUCUGGAGGGAUAUAACAUCCCUUAUGACCUCAACAGACUCUGUCUCUUUAGCUUUAGCCAAUAAUUGUAGAUUUGUAGUGGGAAAUGGCUCUCUGACUCGAUUCUGGUCUGAUGUUUGGUUUGAUAGCUCUCCAUUGAAAGCCAUCUACCCACGACUCUACAUUCUUACCACUAAACCGAAUGCCACAAUUGCUGACAUGGGAAUUUGGGAGCAAGGAGAAUGGAAGUGGGAGUUAGCUUGGAGGAGACAAUUGUUCCUCUUUGAAACUGAGCAGGAUUGUGAAUCCAGGGCUUAGAACUUUCAAGGCUUCGAUAUGGCAAAAAGGGGUCCCCCCUAAGGUUCAAUCUUUUCUUUGGCUAGCUAUUCAGAAUAGACUGUGCACUAAGGAUUUCUUACUUUGCCGUAAUAUAAUCCUAGUUGAUCAAGCCUUUUGUAUCUUUUGUGAAAAUGAGAUUGAGACUUCAAAUCAUCUUCUCCUCCAUUGUAGACCAGUGUGGAAAUUAUGGAUGAAAUUAUUGGAUUGGUGGGGUAUUAGUGGUUGCCUUCCCUGCUGUGUGGAUGAUCUUUUACAUCAAUGGCCCAACCUAGUGUUCGGAAAAUUCCAGCGUAAGGCUUGGUCUAUGCUUUCUUGUUGUGUUAGCUGGAGUAUAUGGCUUAUGAGGAACAAGGUAAUCUUCAAUGAUGGAACUGUGACCUUCGAAGAUAUUUUCUCCUUAAUUCUUUAUCGCCUUUCAAAUUGGCUCAAGUCUGCAGAUAAGUUCUUCAUGGCUACUGGCACUUCUUUAAUUAUGGGUCCUGAAGGUAUUAUAGAUUGGUCUAACACCAAAUAAAGGCUUUUAGCAUGGCGUAUCAGCUUCAUCAUUCCUAAUGUCCUUUUUCGGUUAUGUAUCUGUUGACUUUCUUUUCCUUUCUUUUUGUGUUUGCUUUUUGUUAUUGUGAUUUUUUUUUUCUUUCAUGUAUCUUGUUUUUGGCUACCUUCUGGUUAGCCCUUUCAAUAUAUCGACUUAUUCCAAAAAAAAUUAAAAAGAUAAAUUCAUUAACACCAAUUUUAAUCUUUUUAUGAUUGAAAUCUAUCCUUUAAAGCAUUUUUUUCUCUCUUUAAUAUUUUUUGCUAACUUUUUAUCUUCUCUCUCAAUAUCCAGACACUAAAUUAUUAUUAUUUUUAAAAAAAGAUAGGACGAAAAUAUGAAUUGCUAUAACAACAAGGAUCAAAUAAUAGAUAAGCUGAAACUUUAUAUAGCAAAUUAAAGUUUUCCAUACCAAUAUUCAAAUGGGGUUUUCCAUACCAAGUAUUAAUAUUAAUAUUAAUUCCAUAAAGUAAUAACUCAUAAUCCAUUUUAAUUAUUCAAUUAAUCUAAACCUCAUAACAAUACAUACAAUCCCUUUGAGAGUGCUUUUAUUUAUUUGCGAAAUUGCAAAUAAGUGAAUAACUACGAAAUGAGCAUUGUACCUCUAAAUCAAUGCCAGCCAUUAAUUUUCAAAUAAGGACAAUAUAGUCUAUUCGCUUUAAUUUUUUUUUUUUAAUUCCAUCUAAGUCCACAAUUCCUAGAGUUUUGUUGGGCCUUGGCGUUUUUUUUGUAGGUUUCUACAGUUUUGUUCACAUUACAGCCUACCAUUUUCAAGAUGUCUACCUAUGGAAAUCAUAUCUCACUUGAUUAUGUUUUGAAAGCCUUUUGAGGUAAAGAUGAUGAGGUUUUUAAAAAUUUUUGUGGAAGGUCCAUCUAAUUUUUGAAUAUAAAAAUUCUUAUUUCUUAUCUUUAUUUUCAACGUAAAUGAUGGGGAUACCGAACUGGAAAUAUUAUUUACGCAUGCAAAUAAUCAUAGACGAUGGAGGAUAGCCCAAACAAUUGAGAGAUCGGGCUUUAACUUAUGUUUUAGGUUUAAUUUAUACGAACUUUUAAAUGAGUUUUAUUAAUGUGUCUUUAUUUGUUGGACUUGAUUUAAUUAUUGUUAAGUAUAUUAUUUAGUGGGCUACAAGCCUAAUUGUUUAUUGUAGUUAGGGUUUUAGUAUAAAUACCCUACUUUUCUAAAUGUUAAGGUACUUUUGAAUGAAUGAAAAUUUGCAAACUUUGCAUAUCCCCAACCCCUCUCCUCCUCUUCUUUAGCUUCUUUCUUUCUCCAAAGCUUCUUUCUUUUCUUGCUUUAAUUCUUUUUAUUUAUUGUUCCAAAGUAUAUUAAUAAAAAGAUAAAUCUUAAUUUUGUUUCUUAUAUUCUUAAAUAUAAUAAUGUUCAUUGUAUUAUUUGAACCUUUUAAUUAGAGUGGAAGUUUAAUUCCAUCACUUUCUUACGAGUUUUUUUUUUCAGUGGAUAAUCUGAAAAAAAAUCUAAGUAAGAGAAACUAGAUUCGUUUCAGAGGGUAAUUUUAUGCAUGGAUAUACAAAGGAGACCAACUUCCUCAAUGCAUAAGAAAUAAAGGUAUAAAAAAAGUGAAGUAAGGCUCACUUUCCUUCACCAGCAUAUACCAUGCGUUUACCUUUCCAAUAAUUAGAAGAAAGCGACUUGUAUGGAGAGAGCUUUCUGAAUUUCUUAUAUUGAAAUUCCAUAGGUGUCUUUACAUUUUGUUUACAUUUUUUUAUGCUUGCUUCUAUUAAAAGAAUUUUAAAUUUUAAAGUUAAAUAUUAAAUUUGAUGCUAACGAUCUAAACUUCAGAUAUUAUCCAUGUAAUUCUAAACUUGUAGUUCUAGGCUUAAAAUGAUGUUUCUCAAAUAUAAAUUUAAAACUUAGUGAUCUUUUUAUAUACAUAAAGAAAAUUAAAACUUGUGGAAUAGUCAAAUCUAAAUAUUUUGAAUACAAAAGAUAACUUAACAACUCAAGAUUAAAGAAUUUACAUUUAUUGGAUGAUUCUUCAACUUUGGCUAUAAAGAUUGUGCAAGAAGAUUAACUAGAUGUUGCUAAAGAUUUUACAAUUAGAUUUACAAAGAAUAUUUGUAGCAUUACUGAAUAUAUCUUCACCACAAAUCAAUUGAAAAAUCACAUCAAGAAGGUCAUCAUAGACCAAAUAGAAAUUUCAAUUUAACCUUUAUGUACUUAUGUAAAGCCAUACACACAAAUGAUUGGCAUGUUAAGGAUGUCUUUGAGCUAUCAACCACUAAAGUUUCAACAAUUAGAUAGCAAAAGGAAUCCAAGGAAACAUAUGGCUCACUCUAUAUAGACUUGUAACAAUACUAGAAUUGAUGGUGAUCUCAUGGUAAAACAAUUCAUUCAUUCCUUAAAAUGCAAUGUUUGACUAGUACAUUGACUUAGAGUGUUUUUUAACUUAUAGUUGGGAGCAAUUGAAACAUAUGUUUCUACAACACUCAUCAUAUGGUUAUCAUAAUUGAACUUAUCAAUGCAUAUUAAUAAAUAAAGGCGCAUGUCAUUAACUACAUUCAUCAAUGGAAAAAUCUUAGCCUCAAUUGUAAAGAUCAACUCAUCAAAAGUUCUACUCUAGAUAGAUGUAUUGAAGGGAUGCAUUAGAGUCUGUGCUACAUUAUAUAAAGCAUUAAAAACCUAAAUCUUUUAAAGAAUUAGCUACUAGAACACACAACAUAAGACUUAAUAUUGCUAUAGCUGGAACCUUAUCAUUACUUAUGUAAUGAAUAAAAAAAAUAAGUUUGAAUGUCAUAGAUUUGAAAAGAGCACUUCAAAGGUUCAGGGAAAACAAUCUUUGGUAAUUAACUAUUCAUUGUCAAUCUUGGGUAAUUAACUUCAUUGUCAUAAAUGUACCAACUAGAGGUAAAAGGAAUGAUUGCGCAACGCUAAAUGCUUUUCAAAAGGGUAAAAAGAAAAGGUCAUCAUUUAAAGAGUGACAAGAAAAAAAGUAUCAAUUCCCCAACUUGGAUAUAUCUAAGACACUAUAUGAUUUGCAAAGUAAAUUUCAUUAAGCUAUCAAAGUUGAAACGUCAUAAAAAAACAAAUAAACAUCAUUAAGAUCACCUACACACUAAACCCAAGUAUAUAUGGGUAUGACAAGUUGUUAGAUCCAAAACAUUGGAUUCACCUACAUGUUAAGCUCAAACAGAAAUGGAUUUAUCAAGCUGUCAAACCCAAUAUUCUAGGGUUCAACUACGUGUUGAACCCAAGUACAUAUAGAUCUAGCAAGCUGUCAGAUUAAUGAUAUUAGGCUCAGUUAUGCACUAAGCCAAAAACAAUAUGGGUCUCCCCGACGUGUGGAAUCACACAUUGUCUCUAUUAGAAGAGCACCUGAUGAAUCUAAAACUCCUUUGUCCCCUCUUCGAUUUCUCACUGACAGUGCAACAAACAAACACCUAUAGAGGAAAUCUUGCUCUACUGAAGUUUCAGUAUUCUUCAUGUUUUUCAGUCUAGGCAUGUCUCUUCUCUCUACUUUUGCGUUUUAAUACUGACACUGUUGGAGAAAAAUCAUAAAUGAUCUGAAACUACUGUAUUCCUUCUUGGAUUUUCCACUUGCGGGUCACAAACAGAUUCCUGUCGAGAGAACUCUGCUACGUUGAAGUUUGAUGUCUGCUCAUAUUUUUCAGACCAGGUCUGGCUCUUCAACCUACUAAGAUGUCUUCGUGCAGAAACUGAUGAGAGAAAUAUUUGUAGCAUAUGUAACUUAUAAAUCCCCUCUUGCAUUCCCAAUUUGCAGAGCCAUAAAUGGAUUUUUGUAGAGAGAGCUCUGCCACAUUGAAGUUCAGUGUUCAGACCAUCUUGUGCUGCUGAACUGGAAUUGAGCUCAUAAUCGGGGUAACUUCAAAGCAGACUAAUACACCAUGUACAGGAGGCUAGUAGUCAUUUGGUUCCAUUAGAUGAUGUGGAGGCGAUGAACACUUAACAGUGCAACUAGUCAAGAAUCAGAGUUGUUAUUAGUUGAUGACUGAAGGCGUUGUUGUUGUUGUUCAUGACUGAAAAGGAGAGAUACAACUUCAAUUGGAUGUGGACAAGCAGUGUUCCCAUAGAAGACUGUGCAGACAUUCUCUUUCCAUUUGAUGCUCAACACUUGUUCGAGCAGAUCUGAGUCUAGCUACUUCACAUUUGAUGCUCUCAAACUCAAUCUGAUAAUGAGCCUCUAUCUGACAUCUUUCUUCACUUCCAUCCUUUCUUCAAUCACUUGCAGCACAACUUGUGCGGGGGAACCUACCUUUCAACCCGGUAUAUGCAUGAUAAAUGUAUGAAUAUGUAAUCUAUAUGACGAACUCGCCCUUCGAGGGGUGACAAUAUGGUCGUAACUCUUGUAUGAUGGAACAAGAAUCGUGAUUUUUGCCCAAACUCUACAAUGAAAAUUUUCUGAGUGAUGGCCAUUGUGUCACCCACAAGUCUUGAGUUCAAGAUGCUUCAAGAAGGGUUUGCUCGGAUGUAAAACAAUAGCACAUACAUCCUAAAGACAGGCUCUAUUCAUUUUACGUGAGACAAAGGGUAGGUUUGCUACUUGGUCUCUAAAAUGGAUCUCUUGUUGUCCCAGUGAUUGCCCUCGUAAAGGCAAUAUAGGGGCCCAAUAGGUAAUGGGUUGGCACGUGUCCAACUAUUACCAGUCUAAGCACUCAACGAAGAGUUGGGGUUUACACAAACUUCAACCUUGACUAAAAGUCGUAAGGUAAGCUGCUAGUCCCCCUCCUAACCUGAAGCUUGUGUGUGCUUAAAAAAAAAUUACACUAUGUGAUGCAUGAGACAAUUCUAUAAAAUGCAUGGAUAAAACAAAAAUAAAAUAAGACAAAAAUGCGAAAACAUAAACACAUCAAAUAUACAAAGCUUAGUCCAAUAAUGUUGAAAACAAUACCAUCCCUAGUGGAUUUUCAAUUCCAUCGCACGUCGAAAAAUCCGCGCGCGGCAUCGGGCUGGCGAUUUUUAUCGUUGUUGCGUUUGCUUUGAAUUCGUUCGUUGGAGUCGCCACCUAGUAAUUGAUUGCGGGCUACUAGGAAACCGGAUUUACUGGUCGUUGUCAGAGAUUUAAGGGUAAGGGACUGGUUGUGGCUAGGGAAGGUAUUAGCACCCCUAGCGCACCCUACCUGAGGUAAGCUACUUUGUGGACUUGAUGUGUUAAAGAAGUUUUAAAAAUUCUGUUCUUUCAUCGAAUUUUAGAAAAUACAACUUACAUGUAAGUUCAUAAUUCUUUAUCCGUGAGCAAAUCAGAAUAUUAAAUUCUUCUUUAUUCUUGCAAUUUUAUCAUAAUAAAAAAAAACAUUCAUAAACAAAAAUACACACCACAUUCACUUUCAAGCUUUGUGGACUUGAUGUAAUAUUAAAAAUAAAUUUUUUAGCCCAAUUCUAAGGCUUUGAUAAAUCAGUUAUUACUUCCCAGACUAUAUGUAGAUACAUGUUCUAUAUUUUCAUGGAAAAUACAACAUGAUUUUUAUCUGUCCUUUAGAUAUUUGUGCAUAUAAAUUAAAAUAUUAAAUUUUUUUUUUCUUUUGAUUCAAUAAUAUACAUAAAAAAUACAUACAAACACACACACAACUUUCUUUUUAUUAUUUAUUUUUCCUUUUCUUUUUCUUUUCUUUUCUUUUCUUUUACAUCCAUAUUUACAAAAUACAAAAAUUCAAAAACAAAUAAACAAACAUUACAUUAAAAUUACAAUAAUAGCCCCAAAACAAUCUGAAAUUACAAGGAAACCAUUCUGCAAGCUGAAACAGUGUGCAGGAACAGUGGCGGCGGGUCCUCCCACGCGCCACCACCACUGGCGGUGCGUGGGCUCACGCACCGCCGCAGGAAACUCAAAAAAACCAGGGGAUCUUGAAUGUCUUCUUCCCCUCUGUCUUCCCACGCCGACGGUGAUGGUCACCGUCACUUGCAACAAGGGAAACAACGCACAAACAACAGUUGAUUUUAAGUUUUUUCUUUCCUUUACAGAUCUGCGUUUUUCUCUCUUCUUCUCCAUUUCAGAUCUGCUUCUCCCUACAGAUCGGUUCUUUUACUCCUCUUUCCCAUUCUUCUCGGUUUCAGGUGGCGGCAAGUAUGUCCAAGGGGGCGGCCAGCGACUGAGUUUCGAUGUGGAGAGGAGAGUUGCUCACCGGCGACUCGUGCGUUGGGGGCGCCUGCUGCUGUGUGGCUUGGUGGAGGAGAUCGGUGGAACAGAGAAGGAAAUGAAAAUGGGGCUACGGUCUCGUUCUGCUGAGGGGAUGAGGAAGGGAGAUCAGCGGUGAGGGGCGGCGUCUCUGGUGGCUGUCGCUGCUGAGGAGACCGCAGAAGAGGAUGCUGCCGAGAAAGAGGGCUUCGGUGUUGAUGGGUCUGUGGGCGCUGGAGGAACGGCUGGAAGAGGGGAGCUAGUCCGGCGUGGGAGCUGGAGAUGAGAGGGGAAGAGGGAGUAGCUGAGAGGGAGGAUCUGUGGAAGGGGGAGCUGAUUCGUGGUUGUUGUUGGUCUAUGGCCGGUUGAUGACUGAAGAUUGGGAAAAGGGAAAGGAAAUAUAUGUGUGUGGGGGCUGAUUGGCUGUGGUUGUGGCUGUGGAAGAUGAGAAGAAAAAAUGGCCCGCUGGUGGGGGAGAAACAAGUCAGGGGGUCCUUGGCUCUGUUCUGAAAACAACAACCAGGGUCCCCGGGGAACGGAGGCUCUUUUCUUUGUCAAGAGCCGGCGGCUGGUCUUGUGUGGGUUGAGAGUUAAGUUUAGGUUUAGGGUUUUUUUUGUGUUUCUCUUCUGAUAUUUCAAAAUUGCCCCUCUCCCCUUUGUGUGAGUUGAAGACUAGUAUUUAUAGGUAGAAAUAUUGCUAGGUUUUCAAAAUGGUCCCUCAAUUUCUUUCUUUUUUUGUAAAUUUUGAUUUUUCUUAUUUUUUUGUAUUUUUUGAAAACGAGCAAUAUCAACGUCGACCUAAUGAGAAAAAUCAAUGAUUUAAAAAAAUAACGCGUGAAAAGUCGAACGCGUUCGUAAGACCCUUAAAAAUUUAAAUUUUUUUUUUAGACGACGUUGAAAAUGCUAAAAUGACACGAAUAUAUUAAAAAACAUAUUUUUUUGGAUUUUCAUUUUUUUUUCUCUGUUUUUGGAUUUUUUUGAAAAUAUAUCAAAAACAUGAGUCAAAAAUUGGGUAGCAACAAUCCUUAGGCUCAGCUAUGUGCUAAACCCAAAAAACAAUUGUGUGGCAAGCUUCCAAACACAACAUCAUUGGGAUCAGCUACGUGCUAAGACCAAGUACAUAUAGGUCUGUCAAACAACCAAACCUAAUGACAUUGGGUUUAAUCACGUGUUGAGCCUAAACAGACAUAGGUUUAGUGAGCUAUCAAACCCAAUAUCAACGGGUUUAACUAUAUGUUAAGAUUAAGUAUAUAUAGGUUUGGUAAAUUGUCAUACCCAACAUCUUAGGGUUCAAUUGUAUGUUAAGUCUAAACGGAUGUGGGUCUGGCAAGCUGCAAGACCCAUUGCUAGUGGACUUAACAUCAUGUCAAGCCUAAGUGGGUAUGAGUUUAAAGAUCAUUAUAAGUCUCGUGUUGGGCUAUAAGGCUUUCUUUGUUUCUUCUUAUAAUUUUUAACAUGAAAUGUUAAUGUUAAGAAUAUUCAUCUCUUUACAAUUCUAAAUAUAUAAAAAUCUUCUAAGGACCUACCAUAUUUUCAUCAGUAUUAAAUAUUGUAUAAGAGAUAUUUAUUCCUCAUUGAUGAUGUGUAAUGGAUAUUUAUUCAUUGUCCAAACACUCAAAAACCUCUUUCUUAAACAUACUGGAUUUUUAAACAUCAUCAAUUGAUGAACAAGAAAUCGAUUUUUUUGCCAAGAGAAAAGGAGAGGAAGGAAAGGAUUAAAAAACAACAAAAGAAUCAGCUGCAAAGCAUUUACCGUAUGAUAAAAGUUGAUGUUUUGCCAAUCCAUGUUCACCUUGCAGCCGCAUCCUUGCCUAUAACACAAACCCUAUCCACUCCAUUAAUUAAAUUUAUAAUUAUACUAAAUUUUUUAAAGUACUAAUAUAAACUAUAUCACUUCAUUUCGUUAGUUUGUUCUCAGAAAAGGGGCUCAGCUGAAAAUUAAUGAGAGUAAUAACGUAAUUUAAAUCUUUUAUUAUUAUAAAAUUUAAAGCAACUUAAAUGACAUGAUCAUUACUUAUAUCUUUUUAUCUUUUUUUACUUUUUAUUUGAUUAAGUUAUGGAUUAUUUAAUAUAAAUAAGGGAGGAAAUGGUUAGAUUAAAAGAAUUACACUGAGUUGUGAUUAGAACGUAACAAGAAACAAGAUCAGAAAGGUGGACAAUAUGGUUGAAGUGCAUGAUCACAACGAGCCUGGUUUGAUUGGAUCAAGUUGAUAAGGUGAUUGAGAAUGUUUAGGGCGAGCCACAGAUGAUAUGAGCUCUCACUUACAUGAAGAUUUGACGAGGGAUGAAGUGAAAGAAGUCUUAGAUUGGAUGGAACCGAAACAAGUUCCAGAACCAAAUGAUAUCCUAGCUUUAAUAUUGUUAUCCACUGUCCAUAAAUGAAACAAUUUAAAGCCCCGCGAUCGAUCAAGGUGGUCAUCAUUCAAAGCCCCUUUGAAAAAACCACUUCUAUAACAGUCUCAAAGCUUGCAAAAGAUAUAUUAAAAUAAUUUAAAAAUAUAUAAAAAUUUAAUUUUUGUAAAAUAACGCAAUUUCAAAAUGGAAUACCUGUAGACAAAAAAAAAAAAAACUUAUCAUCAAAUGACAACGUGGGACACAAUCUGCAUUAUGUAUUGUGUUCUCUUCUGUUGAUGGAGGGGUCGUGUUUUGCUGUAUUUGUUAGAACAAAACAUUUUUUAAAAUUGCUCGUCCUUUUACCUUGAAAACAUUCUGCAGUUCUCUUUUGAUUUACUCAAGGGUGAUGUCAAAUCUAAAGCAAAUGCCUUGAACCUAUUAACCUUAUUGAUUCAAAUUAGAGCAGGGAUGUUUUUUGGUUAUUCCUUUUAUACUUGUUUUUUGGUUUUUUUUGUUUUACAACAUGCAAGAAAAUUUACAAAUACUUGUAUAUAAAAAUAAAAUAAAAACUGUUAGGAAUCUCAAAAACUUACCUGAGUGCCACUGUAUAUGUAAAAGACUGAAAUACCCUUGAAUUUCUCGAAAAAUUACAAAAAUACCCCUGGUGGUGCAUGUGGCUCAUGCGCAAUUACUGUUGGAGGCGGCAAAAUUUUCCGGCAAGAUUUCCAACCAACGAAUGGUUGAUUCUGGUGGAUCUGAGGGACAGGAUUAUGAUGAAGGAGGUUUCGACGGCCGUUAAUGGCUGACGAGGUAGAAUCGUCGUUUUGAAGCUUCGGGUGGCCGACGAAAUCAUGGUCGUUUUCCGGCUAGAUGAGGUGGCGAAAACGUUGAAAACAACUGGGGUUUUGCUUUAUAGCAGGGUAGAAACCUUUCUGUGGUGGUUUGGUAGCUUCACACGGCCGGAAAUGGGAGAUCAAAUGAGAGAGAGAGAGAAAGAAUCGCCAGCGAGAGGAGAGAGAGGCUCUGAGAUUGUGCUACGGUGUGAACACGAGCACAGUGUACCUAUACAGCUAAAGGUUGUGAGUCGUUCGAUCGCGGAUGUACCGAUCCUUCGGCUGUGAUUGGCUUGAUCUGCAAGUUGAUCGAAGGAUCCGGAUGAGCUGAUCUUUGAUCUGGUGUGGCGCGGUGGACCGAAAGCUCGGUACACAGGGUGACGUGGCACAACAGGAUCAAAGGGCAGAUUAUUUCAAAGGCUAAGAUGGAUUUGGGUUUUAAUCUAGUGUGGUAAGCCCUAUUGUAUCCUAUUAAUUCAAAGGUCCAGAACUAACACUAUUAGAUCUAACGGUUAGGAUAUUUUUAGUAUUUUUCAAAUUGUUUUAAAAAAAAAACAAUAUCUUACUCGCAUGAAGAAAAACUAAAAAAAAUUCAUAUAAUAAUACUCUACUUUUCUUUCUUUCUUUUCUCCUUUCCCUUUCUCCUCCGGUGCUGUGGCUAUUUAUAGCCAAUAAGCAGGGACAACAUAUUUAUUUCAAAGGAAAAAAAUGCAUCCCCGCAACUAACCCACCUACUAUAAUAAAUUACUAUAUUAUUAAUUUUGUUUUAUUAUAUAUAAUAAUAAAUAUUUAUAUGGGUAAAACUAAAAAACUUAAAUCAGUAUUAUAAAAAAGCUCGUUUCAACCGCUAAAAAAAUAUUUUAAUUACCGAAAAUUGUAUUGGAACACAAAAAAAAAAACAUUUGAUGGGUAUCAACCCGGUGAAUCGUGUUUUGACCGAAAAAUAAUGAUUUUGACCCGAAACCUCAUUUUUUACCCUGGUCGACAUGGUUUGACCUGUAUUGAUCCGGUGGACUCAGUUUUGAUAAAAAAUGAUGGUUUUGACCGAAAAUGAUGGUUUUGACCCGAAACGUCAUGAAAACUUAUUUUUUACCCUGGUCGACAUGGUUUGACCCGUAUUGACCCAAUGGACUUUGUUUUGAUAAAAAAUGACGGUUUUGACCCGAAACCAAGGUUGUCAUUUCCGUUUCGAUGGGUAUUUUGUUUUUUCAAUUGGAAUGGAAUGUUUCAGUUUCUGAGUGUUUCGGCGUGCCGUUUCGGGGUUAUACUGUUUAUAUAUAUAUAUAUAUAUAUAUAUAUAUAUAUAUAUUCAACAAACAUAAUUCAAAUUCAAGAUAAAUUAAUUAUAAACUAUGCAAUACAAACACAAUACCAAACAAAUAUAAUUUUAAAUUUUAAAAUAUUUCUAAAUAGUUAAAAAUUAAAUAGAUUUUUAUCUUAAAGUAAUUCAACUUAAACAAAAUAUCAAAAUAUUAUGAAAGUAAAAUAUUUAAACAAAAAUAUUUAAAUAUAAAGUUAGGUCAAUGUUAUCGAGUGACUAAUGGAAUGUAAAACAUCCCUUGUUUUGUUCAAAUUCCUACAAAGUAUAAACAUGAAAAAAAACAACAUAAAUAUAAACCAUUUAUAUUAGUGAUAAAUCUAAUUUUAAAAAAUUAAUAUCAUUGCUAUUAAAAAUAGUAUGGAGGGUUGUUUAAUAGUAUGGUAAUUACUAAUUUUUGUUAAAAUAUAUUAAAAUGAUAUAUUUUUUAUUUUUUAAAAAUUUAUUUUUAACAUCAAUAUAUUAAAAUAAUUUAAAAAUAUAUAAAAAUUUAAUUUUUGUAAAAUAACGCAAUUUCAAAAUGGAAUACCUGUAGACAACAACAAAAAAAAAAAAAAAAAAAAAAACUUAUCAUCAAAUGACAACGUGGGACACAAUCUGCAUUAUGUAUUGUGUUCUCUUCUGUUGAUGGAGGGGUCGUGUUUUGCUGUAUUUGUUAGAACAAAACAUUUUUUAAAAUUGCUCGUCCUUUUACCUUGAAAAAAUUCUGCAGUUCUCUUUUGAUUUACUCAAGGGUGAUGUCAAAUCUAAAGCAAAUGCCUUGAACCUAUUAACCUUAUUGAUUCAAAUUAGAGCAGGGAUGGGAUGGAUGCUUGUUGUUUUUAACCAAGUUGAUGUCUAUAAUUCUCCACAAAUAACAAUAUCUUAAUUUGAAUAUUCGAUUUAAUUUUUUUUUAACUGAAUCCAACAACAACAAAAGGAGUCUAGUAAAUGCAUGCUUAAAAUAAAAAAGUAGAAGUGCGCAUACAUUCAAUUGGAAACUCAUGAGUUAUUACAAGUUCAAAUUAUUACCACAAUCGCUAGAAAGACAUAAUCCAAGAUGUUAUCCCCCAAAAUCCCGACCUCUGAUCUUACUAAAGAUGGUGCUUUCUCUUGAGAUCAGAGAGUUAAUUACCCAGCCACCAGCUACUGUAGAUAAACAAUAAAAAAAAGCUGUAGUAGAAAGAGUGCAAGAGAACCGGUAGAAGAACAUGGUUGAAAUUUAGCGGGAUAAUCCAAGGAAAAACAAGGAAUACCUGAGCAAAGAAAAACAUAACGGCCACCACUUCUGCGAUGAUUGUUAACAACCCACCAUGGGAUCCUAGCAAUGCUAUUCUCACAGAAAAAAAGAAUGCUCCGAACAUCAUGAUAAUAGCCAAACAAACCACGGAGAUUGAAAACUGAACUGCAGGGAUUUGAUAUCUGGGAUAAUUAAAGUUUGACCAGAGAAGGAGUAGAGCUGCCAGCAGAGAGGAAGAUAAAGCCCCCACAUCGAGAAAUAAAUAACCACACAGAAGAUUCUCAUAAGUGCUGUUGAGUUCACUUGAGUUAUUUUUAUCCCUUAAUUGUGGCAGUUGUAUAGCACCUGCAAACGUUACACCAGCAACAAGAACUGUUACCACCAGAAGACUCCCUACCAUGCUCUUUAUUUCCUCUUUUGCUCGUGACAUUGGCCGUAGAGUAACGGGGAAAAGCUCCUUGAGGGAUUUCUUAGGGCGGGCAUUGAAGAAUAAGAUCGAUAAUGUCGUCACCUGCAUAUAUAUAGCACGGGGGAAAAAACUUAAUUGUUUAAUGAGUUCUUGGCACUUCCUCAAUUGCAUCCAAAAGCAUUGACCUUCAAAUGCCUUUCCCAGAACAAGUAAUUUUCUGGAAUGGUUUGAAAUUUUUUAAUAUAAUGGUAUACAAGUUAAAUCAAUUGGGCUUGAACUAGAAGUUUAAAAGAUUAGGGAUGGCAAGUGAAAAAAAAAAAAAAGGAAAGAAGAAAAGCAAUAAUACCAAGAGAAAAUACUCAGCCCCUUUUUCGUCCUUUGGUGAUGCCUCUUUUGUAUCCAUCUUAUUUGAAUCAACUUCUUUGCCCUGUCAAAAAAUAUUAUAUGUUAAUAUGCAGCUCUCUCUCUCUCUCUGCUAUGGCUGGACAACAAUCUAAAGCAACUGAAACUGGUGAUCAGUUCAUGUUUGGGAAAAAGUCAUUUGAUGAGAUUAGAUGAGAUAAUUAAGCUAAAGUACAGUUUUAGGGCUCACCAAAUUUGCUAAUACAAGCCAAGUACCAACAGUAGGAUUCUAAGUUAAUUGUUAGAGCAUCUUCAAACGAGAAGCUAAAUGGAUAGCUAAAAAUAAAAAAUUAAUAUUUAAAUUUAUUUUUACUUGUUUUGCAGUCUAAGGGGAAAGCCAAAUAAAAUGUUAAAAUAUCUUUUCUCUCCCACAAAUGCUAUUUUUACAUAUCUUUUUAAAGAACCAAAACCAACAAAAUAAAGCCACUGAAAAAAUAAACCAAUUAAAUAUAGUCAUGUGGAAAAACAAAUAACAUCAAACUUAUUAAGAAAUAAUAAAAUACUUGUUUUUUCCACUCCAAUAUAAAUGGCUCUUCAAAUGGCUUUUUUCUAUUGGAAUAGAUAUGAUAAAAAAAACUAUAUUUAUACUAUUCAAAAUGCUAUUUUAUCAAUUUAGCUUUUCAAAAUAGCAUUUUGCAUUGGAAAUUCUCUAUAUCAAAAAAAUUUAUAUGGGAACUUAGAAAUUGAUGUGUGUGUGUAUUUAAUAUAUAGAUUAAAUUGAAAAUUAUAUAAUCCUAUAAAAUAUAGAGAAAGAGUAAUUGUUAGUGUUAACUAACACAAAAACAGAAGCUAUAUAUAUAUAUAUAUAUAUUGAAGAUAUUCAUGAUUUCUUGCUGCGAAAUACUUUUAAUCUUUUUAUUUAAUUAUAUAAUAAUAAAUUAAUUUUUAUAAAUAAUUUAAAUUCCAUAGGAUAAAAAAAUAAUUUAAAUUGAUUUGAAAUAAAAAUAAAAAAAGGUAUCUAUAUUGUUUUUAAACAAAACCAUUUUCCUUAUUAAUACGUUCCAUUUUUAAUUACUAAUGUUUUUAUAAAAUUGUUUUGUUUUUUUUACUAUCAUAAUCUAUAAAUAAGUUUUAAUUAAAAAAUAAAAUAAUAAUGGAUUGAUGAUUUUCUUGAAAAACAAAAUUUAGCAAUGUUUUUAUUGCAUAAAAACUAAAAGCAAUUAAAAUAAAUAUGGACAAAAAAUUUCAUGAUUUUAUUGCAAUAAAGAUAAAAAAAAAGAUAUCCAGUUGAUAAAAAAAAAAAAAAAAAGCUUUUUUUUAUUAAUCCAUCCUCUCUCUCUCUUUUUUGGGUAGUAUUUUAUAAAAAAUAUUGUUUCUUAAAUAAAAAAACUUAUCAGAAUCCUAAACGUAAAUACCUUGAUCUCGUGCGCAGGGGUACUGCUCUUUGAAUCAAACUGCUCUCGUUCCUCGGCACGCUGGCAACAAAGAGGAAGCCCAGAUACCAAAAUAUUAAAUCAGUAAUACUCCUAAAAUAUAUAGACUUUUGUAGCUCGAUAAAUGAUGAUCAAAUUAGCAGCAUACCAUUUCUAUGUAUGUCUCUUCAGUUCUUUUGGAAAAAUCUUCAGCCAACUCAUAUGGUGUCCAAUUUCUAUUGUUAACAAUGAAAUGUUCAACGCGAUUGUCACGCACAAGAAGAAAUGUAGCCCUGCAUCGGCCAUGACGUGCUGCCAAAUGCAAAGGUGUAUUUCCAUCCUCAUCUGUCGCAUUUACCAGCGGUGCGACGAGCUGCUGGUCCUGUUUGAGUAUGUACCUAACCACACUGCAAUUUCCAUAUUUGGCCGCUACAUGAAGAAUGUUCUGCCCUUUCUUAUUGAGGAAUUCUUUUGGAUAUGGGAAUUUAUCAAGAAAUUCCUUCACUACAUCUACAGAGUGACGUUUGCAUGCUACAUGGAUAGGAUAGUCGCCUUCAAGGUUUGUUUCAUAAGCAUCAUCGUGAAAAUUCGUUAAUAGGAAUCGAACUCCUUCCAGAAAACCUAUGGAUGAUGCAUAAUGCAGUGAAUUUCCAAACUCUUCCUCGGUGAGACGUAAUAGCUCUGGCUUUUCAUUUCCAAUUU